rnacentral:lncRNA from 1 species
UUUAGCCGGUAAAUAUUUUCAAGAGCCGUGUAGCUAUCAGUAACAGGUCCUGAAGUUAUAACGACGUAUUUCAAGUUGUUAGCUUUGAAAUACAGAUUUUCCGGCAUGGAAACAAUUUCAAUACCAUUGAUGAAGGCAAACGAGUUGGGUGAUGGGGUAAAUGUAACGUUGAGGCUCUGGCUAUCUUUGACAUAGAUGAUAAAUUCUUUGAAAAAGCUGGAAACUUUGGGACCUGAUUCGGAGAGAAAGGAGGCGGUUAGGGAAGCGCUGAAGUUGGUCAAAAGAGAGUAACCGUUGGAUGUAACGGAGAAGAAAGAUUGGUCGGCGUUGAGGUUGGAGUAGAUCGCGGGGUAGAAGUAAAGGCGGAGGAAUUUGGGGCCUUGGGACACCGGAAACCUGUAGGUGAAUGAAGAUCUGUUGAAGAUACGAGCAGUGGCGUAAGGGAUUUGAUCGACUGAAGGAUCUUGGAAGGAAGGUGUGAAUGAAAAGGAGGUGGCGGCGGAGUUGGAGUUUAUGAAUUUAGAAUCUUCAUCGCCAUCCCAUCUCCGUCCGGAAGGUAUGCUGAUGGCGGCGGAAGAUGAACCGCAGUCAAGGAGGAAGUUAUCGGUGGCUUUGUAUGGUUGUGCGGCGGUGGUGGUGGUGGUGGUGGAGAAUAGGAGGAAGAAAGAAAAGAGAGGUAAAUAGAAGCUAAUCAUGAUUGAUAAAAAGGAGAAUUAUUGGUGCUUUGAAAAAUAGAUAAUUGUGUUUUAUAAAUCAUCACGAGGGGAUACACAGUGAGAAUUGUCAGCUUCUUUCAAGAAUCAAAAGUAGACCUGGCAAGUCUUCUCGGUCUUCCUCAAUUGUCAGUACUUACAAAUAGUUUUAGGAGUGAACGAUACGUUGUGCAUUAGGAGUUAUACCAUAGAAAGUGACAUGUUUUAAUCUCGUAUUUUGGUGUGGAAAAAUCAUUUACUUGAGAUGCUUUUAAUUGUAACAGGUACAUGAACAACAAUCCAUUUGAACGAGUCAACUAUGCAAAUUGAAUAUUCACUUGAUAAGCCAUUAUGUGGCUACGAAAUGAAGAUAUCUCCACUACCGAUUAACUGGUCUAUAUUAUAGAGAAAAAGCGAAAAGUAUUGACAAGUUGAAAGUCUUUUUUAUUGGAUUGGUUGUUUUUGAUCAUGUUUAUUUGUAAUUUAGGUUUUAAAAAAAAAAACUUAAAAGAUUAAAAUGUAUUUUAAUUUAUUUUUUAUGAUCAAACAUAUUACUAAUUAUAAAUAUAUUUAUGUAUUAAAAAGUUGUAUUUAUAUAUAAAUAUGCAUACAUUUUUAAAUAUAUUACAUUUUUUUUGCUUUAGUAUAUUUUUGUAAAUUAUAUAUUAAAUAAAAAAUUAAAUUUCACAUAAACCUAGCGGGUAAACGAGCAACAAGCGAUGCCACAACCCCUUUUUAAAUGAUUAAACUAAAUCUUUUAAAAACAUCUAUAAAUCUUGGAGUCAUAACAUUACUAGGCAUGACCAGUUGGACUCUAUUAAGUAGCUCCACAGCUUUUGGCGCAAGGAAAACAAAAGUAUCAAUUGCAAAGGGUAUAAACGUGUGUUGAUUUUCCAUGCACGCUUUGUCAUGUUUUGCCGCUUUGCUUGAUGCAACUUUUUAAAGUUGUUUGUACCACAGUGAAAAUCUCACUCCCCAAGCCACAAGAGGGGAAACUCCUAUUAGAUCCACACAUGCAUGUUUUCCUCCAGCCUAUCCAAAUACUAAAAACUAUUUAGAAAGGAAAGUAGAUCUUGUAACCCAGUUAUAAAAUGCAUUGAGGAAGAAAUCAAGUUGAAGAUUUUGGGAAUGAAGCUGCAGAACAAUCCUAUUAAUGAUGAUGUGUGUAAAACAUGGGUAUUUAUGGGAUUGCAAAAAAAGAGGAGGAAUAUAAUAAAUUACAAAAUGGGAGCACACAAUUUCAAUAUGGGUUGGUUGAUUCAGAAAAAAAAAAAAAAAAUCAAGUGGAGAAUUUGGAUGGGUUGUGUAGCUGGAAGUUUUAUGUUUUAUGGAAUUGACGAAAAUUGCAAUGUAAUGGAAGGCUUUCCUUUAGUUAAAUUUGCUUAAACCAUAAGGGAUGUUUGUUUGAGUAUGAUCUAUAUUGAGAUUACUCAAACUUUCAUCCGUGUACAUGUGAUUGAUGUCAUGUCUAGAAUGCAACUCUAUGGAAUUGAUGGUUACAACCUUACUUGCUUGUGUCUAGUUUUUAAUCACUUAAUGUCAUAACUCUUUAACCAUAACCCUUACACACUAACCUACAUGACUUAAUUUAAUAACCUUUUAACCCUAACCCAUAUGGUUUAGUGACAUAACCCUUUAACCCUAACCAAUAUGAUUUAAUGUCAUAACUAAUGUGAAAUUGGGAGGUGGUCAUGAAAGUCACUUCAGCUUAGGUCCGUGUACGGAAGGUAAUCCUGUUUUGUCUACUGAAUGCGAACCUAUUUGGACUAUUCAUGGUUGCGAACAAUGUUUGAUUUAGUUUACGAGCCUUAUCUACCUUGCCUUCCAUCUUCCAUUCUACUUUCGCAAUCCCUAACAAGGAUGUAUUGCAUCGAGGAAGAACCAACGAAUACAAAUUGAAACAUAAUGGGAAGAAGAUUAUGUUAAAGCCUAUGACUGUGAUUGAGGUGGGAUCAAUGUGAAAGCAUCAAGGUAAGCAUUCAAGUCGUAAAAUAAUAGUUGUUGUGUAACGACCCAAAUUUUCAAAUAAAACUUUUCAUUAAAAGUACUAAAUCGUGCUCUUUAAUUAUAAAAUUCCAGUCACAGUUGUUUUAAAAAAUCAAUAACAUCAGAUAAAUUAUUCAUGAAAUCAGAGUGUCCCCAAACAAAACGCUAAAGAAUGCAUGUCGUGCCAUCACAUCGGGCUCUUGCCCUUAGAUCCAGAAGUACCUGAAACAACCAACAAAUUGUAAGCUAACGCUUAGUGGGUUCCCCAUAACAUACCCCACACAAUCCACAUAAUCAUAUAAACCAUAUCAACCAUACACGCCAUUCAUAUAAACAUAUACGAGUGUUGUGGGCACCCCCAUGGUCUUACACCUAUGUGACAUGGGCACCCCCUAUAGUCUUACUUGGAAUGUCAUGGGCACCCCCUAUAGUCUUACUUGGAAUGUCAUAGGCACCCCCACAUGGUCUUUAUAACCAAGUGUCAUGGGCACCCUCAUGGUCUUUACCUGGAAUGCCAUGGGCACCCCCACAUGGUCUGACAUCCAAGUGACACAGGCUCCCUCAGGGUCUUCCAUGCAAGUAUCACAAGACAACUAGCAUAUCACGUACUACAUAAUCAACUAGUAUACCACAUAACAUGUAAUGGGCCGCCCUUGGUGCAUGCGACCCAUUAGUACUGUGACGAGACUCACCUUAGUCUGAUGAACACGAAAGUUAUCCGCCUAAUAGUUUGAAACCACCUGCGUUGAACCAUAAUACAUUAACCCAAAUUGAGGAUUGAAUAUAAUCUAGUUAAAGAACCUAAUUACCUAAGCCCAAAUCCUUCCAUAAUGGCCCAAGAGCCUUUCCUUUGCUAAUGGGCCCAAAGUCCAUGUCCAAAGAUAUUAAUGGGCCACAUAACCCAAUAAGGCCCAACCAAAACAACCAUGGCCCAAAACAGAUUAAUCGGACCACUAACCCAAAAUAUCUCCAAGACUAAAACUAAUUAAGGCCCAAAGGCCUUACAAGCCCAAACGAAACCCAAAACCAACUGGGGUGUGUACGCCAAGCGUACCACUUCAGUACGCUCAGCGUACUGAGUCCUUAGUUGUACGCGUUGCAUGUGCUAUAUUACGCCCAACGUACAAGCAUAUUAAGCACCAUUUCCAUUAAGUGUCUGAUACUUGAUAUUCUAACGUCCAAUAUCAUAUCUGAGCUCAUUAAGACGUCCUAGGGCAUAAAGUUGCCAACUUUAUGCCCUUGCAUGCUAUAAGGGACUUUGUAACAUCCCAAAUUUCAAGACCAAAAAUUUUGUUUUUAAUUAAGUAAUAUAUAAAACAGUUUACUAAAAAGCAUCAUCGAUUUAUAUCAUUUCAUAAAACCAUAGUCAUGUGUCUCAAAACCAUUUCAUUAAAUAAUAAUAAUGUCAGAGUACAAUCCCAAGAAUCUCAUAAAGCGGAAAUUGUGUGUGUGUGAUGUGUUGUUACCGUGUGUCACACCCCCGAACCAGACGGCGGAAACGUCCGAGGGCUAUUGUGACUUAAUUGAAUACCAUCACAAUGAUUAUACAUGAAUCAUAACAUCAUUCAUCACCAUGCAUUGAAAUAUUACAACUGAUAUUGUUUACAUUCAGUACAUCGUUUUAAACAUUACAUUUCCAAAACAUAAACCGUUCGAUACUAAUUUAAACAAAACACCAUGACAUCACUGGAUACAUAUUCUUCGAUUUACCUGUUACCUGAGAAUACAAGUAUUUUGGAAAAAACAUCAACAUAAGAAAUGUUGGUGAGUUCAUAAGUCAUGUUUGAAAAAUAAUGAUUUUUGUGAAGUUUGAAAACCCAAAAAAUCCGAUAUUUUCUGAAAAGAGUAUUGUAUUUAAGAAAAAGUGUGAAGAUCCAUAAGUAUGCUUGUUGAUUCUUGUAACGUGUAUAAUUGUUAAACUUUGUAUACAUCACGAAGGUAAAAGUGUUGAACUCCCCGGGAAAACCCGCUGUUUUCCUCAUACAUAAAAUUUUGUGUCUUAUUUAUUGUUAUACCGAUACGACGUUUGUUUUCGAUAAUUCCAGGUGACAUUGAAUUAAUUACGGGUUGUGAGUCGUUAUAAUCACGCAUUAAUGAAAAUGACUAGUUUAUAACUACCAAAUACAAACGAUCCCUUAGGCGUCGUCCGUACUACUCACUUAAUCCAACCACCCUGACUUCUCAUAGCCCCACAACCGAGGAGAAAGGAGGGUACGAAGCCCCCGUUAUUUCCAUAAGUCGUUCAAGGCUAUCGGGAAUGCGAAAGGCACUUGGCCCGACUCGCAUUUGACUUCUCGACUUUUCUAGCAGUAACAAUGGACCCUUGGGGCCCAAAAACACAAUAAAGCUAUUGAAAGUCCUUUUACAUGGAAUUAGGUGAUAGAAGGCCUAAUAACAUGUAAGCGCGUUCCCUUCGGGCCUAAAGAUCAUGUUAUUGGGCUAGCUAGGUCCAACAAGCACGAUUUGAAACUUUCAAGCCCAAAGAUUGAAUAUUGACUUCUCGUAAAUUUCGCGUGUUUAUUGAGGUACUAUUGUUUAUUGAUUUUUGAUUCAUUAUUGAUUCGAGACCGAAUCAAUUCGUUUGGUAACGAUAUUGGUGUUGAAAACGUAUUUGUUAUUACGUUUCGCCGGUAGUCAUGGUGCUCGUAUUUUAUCUUAAGGGAUUUAUUUGUUUAAAUGUAAGAGUUUACCUUUUUAUGACCCUUCUUUGAUAAAAUUUACACUUUUAAUCCUUUAUAUAAAAGAAUUUCCAUUUUAGUCCUUAAACCAUUUUUCUUGACACUUUAGGAUCAAAACUUAUUGAAAAGACAUUUUCAGCCCAGAUUUACUUGAUAAACAGCUUAAGUCCUUCAAAAAUGAAGUUUUCUCGGUUGGAACCCCCAUUUUCGCAAACUUUACAGUUUUGGCCCAAAAUGGAAAAUUUUUGCAUUUUUGAUCCCUUUUGACUUUGAAAAACAUUUUUGACCUUUGAAAUGGUUUUAGUACACUUGUAAUCCUCUGCUUUGCAGAAAGUUGCUUUUCCAGCCCCUCAAUUUCAAAAAUCUCGCAAUUUUAGGCUUUUUGGGCCGAAAAGCCCAUUUUAGCCCAUUAUAUUCAAAAUUUACAUUUUAAGCCCCUCAAAAGUGUUGAUAUUCAGAAAAAUUAUAUUAGAAACUGUUUGGACCCUUCUCAACCUCCAGAAAUUAUCAUUUUUCGUUUUGGGCCCUUAGUUUUAUAUUUUUUACAAUUUAAGCCCAAAAAUGGGUUUUAUGGCCAAAUAUGUUGUUCCUAACCAAAUGAACUAUUUUUCUUGACUUGAUUAGCAUGAAAUGGUGUAAGUUAUGUUUAUUUCCUUCCUCAUGUUAUAGAUCUCGGUUUUUAGGGACUUUUUGGCUAACAUAUUCAUCACAAAACACAUAAAAUCAUACAUACAAGCAUAAAAAUCACACAAGGCAUACAUUUACUCAUAGAUCUACACAUUUGCUUGUAUUCUCCCCCAUAAAAACUCAUAAAAACCGAAAAAGAGGGGGUAUGAAGCUCACCUUGGGUGUGGUUUCGGUUUUGGAAGGAAAAGAUGAGAAGAAUUCGAUCCUAACAACCUUUCUUGAAAGAUCUCGAACUUGGAUGCUUCUAAGGUGCUAGAUCAUAAGAUUGAAUGAAUUUAGAGAUGAUUUUUGAAUUAAAUGAAUAGCUAGCUUAUGGAUCCAAGCAAUAUCUUACCUUAGAUGAUGAUUUUUAUGGAAGAAAUCCCUUGAAAAGCUCUUGAUUCUCGAAAAUUUGAUGAAGAAAGGUGAGGGUUCUUUGAGNAUGGAGGAGAAAUGAGGAAGUUUCUUGAGAGAAUUGUAAGUGAAAUGUGUGUGUGUUUGGGAGCUCUCAGCCGAGAAUCAAGAAGAAAGGAGAGAAGAGAGAGGAUUGAUAAGAUGGUUGCAUGGAAAACCUUGAUGUAAAAGUGAGGUGGCAAACACACAAAGUCAACUCUUCCUCUUUGUGGGCUUGGGCCGAGAAUGGAGAGGGAAGGAGGAGAUUUUUGGGCUUUUUUCCCCUAAGCCUAUAUUAUAGUUAUGUUAAGUGAUGUUUGGUCCAAAUAAUCAUAAAUGUUAGUCUUAUGACCUAUUAGGGCUAAAUUAGGUUAAUUAUGGCCCAAAAUGGCUCAUAUAAUUAAUUUUUUUCAUUCUAGGCCCAAUAUGGCCCAAAUUAUCGAAAUAAAUGGAAGUGGGUCCAACUAGAUCCCAUUUUCUUGUUCUAAGCCCAAGAUGGUAAAAUUGGAAGCUUAUUGGUCCAUUGGGCCCAAUAAGGAAGUACUAGUCCAAAAUGGACUUAACAAGAACUUCUAGGGUUUCCAAUUGCUUAUUGACUACUUGAAAUGCUUGCAUGGGGUUUUCGAUUGAAAUUUUGUUGUCAUAGAUUAUGCAUUAUACAUGAUCUUAUGUCUUUGAUUCAUAAUUUGGCUUAAGUGUUGUAGUUACAAGGCACAAAAAUUUCUAGUUGUGACAUCAUCCCCCCGUUAGAGGGAAUUUCGUACCAAAAUUCUUUUGAAAGCUAGAUUUGAGAAUGAUAGAAUAGGUGAGGGUACUUUUGCUUCAUUUGGUCUUCGUGUUCCCACGUGAAUUCUGUCCCACGCUUCGCGUUCCACCGUACUUUCAUGAUCGGGAUGCGACUUUGUUUAGUACGCUUCACCUCCUUGUCUAUGAUUUCGACCGGUUCCUCAACGACCAGGAGAUUCUCGUUGAUUUCAAUCUCGUCAAGAGGAAUGACAAGAGUUUCAUCUGAUAGGCACUUCUUUAGAUUGGAAACAUGGAACACGGGGUGUACACUGUUUAGCUCAGCGGGUAGUUUCAGUUUGUACGCCACUAGACCUAUUCUGGCAACGAUCUCGAAAGGUCCAAUGUAUCGUGGGUUCAGUUUUCCCCGUUUUCCAAAACGAAUGACCCCUUUCCAAGGUGAAACUUUUAACAGCACUCGAUCCCCGACCUGAAACUCUAAGGGCUUUCGCCGUUUAUCAGCAUAACUCUUUUGUCGGUCGCGCGAUGCUUGUAGUCGAGCUCUGAUUUGAACUUUCUUUUCCAUGGUUUCACGAAUGAUCUCCAGUCCCGUUAACGCCUUGUCCGAUGCUAGUUUCUUUGCUAGCUGGGUGUCGCCCACCUCAGCCCAACACAACGGUGAUCUACACUUACGUCCAUAUAGUGCUUCGAAAGGAGCGACUUUGAUGCUCGAAUGGUAACUGUUCUUAUACGAGAACUGAACUAAGGGUAAGUGGGUAUCCCAUGACUUCCCAAAGUCUAUCACACAUGCGCAAAGCAUGUCUUCGAGCGUCUGGAUAGUUCGUUCGCUUUGACCAUCCGUUUGUGGGUCAUAAGCGGUGCUCAUGUCUAGAUGGGUUCCAAGUGCUUUUUGAAGUGAUUGCCAAAAACGUGAAGUGAAUCUACUGUCUUUAUCUGAGAUGAUAGACACUGGUACUCCGUGAAGUUUCACGAUUUCUCGAAUGUAUUAUCGUGUCAGUCUCUCCAUCUUGUAGGAUUCUUUUAUUGGCAGGAAAUGGGCGGAUUUCGUCAGUCGGUCAACUAUUACCCAUAUACUGUCUAAUCCGUCCGACUUCUUGGGUAGCUUGGUUACAAAGUCCAUGGAAAUCCCUUCCCAUUUCCACUCGGGGAUCACCGGUUGCUGUAAUAACCCCGAGGGCUUCUGGUACUUCACCUUUACGCAAGUAAGGCAUUUGCUGACAUAGGUGGCAAUUUCUGCCUUCAUGUUACGCCACCCAUAAUGUUGUUUAAUAUCCAAGUACAUCUUGUCCGAACCUGGAUGGAUGGAGUAUCGCGUCUUGUGAGCUUCAUUCAUGACUACCUCCCUAAAUCCUCCGAGUUUAGGGACCCAAAUACGGUUCAUGAAAUAGUAUACUCCGUUCUCCUUUACCUCUAGAUUCUUCUCCAUCCCGCGUAAUGCUUCGCUUGCUCUUUUUCCCUUUUCAUGGCCUCUGACUGUACUACCCCGAUCUGAGUGUUUAGGUGAGAUUGGAUGGUUAUUGAGAGAGUUUUCGCACGACGAUUAGAGUACUCCUUCCGGCUCAAGGCAUCAGCUACCACGUUGGCCUUGCCUGGGUGGUACUUGAUUUCACACUCGUAAUCGUUUAAUAGCUCAACCCAUCUUCGUUGCCUCAUAUUCAGCUCUUUCUGAUUCAAGAUGUGCUGGAGACUUUUGUGGUCCGUGAAGAUGGUGCACUUCGUACCAUAAAGGUAAUGCCUCCAAAUCUUCAGAGCAAAGACCAUUGCUCCCAAUUCCAGAUCAUGGGUUGUAUAAUUCACUUCGUGUGUCUUUAGUUGGCGGGAUGCGUAAGCUAUCACUCUUCCACGCUGCAUGAGAACGCAACCUAAACCCUGAUUCGAAGCAUCACAGUAGACCACGAAAUCUUCCAUUCCCUCUGGUAGAGAUAGUACCGGGGCACUGCAGAGGGCUUGCUUCAGGGUUCGGAAUGCAACUUCUUGUUUGUCCGUCCAUUUGAAUGGUACGCCCUUUUGUGUAAGCGAUGUAAGUGGCUUGGCGAUCUUAGAGAAGUUUUGAAUGAACCUCCUAUAGUAGCCUGCUAGGCCUAUGAAUUGGCGAAUUUCUGUGGGUGUCGUCGGGACUGCCCAUCCUUCGACGGCUUUGACCUUAGAAGGAUCCACAUGAAUUCCUUCCCGACUAACAACAUGACCUAGGAAGCUCACGCUACGCAGCCAGAACUCACACUUGGAGAGUUUUGCAUAUAGUUUUUCCGUUUGCAGGGCUUCUAGGAUGUGUCGGAGAUGUUGGCCAUGCUCUUCUUCGCUUCGGGAAUAGACUAGAAUGUUGUCAAUGAAGAUGAUGACAAAGUUGUCGAGGAGUGGUCGACAUAUUCGGUUCAUCAGGUCCAUAAAUGCGGCAGGGGCAUUUGUUAGACUGAAGGGCAUUACAACAAAUUCAUAAUUUCCUUCAAAAAUGAAGUUUUCUCGGUUGGAACCCCCAUUUUCGCAAACUUUACAGUUUUGGCCCAAAAUGGAAAUUUUUUGCAUUUUUGAUCCCUUUUGACUUUGAAAUUUUUUUUGACCUUUGAAAUGGUUUUAAUACACUUAUAAUCCUCUGUUUUGCAGAAAGUUGCUUUUCCAGCCCCUCAAUUUCAAAAAUCUUGCAAUUUUUGGCUUAUUGGGCCGAAAAGCCCAUUUUAGCCCAUUAUGUUCAAAAUUUACAUUUUAAGCCCCUCAAAAGUGUUGAUAUUCAGAAAAAUUAUAUUAGAAACUGUUUGGACCCUUUUCAACCUCCAGAAAUUAUCAUUUGUCGUUUUGGGCCCUUAGUUUUGUAUUUUUGACAAUUUAAGCCCAAAAAUGGGUUUUAUGGCCAAAUAUGUUGUUCCUAACCAAAUGAAAUAUUUUUCUUGACUUGAUUAGCAUGAAAUGGUGUAACUUAUGUUUAUUUCCUUCCUCAUGUUAUAGAUCUCGGUUUUUAGGUACUUUUUGGCUAACAUAUUCAUCACAAAACACAUAAAAUCAUACAUACAAGCAUAAAAAUCACACAAGGCAUACAUUUACUCAUAGAUCUACACAUUUGCUUGUAUUCUCACCCAUAAAAACUCAUAAAAACCGAAAAAGAGGGGGUAUGAAGCUCACCUUGGGUGUGGUUUCGGUUUUGGAAGGAAAAGAUGAGAAGAAUUCGAUGCUAGCAACCUUUCUUGAAAGAUAUCGAACUUGGAUGCUUCUAAGGUGCUAGAUCAUAAGUUUGAAUGAAUUUAGAGAUGAUUUUUGAAUGAAAUGUAAAAGUGAGGUGGCACACACACAAAGUCAACUCUUCCUCUUUGUGGGCUUGAGCCGAGAAUGGAGAGGGAAGGAGGAGAUUUUUGGGCUUUUUCCCCUAAGCCUAUAUUAUAGUUAUAUUAAGUGAUGUUUGGUCCAAAUAAUCAUCAAUGUGAGUCCUAUGACCUAUUAGGGCUAAAUUACGUUAAUUAUGGCCCAAAAUGGCUCAUAUAAUUAAUUUUUUUCAUUCUAGGCCCAAUAUGGCCCAAAUUAUCGAAAUAAAUGGAAGUGGGUCUAAUUAGAGCCCAUUUAAGAGUUCUAAGCCCAAGAUGGUCAAAUUGGAAGCUUAUUGGUACAUUGGGCCCAAUAAGGAAGUCCUAGUCCAAAAUGGACUUAACAAGAACUUCUAGGGUUUCCAAUUGCUUAUUGACUACUUGAAAUGCUUGCAUGGGGUGUUUGAUUGAAAUUUUGUUGUCAUAGAGUAUGCAUUAUACAUGCUCUUAUGUCUUUGAUUCAUAAUUUUGCUUAAGGGUUGUUGUUACAAGGCACAAAAAUUUCUAGUUGUGACAUCGUGCCGACUCAUUCCCCUUCGAAGAAGAGGUACCUGAAAACAAAACUGAAAAUGUAAGCACAAAUCUUAGUGAGUUCCCCAAUCAUACCACAUAACACAUACUGCCAGACGAUUCUAGGGUGCCCGACCUACCCUGCUAGACAAUUCUAGGGUGCCCGACCUACUCAUGUCAAGCAUGUCUGGGGUGCUCGACCUACCCUGCCAAGCCAUUCUGGGGUGCCCGACCUAUCCUGUCUGGCAAUUCUGGGGUGCCGACCUACCCUCCGGUUUAUCUUAACCGCUACGGGGACUAUUUCACCCCUACUACUACCACAUAAUAACAUAGCAUAAACAUAUGUUAAGCAUAUUUGGGGUGUCUGGCCUACCCUUCGGUCCUUAUGACCAUAACACGGGGACUAUUCCCCUCUUACUACCACUAUCACAUAACAACAUACUGUAAAUAUACUAUCAGGCAUAUCUGGGGUGCCUGACCUACCCUUCGGUCCUUACAACCGUAACACGGGGACUAUUCCCCCUACUAUCUGUUGGAUUAGUGUCUAAGCCCGUAACCAUAUUUGUCAAGUACUUGACCCGAUUGUGCAUAGUCCUUUUGGGUUGCCUUCACCGAAGCAACUUGACUGGAGAAAUAAUAGAGAAAGAAGUUAUUAUGAUUUAUUAAAUGUUAUAAGAAUAAUAUAUUAAAGGAGAAAUCAUAUUUGUUUAAUUAAUAUUGGUCAAUAAUUAGUUAAGAAUUAAUUUAGUGAUCAAGUGUAAUUAAUUAAACUAGAGGGGCUGAAUUGUAAUUAUGUGAUAGUUACAAAAUAGGGUAAUGGUUAUCCUAGAUAUAGGUUGGACGAAUUCAAGGGAUAAGAUAUCCUUGAAAUCGUCCAAAGGAUAAAGGAUAAAGGGUUUUCAAGGCUUAUCUUAUUGUUACUUGGUGGGCAAGCAACUAGAUAAGGAUAAGGAUUGAAACCCUAAUCUCUACACCUAUAUUAACACCCCUUUUGGCACAUGAAUUCGUCCAUGCCUUCCUAAUGGGUUCUUAGGUCCGAUUUCAUACCUCCUCCCUCUCUCUAUUGCCUCUCCAAUUACUUGUGGUGUUUGUGAGCCAUUAGAGGUACUACACUUGUGGUACUUGCUUUCAAGACUUAGGGUUUGAAGAUUUGAGUUGUUAUUGCAAUAUAACAACAAGAGGUAUGUGAUCUAAUCUUCUAUGUGUAUUUCGAAAAUACUAGGGCAUAUUAGUAUUUCUUUAUGUGUUCAUAAUGUUGUGUAUCUAAUAGUUAAAACAUAGAUCCAAUUCUAGGGUUGCAUGCACACAUAGGAUUUUUUUUACAAAACCCAUCAGUGGUAUCAGAGACUUCGGUUAACUUGUUUUCAAUUAGUAUUAUUCAAUUGUAUGAACUUGACAUAUUAGGGUUUAUAGCAAAUAAACCCUAGGAGGCAAGAAUUUCGAGAUUAGGGUUUGUAAAUCCUAAAUUUGUGAAAAUUAUGAAAGGGUUUUUUAAAAUCCUUUCCUUUGGUUCAAGAUUUCGAAAUCUAGGGUUUGCAAACUCUAGGAUUUUCGAGAUUAGCCUCCUCCCCAAGAUAAGAUCCUAAAUUUUAGGGAUUUGGAUUAUCCUAUAUCUUGUAAUUAUCCUUUAAUGGUUAUAUAUGGUAAUUAAAGACUUUGAAUUAUCCUAUCCCAUGAUUUUCGAAAUUUACAGGGAUAAAUUAAUUGUUUAAUUGGUAAUUAUCCUUCAUGAUUUAAUUAAUCCCUUAUGAUUUAAUAAUUUAAAUUAAUAGUUUAAUUCAAGAUAAUUAUUAAAUCAAGAGUUUUAAUAUUUAAAAUUUUAAUUUAAAUAUUCUUAAAUUUCGAAAAUUUUAAAGUGAGAUUAAAACCUAACUGUUUUGAAAAGUUUCAAAACCUGCCCUCAAGUUUCGGAAUUUCAUUAGUUGAUUAAAAGUUUAAUUUUGAAAAAUGUUAAAUUCUAAAACCCUAAUUUUGAAAAAGUUCAAAUUACACCCUUAUGGUUUUAUUAAAUUAAUUAAGUGUAUAAUUAAAAGAGAGUUAAUAAAUCCAUAAUGAUGAAGUUUAUAUUUUAUUAAAAGUGUAUUUUAUAAAAUUUUAAACCACCUAGUAUUUUAAAAGUAUAAAAUGCACCCUUAUACUAUGUAUAACAUUAAAAGUCUAAUAUUAUAUAUGUAUAACUAAAAUGCUAGUCUUACCAUUAGUAGGCCUCAUUCACGAAGCCGAUUUAUAAGGGGGUAUAAGGUUAUGGCCUAUAAAAUGGCCGUUUAAUGGGUAUCCACUCUUACCCACCGCUUCCUUGAUUGGUGGAGGGUCGUUAGCCGAAUGGGUAGGAUAAGACAAAAAGUGAAAUUGAUGCAAUCCCAUGAAAUUGCACUUUGCACCCUUGCUAAAACUUAGUGGAGCGCGUGUGGCUAACCGGCACACUAAUUAGUUCUAAGCAAAGAUGGAAAAGGGUGACUCAAUGUUUGUCAUAGUUCGAUGGAGCGUGUGUGGUUUACCGGCACAUUGAAUAGGUGACUGUAACAAUGAGGGCACCAUGUAGAUUUGCAUGGUUAUUCACACCCACUUUGUGAUCCUCGACAUCCCAGUCACAAACGAGAGGGGCAUAUCGAGAUUUAAACAUGCCAUUGAAAAGUUCAAUGAAUCUCAAAGGAAAUCUAGGAGUUCUUAAUACAUUUAAAACUUAAGCCUUUAUGUUUUUAAUGGUGAAGAAUUACUGAAUCGUCAUUCACUUACGUCCGAAUUAUUUGCAUGUUGGAUUACGGAAUCCCUCUUCUAAUGUGUAAAUAAUGUUGUUGGAUCCUAGCCUUAAUGUCUCAUUUUGGUGUUUCAUUAAGGAUUCAAUCAACUAACUUGAAAUUUCUCCCGUUUUGUAGAUGUCUGAUUCUAACCUUGGUCUUCCCGAAUCCCAAGGAAAAGGUAUUCCUAUUAAAAGUGAAAGCUUGUUCCAAAGUGAAGGAUCAAUGUGGACUAGCUUGAUUUCACUUCCUCCUCCUCUUCCUCCCGUUGUUCUCCUUGACCCACAAGAACAAAGAUUUGAAAGGUUUAAGAUCACCGAAACCCUAUUGGCAAUGAAACAUGAAGAUGGUAAACCCGUGUGUGCUCACAUCCUAGGGAUGAAAUCACACAUUGAUAGGUUGAUUAUGUUGGGUGCGUCUUUCCCCAAUAGGUUAGCUGUGGACUGGGUUCUUCAGUCACUCCCUAAAUCAUAUGAUAAGUUAAUAAGAGAGUAUUAUAUGAUGGAUCUUGAUGCGACCCUCAUUGACUUAAUUUACAUGCUUAUUGCUGCUGAAUCAGAAAUGAUUUGGCGAAGUAAUGGAGCAUAUUUGUCUGAUAAUUUAACCAACCAUGUUUCUGUGGACACUCUAGAAGAACCCACCUGUUUCUGCUGCCAAGAGAAGGGGCAAUGGAUACGAAGCUGCCCAAAGGACCUGAAGAGUGUAAGAGAUAGGAGAGUCAAGAAGUAUGGCUCUACUUCAGGUAUAAAAUCCACUAUCUAACUCCAUUAAAUUCCUAUUCUUUAUACAUAAUGUGAUAAGAUUACAUUUGCAUGUUUUGCAGGAUUAGAGAAAAGAGAGGAAGUUUGAUGGAAGAGCAAGAUGAGUCUGAUCACGAAGAAAUGGAUUACGAUCGCAUGGAUUCGAAGAUCAGAUUUUGAGCUUAGGAAGUUAUGAUAGAUUUGUUAGGAGUAUUUGAUUACAUAGAUUUUCAGUUGAAUUUUGCAUUGUAAGGACAUGUUUUCCGCUAUUUUUAUGAAUAAAAUAAUUUUUGGUUUUAUCUUAUUUGUUUAUCCUUACAAUAGCAUAUAUGGAAAAUUGAUGUUUGUGUACUUCUAUUAUUAGCAAAAUGGAUUUGAUUCUUAAUUAGGUUAUUUAUGGAAGUGUCUAGAGUUUACCAAAUAGGGAUAGUUUCUCAUCGCCCAAGUUUCAAGUGGAUAGGAACUUGGAAUCGUAUAACAAGUAUUAUAUGAUGAAUGGAAACUUUCAUAAUUGGGAAAUUUGGAUUAAUUCCUUGACAUAGUGUCAAUUGAAGGACUAGGAGAUCAAAUACACUAGAUCGUACGUUGAUCAAGUCUACCACAAGAGUGACAAAAAUAUUCGUCAUGAUUUACUAAAGUUUAGUGAAUAUGGUUAUACCUAUAAUAUUGAGUAUAAUUCUAAGUUUAUUGAAAGAGUUUCAAUCAAUAGUGAAACGAAUAAGAAGGAUCAAGUAGGCAGAAAGAUAAAAGUCUCUCUAUUCUAAGAAGAAGGGAGAGUACAUUUUAUUAUGUUUUAUGAUAAGUCUUAAUGAUUAAGAACCUUAUCUCAAUUGAUCCUCUAAGUGAUUCUUAGUACAAUUUGUAUGUCUAAAAAGAGGAAUCGAGAAUUGUGGAAAUGGUUAAUUCAAGAAGUCAAUCAUACUUCGUUCCAACAUCAAGUCUUAGAGUUAUACACCAAGAUUUUGAAUUGAGUGACAACUCUUAAGAAGGUUUAUAAUAUUCAUCAAAUGUGGAACUUGGAAAAAGGAUUUUCUUAUUCUUGCACAUUUGAAAUUGGUAAGUUGUGAUGUCUUGGAUAAGAUGAAGGCCAACUAGGACCAAUUAUGUGAAGUCUUUUGUCUAGAUAAAAGCUACACUAACUCUUAAAUAUUUGUCAAGAAAUGUUUCUUGACAAGAGAAUCUUAUAUGUCAAGGAGUCAGUGGGAUUCUUAAUUGUCUUGAAAAGGUUUCAAGAACAAAUCAAAAAUAAACCUUAUCAAUCAUCUCUAGCACACGUCUUGAGGUUUACAACCUAUCGUGUUGACACUAAUUUUGUUUCUAUGCCAUUCCAAUUGAGUUAAUUAUGCAUGUGAGUUCUAUGAGUUCUCAAUGGGUUGUAUAGGGGAAAGGCACCUUGUUCAAUGGAAAGUACAUUGAAAUGAAGGGGUGGGAUGUUUAAUAACUUGGAAGUAAUGGUGGGACCCUUGAUGGCAAGAAAUUAAGAAGAACAAGUUCUAUCCAUAAGAAGUUUGAUUUUGUCACUAACAUUAUCUUGUGAUUAUGGUUAUGACGAAUUCACAUGGAUGGGAAUGUUUACAUCACAAAAUCUAAGUGUCAUAAGGUUUCUCUCAUUCAUGAAAAUGGUUGUGAGGAAACGCUUUCACUAAGAGUGAUUUUGAAGAUAGCAUUAUGUGAUUUGGGUUUCUCAAAUUCAACUAUGAUUACGGCAUACCUCUUCAUAGUUCGAAUUGUGGGAAAUGGAAAAUGCGUCUGAACAUUUUAGACUUAUUGAUAUGAGUUCUAGAAUUGUUUAGACAUAUACAUAUGAGCUAUCCAAGGAAAAGUGUAUGAGUUUGAUAAGCUUAGAAAAAGUCUUAUCAAAGCAUCUAGUAUUAGAAAUAUAAAUUUAAGAAAUUGUUUUUUAGAAGUUCAGCUGAUUUCUGAAUACAUGUCGAAGCUAGUGGGAGCAUAAAUAUUAUGCUGGUAAAGAAAUAAUCAUCAUGUAAGUGGGAGCAUGAUUAUUAUGGUAAGUAUUGCUAGUUAGAAAUAUUAAUUAUAGAAAACAAGAGUUAUACUUUGCAAAGUCGUAAGAGUUGAAAAGUUGUUUUGCUAUAAUUAAGGAAGAGAAUAUUGUGCUUCAUUUCAAAUCUAAAGGCUUAAAUUAUGGAAUGUUAAUAAAUUUAGUCAAGGAUACAUAGUGUGUUCUCAAAUUUCGAUAAUGGUUAAGGUAUUCCUCUUAAUAGUUCGAAUAGUGAGAACGUGACACAUAAAAUAUUAUGGCAGAAGAUUGAUAAAGUAUCAUAUCUUUAUGUAAGACACUAUGCAUCAUGUCCCAUACACUUCGGGUAUAGGAAUAAUUGCAUAUGCUAUAAUAUUUGACCAUUCUAAAAUUUUCCAAAUGUCUAGCGCAUUAAGAAGGAAAAAGGACAAGAAUUGGUAUUGACUAAGAUAAUUAAAAAACUAUCAAAGGAUGAUCUAAAGUUCGCUGAGGAUUGGUUGCUUGUGAGUAGUUGGAAGUAUGGUAUUGAAUGGACCAUAUCGACAUUAUUAUUAUGAAUAAAUAAGAUUCUAUUAAGAAUGAGUUGUCAUGUGGUAAAUAUGGAAAUGUUUCCAUAAUUGGGAGUUGAAAAUUAAGAAUUCAUGUCUAGAUUAGAAAUUUUUUAUGCAAAAGGAUGUUCAAAGGAAUGUACUUUGAGUGAGAGACAUCACAUCUAUAGAAUUGUUCUGUAAUAAUUUUUUGAUAGAGUACCUUGUGCUUUCGUUGGCCGAGUCUUUGUGAUUUUUGUGCUGUGAGUUCACAAGAGGAUCAUUGCAUUAUAUAUUAUAAUUUGACAUAUUCUAAAAGAUGGCAAGAAUUUGGUAUUCAUACACUAAUUAUAAGGAUUGGGGAUUGUGAAAUGAGUUUCAUUUGAAAAGUUUUUCAAUUGAUCUAUUUCACAAAGUAUGGACCAUAGGAAACCAAAGUGUGCAUGCUUGGAGCAUGGGACAAUUGUGGUUAUGAUUCGAGUUAUAAAGUUGAUUAUCUAAAACAUUAAAUAAUGGAUAAUGAGUAAUCAAUAUGGUGAUUAAAUAAAGGUGUUUUAUUUAUACUCACAAGUUUGGGGUCAUAUAAGAUUAAGUAUUAUCAUUGUGUUUCUCUUUGCAUGUUUUGACUUCCAGAAUAAUGGAGUUUAUUAAGAAUAAUUGAAUUAUUCAAACGGUCCACAGUCGGUCAUAUGUUGGAAGUAGGUGUGAAUGAAGACUGUCAUGAAUUGGUUUGUAGAUUGUCUAAAGUGUAUUAGACAUAGCAAUGGUUUGCUACACCGUUCAUGAGUGCUUGUGAAUAUGAUUUUGAGCAUUGGAUUAAACCCAUGCUCACCUAGAUUGCUUCAUGAAUUUUGUCACGGGUGAUUGUUGAGAUGAUAAUAUCUUGUAUUCUUGAAACCAAGAUGUGUGAGUUGUAUCUUGCGAAUCGGUUGCACAUUGAUAAUAUGUGAACACACCAGUAACUUGGUGUUAUAAAACUUAUUGUUGUGUGUGAUUUGGUGAGUGAGUGCAAGCAAACAUUGAGUCAAAGUUUAUCCGUUCCUUUUACCCAAAAUGGGAAUAAAGCGAUAUCUGUGAGCCCCUCGAUGAUUUAGUGAUGACAAAUGUAAAUGCUCGGCCGGGCUAGGGCUAAUUUGAUUUGUUCAAUUAGUCAGUCAUCGUAAAUCGGAAAUCGGGAAACAACACAUAGACUGAGAGAAUGAUUUCAAUCCAUGUCUCACGUCUAUACGAUAUCUAGAAUGGAGGAAUAUAUGAUCCCUUAUCUAAAGGACAAGUUACUGAUAAGAUCAGAGUUCGACAACGUCUUUGAGAGCUACGAUUGCUAAUAGAGUUGUACUUGCAUUUGUGGUUACUAGACUUAUCCAAGUGGGAGACUGUUGGAUUAGUGUCUAAGCCCGUAACCAUAUUUCUCAAGUACUUGACCCGAUUGUGCAUGGUCCUUUUGGGUUGCCUUCACCGGAGCAGCUUGACUGGAGAAAUAAUAGAGAAAGAGGUUAUUAUGAUUUAUUAAUAUGUUAGAAGAAUAAUAUAUUAAAGGAUAAAUCAUAUUUGUUUAAUUAAUAUUGGUCAAUAAUUAAUUAAGAAUUAAUUUAGUGAUCAAGUGUAAUUAAUUAAACUAGAGGGGCUGAAUUGUAAUUAUGUGAUAAUUACAAAAUAGGGUAAUGGUUAUUCUAGAUAUAGGUUGGACGAAUUCAAGGGAUAAGAUAUCCUUGAAAUCAUCCAAAGGAUAAAGGAUAAAGGGUUUUUAAGGCUUAUCUUAUUGUUACUUGGUGGGCAAACAACUAGAUUAGGAUAAGGACUGAAACCCUAAUCUCUACACCUAUAUAAACACCCCUUUUGGCACAGGAAUUCGUCCAUGCCUUCGUAAAGGGUUCUUAGGGACAAUUUCAUACCUCCUCCCUCUCUCUAUUGCCUCUCCAAUUGCUUGUGGUGUUUGUGAGCCAUUAGAGGUACUACACUUGUGGUACUUGCUUUCAAGACUUAGGGUUUGAAGAUUUGAGUUGUUAUUGCAAUAUAACAACAAGAGGUAUGUGAUCUAAUCUUCUAUGUGUAUUUCAAAAAUACUAGGUCAUAUUAGUGUUUCUUUAUGUGUUCAUAAUGUUGGGUAUCUAAUAGUGAAAACAUAGAUCCAAAUUUAGGUUUGCAUGCACACAUAGGAUUGUUUUUACAAAACCCAUCACUAUCUACUAUCACGUAACAUCAUAUCAUGCUAGCACAUAGUCAUUAUAGAGAACAACAUACCAGAUAAUUGUUAUGAAGACAAUUAUCUCUACUAUAACUCUUACUAGUAGGCCGACUUUGGUGCCUUAGACCCACUUCUACUGGAAGGUAACUCGCCUCAAUGUCGUGCAGUAACUGAACUGUGCUCGGCGCUGGAACCGACUCCUCUCAAACUCAUACACAUAAAAACCUUCCUUAAUCACCAUUUCAUACUUAUACCUCUUUCAAGGGUCAACUUAGGUCAAGUCAAAGUCAAGGUCAUCACCUUGGUCAAAGUCAACAUCUGGUUGACUCAACUUGCCAAGUUAACCCAACAACUCGCCGAGUUCCAUAAUCCUAAGAAUGCUAAAACUUCAACCCUACUUGCCGAGUCUUUCAAGAGCUCACCGAGUUCUCCUUUAAAAAAAGUUGAGACCUUCUACAACUGACUCGUUGAGUUUAUCCUUGAACUCAUUGAGUCCUUCAUCAUGCAAGAUGACACAUCUAGUCCUGGACUCGCCGAGUUCUCCAUGAACUCGUCGAGUUCUUUUUCAUGUAGUCGGGGCUUACUCUUGAACUCGCCGAGUUCCAUGAUCUUCAGGUCCACAAUGAACCCAAUAGGCUGAGUGUUCUUCCACUCAACACAUUAUCCAUUAACAGAAGAGGUUUGGGGGAAACUGCGACCCGACUCGCCGAGUUGUAUGAUCGACUCACCGAGUCCCUCCAUGUCCAAAAUUAUUUAGUCGAUUUUAGUUGGUCUUAAUGCAUCCAAAACAUAGAUCUGACCUCUUAGGGUCCAUAUUACAAGUAAAGUUACAAACUUGACGUUCAUGCAUGGGGUAUUUUGCUCAAAUGGUCCUAAAAAGAGGUUUAUAUGAUGCAUGGGACUGACAUGGCCAUGAAGCAGGCACCUUUAUGCCAUGGGAACCCUCAAUGGUUCCAGAUCCGAAGUCAUACCCCUCUAGAACCACAAAAUCCCUAAAAUGGCUCUACUAAAGCUUAGAAAAGGUAGGAACUUGCCCUAACUAGAGAUCUAAACGAUAAAUGGUCAAGGUUGAAGCUUUUUACCUUAAACAAGUUGGAAAUGUGCCAAAACUUCUAGAUCUACUUGCCUUCUCUUGAUCUCCCAAGCCUUCUCCUUCUUCUCAAUCUUCAAACACACACAAAAUGUCACAAAGAGCUCAAAGUCACUCAAAAAUCGAUUAGGGUUUCAUGAGGAGGGUCUAAGGGUGUUGGAGGCUGUAAAUGAAGCCAUUUAAGGUGUUUAAAUAGGGUGCAAACCCUUAAGAUUAGGGUUUCCUUCCGACAGGCCUAUUCGUCAAGUUGGAGCAUCUGACUAGGCGAGUAGGUCCUUCCACUCGCGUCUAAGUUCAUAUAAAGCUUCAUAACUUCAAAACAUCAUUCUUCACAUUAGGACUUCAUAUAAAGCUUCAAACUCAUGCAUGGAGUCUAGAUAACAUUCAAUCUAGCACCUUUAUGCAUCUAGCAUGCUCACAAAGCUCAGAUCUAACCAUCUUAGUCUCUGGAGUUGCUUAACUCUCAAGAGAAGAUCGAAGAACCAAAAAGGGACAAUAUAGAAAAUCCUAACACAAUAUAAUGAAUAAGAUGGCAAGAUUAAGACUUUAUACCUCCAUAAUCUCCUCAAUGUGAACAAGAUGUAGGUUCUUGAAGUUCAAUGCCACUCCAAGCUUGCUCACUAACUUCGUAUUCUUGAAUAAGCUCCAAAAUGGCCACCAACACACUCUUAUGCUCCAAAAUCACCCUAUCAAGGGAAAACUAAGGUAAAGGGAAGAAAUAAGACUCUAGAGUUUGGUCCAAGUUACUUAAGGAUGAAUAAAUAGGUCUCAAGUCCAAGUUUUAGGGUUUUGGUCCUCUGUCGCGUAUGCCCCACGUGCUUAAUAUUCCUACGCGAUCCUUCCUCCAUAGUACACUAAUUGUACACUUAGGUACGCCCAUCGUACAAAAGGGACAUUUUUGCCAAAUUAAAUCAUUUAAAGGGGUUAGAACGGUUUACAUGAUUUGGAGUGUUACAACUCUCCCCCACUUGGACUAGAAUUUGUCCUCGAAGUCUGCAGACGCAAACGGAUUCGGGUAAUGUUCCUGCAUCUCACCCUACAGCUUCCAUGUCCAUUCAGAGCCUUUUCGGUGCAGCCAUUGCACCUUCACUAGCUUCACUUCCUUGUUACGAAGAACUUUAGUCUUCCUAUCCAAAACCGUAAUGGGUUUAUCAAUGUAGUUCAGGCUCUCAUCUACCUGGAUGUUGUCCAAAGAGAUAACUGCAGCCUCGUCAGUGACACACUUCCAGAGCUGGGACACAUGGAAAGUGUUAUUAAUUUGACUCAGCUCAUCCGGAAGGUCCAGUCGAUAAGCAACCCUACUGACUCAGGCAAAAAUCCUGAACGGACCAAUAAACCGGGGCCCCAACUUACCCCUCUUCCGAAUCCUAAUGACACCUUUCGAUGGUGACACUUUCAGCAAGACGAAAUCUCCCACCUGAAACUAGAGGUCCAAUCGGCGUUGGUCAACAUAACUCUUUUGACGGCUCUGUGCGACUCACAGCCUGUCGUGCACCUACUGAAUCAACUCGGUAGUCUUGAGCACCACCUCGGUGCUUCCCAUGACUCGAUGUCCUACCUCGCCCUAGUAUACGGGAGUCCUACACCUCCGACCAUACAACAUCUCAAACGGGGGUUAGUCAAUACUAGCAUGAUAACUAUUGUUAUAUGAAAACUUUGCUAGGGGGAAGAAGGUAUCCCAACUCCCUCCGAAGUCCAAUAGACAAGCUCGAAGCAUAUCCUCGAGUGUCUGAAUCUUCCGCUCGCUCUGACCAUCGGUCUGAGGGUGGUAAGCGGUGCUGAAAUAUAAAUGGGUGCCCAAUUCUUCAUGGAACUUCCUCCAAAACCUGGAGUUGAAUUGGAAAUCAUGGUCCGGUACCACGAACACCGGCACUCCAUGCCUAACCACCACCUCUCGCACAUAGAUAUCUGUUAAUUUCUCAAUAGAGAUACUCUCAAAGAUAAGAAUAAAAUGCACACUCUUCGUCAACCUUUCCACAAUGACCCAAAUGGAAUCCACGACCCUCGCCAUCCUCGGUAACUUCGUGAUAAAGUCCAUGGUGAUCUCUUCCUAUUUCCACAUGGGAAUGGGUAGCGGCUGAACCUUGCCGUGAGGCCUCUGAUGUUCGGCCUUGACCUUUCUAUAGGUCAAGCACCGCUACACGAACCAAGCGACCUCUCGCUUCAUACAGGGCCACCAGUAACUCAACCUCAGAUCUCUAUACAUUUUUGUAGCCCCAGGAUGAAUAGAGAACUUUGACUUGUAUGCCUCCUCCAAGAUCUUUUAUCUCACUCCCCCAGAUGCCGGUACCCGCCACACGGUGUCAAUAGAACCCGACCAUCCCGAACAAAAAAGGGAAUCUGACCCCAAAUCCCCUCUAACUUCCAGUUUUCUCUCUUCAAACCUUCCACCUGAGCCUUCUUGAUCAUAUCCUGCAACAGGGAAAUCAUUAUCAUCCUCAGACAAACAUCUCUAAUCAGAGCACUUGUUGCCUUACAGCUCAGAGCAUCGGCCACCACAUUGGACUUCCCGGGGCGGUACAAAAUCUCGCAAUCAUAGUCUUUCAGUACAUCCAACCACCUCCUCUGCCACAUAUUCAGGUUCUGUUGAUCCAUCAAAUAUUUCAAACUUUUGUUGUUAGUAUAGAUGGUAAACCGAACUCCGUACAAAUAGUGCCUCCAGAUUUUGAGGGCAAACACCACCGCCCCCAAUUUCAAGUCGUGAGUGGUGUAGUUCGCCUCAUGAGGCUAUAGUUACCUUGAGGCGUACGCGAUCAAAUACCCCUCUGCAUCAAAACAACCCCUAACCAUGUGAUAGACGCAUCACAGUACACCACCAAGUCAUCCAAGCCCUCGGGUAGCACCAAAAUCGGGGCCUCACAUAGUCUCUAUCUCAAAGUCUCAAAAACCGACUGCUGAUCCGAGACCCACCGAAAUGUCACAUUCUUCUUGGUCAAGCGAGUCAAAGGUACCGCGAUCUUGGAGAAAUCAUGAAUAAAUCUCCGUUAAUAACCCGCUAGGCCCAAGAAGCUACGGAUCUCAGAUGCAUUCUUUGGUAUUUCCCAUCGCAUCACUGCCUCAAUUUUGGCUGGAUCAACCAAAAUACCCUUUUUGUUAAUAAUAUGACCAAAAACUGCACCUCAUGCAACCAUAAAUCACAAUUUGAGAACUUGGCAUAAGGCCUUUCUGUCCCUAGUGUCUCUAAUGCUUCUCUCAAAUGUUGCUCAUGCUGCUCCUUGGUCUUAGAAUAGACAUAGAUGUCAUCGAUAAAAACGAUCACAUGCCGAUCCAACAUCAGCCUACACACCAUGUUCGUUAGGUCCAGGAACGUUGUUGGGGAAUUGGUGAGCUCAAACGGCAUCACCACAAACUCAGAGUGGUCGUACCGAGUCUUGAAAGUUGACUUCAGUAUAUCCUCAUCCCUAAUCCUCAUCUGACGGUAAUCUUGGAAAACCAAGAUGCACCCUGAAGCUGAUCGAAUAAAUCAUCGAUCCUAGGAAGCGGAUAACGGUUUUUCACCAUUAGCUUGUUCAGCUCUCGAUAAUUGAUGCACAUCCUGUGUGACCCGUCCUUCUUCUUUACAAAUAAGAUCAGUGCUCCCCACUGAGAGCUACUUGGACGGAUGAACCCUCGGUCUAGCAGCUCUUAAAGUUGCGUAGACAGCUCCUGCAUCUCAGAAGGAGCUAAUCGGUACGGUGCCUUAGCUUUUGGAGCUGUACCCGACACUAAAUCAAUGCGAAACUCUACUUGCCUCUACAGAGGCACCCCAUGCAACUUCUUGGGAAAAGCAUCCCGAAAAUCUCGUAUAACUGGUACAUUGUCCAAAUUUGUCGUGGUCUCAACCCUUGUAUCUGAGAUGUAUGCCAAAAUUCCCGAACAACCCUGAUGAAGAAGUCUCCUAGCUCUUGUAGCCGAAUAGAGGGUUGGCCCCUGUGAGGCCCUCUCUCCCAGAAUAACCAGUUCUCCACCACUUAGGUUUCAAACUCUCACCAGCUGGCGCUCACAGUCUAUCGUGGCCCCCAUUGGCCCCCACCCAGUCCAUUCCGACGAUCACCUUUAGCCCUCGCAACAGUAUUGGAACCAAAUCAACACAAAACUUCUCCUCAAACACAUUCAGGACACAAUUCUGAUAUACCCUCGCAACGCUCACGGUGUGGUCAUCAGCAAUCUCAACCUCAAGCUUGGAAUCCAAAGUCCCCAAAGCAUCCCGAAACUUCUUGCUAAGCUCAAGAGAUACGAACGAUCGGGAAGCUCCCGAAUAAAAAAGAACAUGAGCCGACAUACCAUUAACCAAAAACGUCCCUAUAUAAGAAUACAUACAUAUAUAGGCAUAACAAAUUAAUAUCGAGCGGGAAAAUAAAUUAUGUACCAGCCACGACGUCUGGCGCUGCUUGAGCCUCCUUUGUGGUCAACUGAAAUAUGCGGCACUUCAUCGCAGGAGUAUCCGCCUUGGGAGGGCGGCCAUCCGUGAUCAUCAUUGUGGCGGGCGCAGGCACCGCCACCGCCCCUCCUCCUCCAUGCAACCUCAGACAAUCAACCUUUUUAUGGUCGGUCUGGUUUCAGUGAAAAGAAAUCAAGCCCUUCUUGGGGAAAUCCCUGCUCAUUUGGCCCUAUUGUCCACACGUGUAACAUCCUGAGCCCGCUGUCCGUCAUCCCUCAUUGUGCGGCUUACCACACUUGGAAUAUCGGUCACGCCCUGCUGGCCCCUACUGGAAGAGUCAGAGGUCUUAGGCUUUUUAGCCUGACCUACAUCUAUCUGAGCCUACUCUAGCUUCUCCACCAUCUCAUUCAGGGUUUUGCACCCGGAAAAGCUCACGAACUCACGAAUAUCAUCCCCCAGCAUGGAAUGAUACCUCGUCCUCCUCAUAUCCAUAUAUACAGCUUGCUAAGGAAUCAAUAGUGCUCGUUCCCGAAACUUGGCGCUGAUCUCCGCCACGGUCUCGGUGGUCUGCUGUAGAUCCUGAAACUCCCUCACUAACUGUUGCACCUCAAUGGAUGGUGCAAACUCCAAAUCAAAAUGCCUGACCAAUUCCUCCCAUGACAUCUCACCCACUCCGGCUGAUCCCACCUGGUGGGUCGCGCCCUCCCACUAGUCCCUGGCUCGAUCCCUCAGCAUGCACGAAGUAAACCCUACUUUUAUCACCUUGGGGAAAGGGCUCGUGCGCUAGGCGUUCUCCAUGUCUGCCACCCAACAUCAACUAACCAUGGUGUCUUUGACCCUAAAGAACUCAGUCUCCCUACACGCCUCAAACUCUCGGAACGAGGGAGUUCAGGCCCCAACCUGUCCCGCAGCAAUCUUGGCUCGGAAAGACCCGAGUUGUUCCUCCAUGAUCUCCAUCAUCCCCUCCUUGAGGGUCCUGAAAAUCACUAGGGUAGCAUCAAGAAUGCCCCUCGUAACCUCGACUGCGAUAAGCUCGCGCAGCCUCUCGUCAAUGGGCUCUGUAGCAUAGCCCUAGCCAAAUCCGGAUCCUGAUCCUAAUCCUAAUCCUGAUCGCCCUGCUCUAUGACGCAUCACCACCAUCAUGAUCGGAAAUUUCAUAAACAGAAUGAUCAAGAUAUUUAAAAUGGGGAUCCUUCCACAUCGGUCUCCUUAGAGCUUCCAGGUCUAACAUUAGUUCGGGUACAGGUUAUGUGCUUUCAGUAGUACGGGCCUAAUACUACCUUCCAUAGCUACAUGUAUCUUCCCCACGACUCUACCUGAUAACUCUAAUUCUUCCCAACACAGAGCAUAUCUCACAAAUCGCCGCAUAACUAAAACUCUAGGUUACCCAAAUAUUUUCUCCAUUCCCAUCAAACCAAUACUCAAAUCAAUCGCAGUAGGUUGCCUUAUGCAUGCAAAUUAUACACAUAACAUGAUCAAAUAGAAUGUCGAAUAACAGACUCUACACUAGGACCACAACCAAACAAGGAACAUGAAAUAAGGCAAAAUCAAUUAUUACAAGUCUAUAAGAUCCUAACCAUAUACAAUUUUGCAAGCAUACACAUAGCACGAUUCAUUCGAUUAUCACAUUCCAAAUAUCAAUAUAGCAUGGCUAACAUAUUAGGAACAACACUUACUUUAGUUCGGCCGAUUACACGCAUUGCACUCUCCUUUUUCUUACAAAAAUCGGUUUUGAAAAUUUUUUUAAGUUUAAUUUUUUGAAAACAAUUUUAUCAUUUCCUCAGUUUGAGUUCUGACACACCCAAGAGUAUGCCUGAAUCCCUCAAACGAAGUCUCUGAUACCAACUUGGAAUGACCCAAAUUUUUAGAUAAAAUUUUUCAUUAAAAGUAAUAAAUCGUGCUCAUUAAUUAUAAAAUUACAGUCACAAUUGUUCUAAAAAAUCCAUAACAUUAGAUAAAUUAUUCAUGAAAUCAGAGCGUCCCCAAACAAAACGCCAAAGAGCGCAUGUCGCGCCAUCACACCGGGCUCCUGCCCCAGAAUCCCAAAGUACCUGAAACAACUAACAAACUGUAAGCAAACGCUUAGUAAGUUCCCCAUAAUAUACCCUACACAAUCCAGAUAAUCAUAUAAACCAUAUCAACCAUACAAGCCAUACAUAUAAAGAUAUACGGAUGUUGUGGGCUCCCCCAGGGUCUUCCAUGCGAGUAUCACAAGACAACUAGCAUAUCAUGUACCACAUAAUCAACUAGUAUACCACAUAACAUGUAAUAGGCCAACCUUGGUGCCUUUGACCCAUUUGUAUGGUGAGGAGACUCACCUUAGUCUGCUGAACACGAAAGUUGCCUGCCUAAUAGUCCAAAACCAAUUGUGCUGAACAAUAAUACUAGUAACCCAAAAUUAGAAUUGAAUAUAAUCUAAUUAAAUGAUCAAAUUACCUAAGCCUAAAUCCUUCCAUAAUGGCCUAAGAGCAUUUCCUUUUCUAAUGGGCCCAAAUUCCAUGUCCGAAGCUAUAAAUGGGCCACAUGACCUAAUAAGGCCCAACCAAAACAGCCAUGGACCAAAACAUAUUGAUCGGACCACUAACCCAAAAUAUGUUCGGGCCCAAAACUGAUUAAGGAUUAAAGGGCUUACAAGCCCACACGAAGCCCAAAACCGACUGGGGUGCAUACGCUAAGCGUACCACUUCAGUAUGCUCAGUGUACUGAGUCCUUGGUUGUACAUGCUGUGUAACGCCCAUAAAUCCGGGCUAAUCAAUUUAGAGAUAAUAGGGGUCGAAAAAGAAUUUUCUACAAAUGAUUAUUUAGAAUAAAUAAUCUUAACCAAGCUGUAGAAUAUGUCUCAAGGGUUCCAUACAUCUAAAGAACGCCGAAAUGUGAGUUAUAACGAAGAAAUUAUGAAUUGUCGAAUAUUUACAGCAAAACCGGCACGACAUCGGUACACGUAAAUAAUGAAUUUACGAUAAAGAGCUUUUUAGCCUUAGUUAUAUAAACAAAAGUAGUAGUAUACGUUAAACUGAGAACAUACAAAAAAGAUCGCCCAAAUCUGACUUCGUAUGAUGAAGUUAUGAAUUUUCAAAGAUUUGGCAUAGCAGUGCACGACCCGAAACUUGAAUUUAGUUUGAGCGGUUUUUUGCCUAUGUGACCUAAAUGAGAGUAGAAUAUCAUAUUAAUAGGAACUCAACAAUAAUAUGACAGACGAAAACAGAGUUCGUAUGUAGAAGUUAUGAAUUUUACGCGGACAUUUAACAAUAUAAUCUCCUCAUACUUUUAAAUUUAAGAUCGGUCGAGAAUUAGCCGACGGAGUAUAAACGAAAGUUGUAGAUAUUGUUUUUUCCUAUGCAUGCAUAUAAAGAACGUCGAAAAUGGAUCUCGUAUGCGAGAUUUAUGAUUUUUCUAACUCGGGAGGGUGUUGUGCGAGUUUGGGUGACGUGGCGCGAUCACAGCCGUUGCUUCCUCCCCAAGGCUAGCCACCAGAUGGUGACACAUGGCUUGGAACUCGAUGAUUUGGAGGCCAACUCGACGAGUUUUGGUGAUUUCCAGCCUAUAAAUAGAGUGUCGGGGCACCCUCAUUUCUCACACCUUCCAACUUCACUUUCUCUCUCUACCUUCUCUCUCUAGCCUCCCUUAAGCCCCCUAAAGUCUAGAUAAACCCCCUAGCACCCGAAGGAAGACCCGAGACUCCCAGAGUCCCGAGAAAAGGAGCCUUUCAGCUCGGGAACGCUGCUCCAGCGAAGCCCCGUUAUCCGAAAAAACCUGCCGUAAGUGAGCUACGCCUACCCUAUCGUUAGUAUAUCUUAUGUUUUAAUAUAGUAAUGUUAUUAGGACCUUGUAAUAAGUAUUUAGGCUAUUAUUAUGAGUUAUAUAAGUGUCGUUAUAAUAUUUUUUUAACUACUCACGGUACGGGGAAUCUGGUUUAAAGGGCCGCAUAGGGUUGUUGGAUUUCAGAAGUGUUAUAUGCCAAAAUGGUCCUGCCCUCUGGUGUUUUAUGUUUUGCCCCUGUCUGCAUAUAGUGGUUGAGAAAUAUUGUUUCGUGCUUAUAUAAUAGUAAUAAUUACAAGACUUAAUUAGUCUCGGUGAAUAUUAGACUAAACUCUAGUGGUAACGAAGUGCUGUCUGAGUGCCAAGUCACCACCUUUUCAAGUGAGUGCAUAGUUACUUUAAUCUUACACAUAGAUGUGAAGUAUUUAAUAUAAAUUACAUGCUAUGUGUGCAUAUUGUCUGUAUACUUUCCGUCUAUGCUAGGUGAAAGAUUUUUAUACAUGUUUUAAAUGAUUUAAAUUGUAUAUGUAUUUUAUAUCUACAAAAUGUGUUAGGUAAAACAUGGGUAGAUGAAAUAGUUGUUGUGUGACAAAAAUAAAAUGAUGAGAGGUGAUAUAGACCAUGAAAUAAGGGUGAGAGGUGAAACAUGAGAGAAGACUUUUACCUAAGUGUUGGCCCCAUCAUCUAGCUGAGUAUGGAUGACAACCACAAACUAUUCUAGACAGUCUAGUGGAACACUAGCAGGCUCGCAACCUGUAGUUGUUAUUUGAACUGUGUAUUCACCAGUUGUACUCUAAAAACCCAUUGACAUGUAUUGCGAGUGGAUUCCCGGAAACGAUACUGUUGAUAAACGAGAUAGAAACCCAUUGACAUGUAUUGCGAGUGGAUUCUCGGAAAUGAUACUGUCGAUAAACGAGAUAACCCUGGCAGUUAUGGAUUUAGUGCUUGAUGAGAAAACCCUGGCAACUAUGGAUUUAGUGUCUGUUGAGCAAACCCUGGACUCUAUGGAUUUAGUGCCUAUUGACUAAACCUUGGCAAUGAUGGAUUUCGUGCCUAUUCCUUAGGAUGAUCCUUAGGAAUGAAUGAAUAAGAAAUAGUUGAUUCUUAGGGUAGAUCCUUAAGAGUAAAUAAGAUAAUGGGGAUGGGUAAUUGGGUUAAUUGUUUGAUGAUUAAACAUAAUAAUUAUAUUAUUGUGGGUUGAAAAACCUAUGUACACACUAGGUUUCCCAACCUGACCCACUUUGUUUAUUUAUAUCACAGGUGUUGAUAUGAAGUCACAUUACACUGAGAGAUUAUCGAGAUAUAAAUCACUAGUGAUAAUGAAUGUAAGUUCUGUUUAUGCGUAUGUUUUUGUAUUGACGAUGACAUCCCAAAUGUUUUAAAAUGAAUAAACAUACUUUUCUUCGGAAAUGCUUUGAUAACGUAUUUAUCAUGUUUUACUAGGAACAAAUUCCGCAACAUUUUUAUUAAAAGAUGUACUCUGAUUUUUAUAAAGCAUAAACAAAUCGGUAUUUUCUGGCCAUGAAAAUGGGGAUGUCACAUGCUGCGUGCGCUAUAUUACGCCCAACGUACUAGCAUAUUAAGCACCACUUCCAUUAAGUGCCUAAUACUUGAUUUUCUAACUUUCAAUAUCAGAUCUGAGCUCAUUAAGAUGUCCUAGGGCAUAAAGUUGGGAACUUUAUGCCCUUGCAUGCUAUAAGGGACUUCAGAACAUCAUUCUUCACAUUAGGACUUAAUAUAAGGCUUCAAACUCAUGCAUGAAGUCUAGAUAAUGUUCAAUCCAUCACCUUUAUGCAUCUAGCAUGCUCACAAAGCUCAGAUCUAACCAUCUUAGUCUGUGGAGUUGCUCAACUCUCAAGAGUAGAUCCAAGAACCAAAAAGGGGAGAAUAUAGAAAAUCCUAACUCAAUCUAAUGAAUAAGAUGGCAAGAUUAAGACUUUAUACCUCUAGAAGCUCCUCAAUUUGAACUAGAUGCAGGUUCUUGAAGCCUAAUGCCACACCAAGCUUGCUCACUAACUUCUUCUUGAAUAAGCUCCAAAAUGGCCACCAACACACUUCUAUGCUCCAAAAUCACACCCACGAGGGAAAAGUGAGGUGAAGCGACGAAAUAAGACUCUAGUGGCUGAUUAGGGUUUGGUCCACAUGGCUUAAGGAUGAAUAAAUAGGUCUAAAUUCUAGGUUUAGGGUUUUGGUCUUCUGUCGCGUACACCCCAUGUACCUACAUGUACGCCCCACGUACUCAAUAUUCCUUCGCGAUCCAUCCUCCAUUGUACGCUAAGCGUACACUUAGGUAUGCCCAGCAUACAAAAGGGACCGUUUUUGCCAAAUUAAAUCAUUUCAAAGGGUUAGAAUAGUACCUGUUUUGGAGUGUUACUGUAACAUCCCAAAUUUCGAGUUCGAAAAUCUAUUUUAAAAACAUUAAUAAUUCAUAGCGUUAAGUCAUUCAAUCAUAGAAAAAGGGUUUAUAUGACAAAUCAUAGUUUCAUUUCCAAAAGACUUGUUUAAUUAUCAGAGUAAACAUCCCAGGCUAACUUGCCAUGGUGUGUGCACUGCAACCCUCCCGAGCUCCUCUUCUGAAAACUGAAUACCUGAAACCAAAACUGAAAACCGUAAGCACGAAGCUUUGUGAGUUCCCUAACCUACCGCAUACCAUACAUAUCUACUGAUCCAUACAUGCCAUACAUAACACUGAGCACAUAACCACAUACUGGGCUCCCACCGGCUGCAUUGGGCCUCGCCCGCUAUCAGACCCCGUCCAUCACCAAACCCCGCCUGGCUUCAAGCCUUGACGUACAUAUCUGUUUUCCUUAGGCCCGCCUGUCUCCGGGCCCCACCCGCUAACAUAUACUAGCAUACAAUCAUAUCACUACACAUAACUAACAUACUCUACUGGAUUACUUUACUAAGGCCUCGCCUAUCUUGGGCCUCGCCCCUGUCCUACUAUUGGUGAAUCAUGGAACCCUGUCCACGCUCCUACUGAUAGUGAGAUACGGGCCCAGCCCACACUCACUCUUUUCCUUAAUUGGGCCUCGCCCCUGCUCUAUUGCUAAUGAGGUAUGGAACACCAUCCACACUCUACUAUUGGUCAGAUAUAGGACCUUGCCCACACUCACCUCCCUACAAGGCACAUACAUGUAUCACACAGACAACAAGUAUAACUAUCAUACAAACCAUUCCUUGGGCACCCGCCCGCUAACAUUACACCUUAGUCUCGAAUAUCAUACUAGCAUACUGUGCCUAGGGCUAACCCCCGUGUCUUCCUACUCAUAACUACAUGGGUUGGCAUUGUGGUCGUAGACCCAUUCACAUAAAGGGAAACUCACCUGCACUGCUGAACUUUGCUAAUAACUUUCUGGCUAUUAUCCGACAACUAUUUGAACUGCUACUCCACUAGCUCUCUGAGCUACUAAUAUCAAUAUAACACUUAGUUCCAAACUGAACUCUAGAAGUCAAAUUAAGUCAACUCUGGUCAAAGUCCAAGUCCUGGUCAAAUUCAACCUUCCAUUUGACUUGACACGCCGAGUCAACUCAUAGACUCGCUGAGUUCCUAAACCCAAAAACUCUCCAAAUACGACUCAACUCGCCGAGUCACCCCAAGAAUCGUCAAGUUCAACGAUCUCUGAGUCCCAUCCUGUCCAACUCACUGAUCUGCGUCUUAACUAGAAAAGGUUGAGGUUCUACGACCAGACUCGCUAAGUCCAAGAACAGACUCUCCGAGUCCAAGGAAAUCUUCAACAAACUCAGCAAGUUAUUCUUCAAACUCACCGAGUUCACACUCAUGUUCAUAGAACUCAUUGAGUACACCCAUUUGACUCGCUGAGUCUCUUUAGAUCUCAAUCCAUACACUUUUUGAUCCAUGCAGGGGCUCCAAUCCAUAGGUCCACUCUUCUACAGUCUAUCCCCCACAUGAAGUUGCAAACUUUAUGUGAAACAAAGGAGAUAAAGGCCCAAAACACUCUAGGGAUAGGGUUUAAGACAAAGGGGCUUCACAAAAAACACAUUGAAUGUUUCUUUAAGACAUUCUGGACCAUCACAACCCUAGAUCUGAAGUAGCAACCUCAUAUCUAAGUCCCAAACCCGAAAUAGAUCUCAAUCUUACCAAAAUAGCCCCAAAAUCUCAUUCAAGAAUUGAUCUAAUUGCAAUAAAGCCAAAGCAACAGCUUAUUACCUCAAGGAUGACCUCCCACUGAAGAAUAAUCCAACUGUCUACAAAGCCCCUUGCUCCAAGCUUCUUGAUCUUCGAUAUAUCUUCACAAAACCCCCUUUUCUAAGCUCCAAAUUGCUUCCAAGGACUCUCACUCAUGAUUUAGAGUUUCUAGAUCUCAAAAGGGGAGUAAAGAGGCUGGGGAAGGGAUGUAAUGUUAUUUAAAUAGGGCACAACCCCUGGGAUUAGGGUUUUUCUCGACCAGCCCAGACUCGUCGAGUCCACUAGCCGACUCGCCGAGUCGGUCAAUUACUUUAUACCUCGGAUCCCGCUCCGACUCGUCGAGUUCCUCCUUGCACUCGACGAGUUGACUCAUGACUUAGAGCUUUUCCUUUCUUUUCUUGGUCUUUCUGAUUUUGGGUGUUAUAACUCUCCCCCACUAAAGCUAGACUUUGUCCUCGAAGUCCGCUACGGCCAACUGUCCUGCACUCCGCUCACAUCACCCCUGCCUGAUGAAUAUAACUCUGACCGACCACUUCCAUGGACCUUCCGCCCGGUUACCCAGAAUAAAACUAGUCCUUGUAGUUAUCAAUCCUCAAGUGCACUCUAAUCCCACCAAUCCUGAGCACACAACUCACUCAGCUGACAAUCCUUCCAGUACUCCCUGAGUUCUUAUGCCGAAAUCCUAGGGGUUCAUCCCCUUUUCCUUGCGCGUUUUUUGUCCUUCCCAAGGCAACGUUCCACCAUGAACCACCUCCUCUACCACUGUGAAGGACAUAUCCUUCAUGGUAUCCAUUACUCCAGCCACUCCUAGUGUUGGUCGCUACUGUCGAUACCUACUGAACACUUCAUGCUACUAUAACAUAGCAUUAAGCACCCAGCCCAGCGUAUGGAUCAUAUAAUCCUUUGAGUAAAAGAUUCAUCCUUGUAACGGUUAGACUCCAACGAGAUCUGCGCAACAGGGUCAAACCCUUCCCUCUAAGAUUAUCCAACCCUGUUGCGAGAGGCGUAGAACUCCUCGGUCAACUAGCUGUCCCACGCCAUACUUCUCUAGCGUCACUUCCCUGCCUUAAAGUCCUGCCAUUUCCCAUUCUCCUUCCGAAUGGACCGAGACCACACUGGUCCCUCUACAGAUUCUACUGAUAAAUGGGUUAGCGGAUACUCACCAGUCACUACAACUAGCACAAUCUCUUAGUCGCUCUCAACGACUUCCGAAGAAACUUCGGCUAUCUAAAAUGCUCUAUCUAUCCUGCCACUCUAGCGCUACAAGUCUUUGGAUCCUCGAUCCCCUAAUUUGACCCUAAGGUCCCUACCAGGUCCCACCUGUGCUGCUAUAAUCUCAUGGGCCUCGCCCACGGGUCUCACCUGACUAUAUCCUAUAGCGGUCCUCCCCUCUAGUCUCACCUGCCUAACUACUGUCACACGGGCCUCACGCAUGGGUCUCAACCAAACCAUACUACUGUGCAAUCCUGCUUCCAGGUCUCACCUAUACUGUUGCUAACAUAUGGGCCUCGCCCACGGGUCUCACCCAACUAUAUACGGGAGUGGACUCACCUAACAAGGGCUAUGCAGGACAACUCUAUACUAAACCUCAACGAGUUAUCCUUUCCUGAUCCCCAUCGCUUACUAGGAGAUACGAGCCUCCGCCCACACUCCGCGAACUAAACUGCUAAUGAACGCUGCGGCUUACCCGCAGUCUUAUGACACUUUCCUCACGAAUUGCUGCUGGGGAAUGCUGCGGCUACCCCACAGUCUUAUAUCCCGCCUAAACUCGCACCUGGAGAAGGCUCUGCAACCUGGUUUUCCCGAACCAGUCACCCGCUAGACAUGAAUACACAAACUCAAGGUUGGAAAGUUUCUCCAAAUCCCAGCUAACCUGAUCCUCCAUCCAAAUAGCCACUUGAGCUGCUUCCUUCCUUACCAAGACUGUGAAACCACCCCAGUCUUGUACUUACUUCUAUCGUUGGCCACACGUAUGGCUCUCCCCUACUUCGACUUGACUAGCUCCUCACAGCUCACAGCUCAGAAGAAUUUCCAAUUCUUCUUACCAUCCCCUGGUCACUUUGUUGAAAACCCGACUUACCACAACUGGGGAUCUAACCGAUCUAUUUCCAAUCGACACCUUCCCGAACUAGCGAGGCACUACCAAGCCCCUCAUAGGCAUGCUACAGAUAAUGCAUCCUGAGUAACCCACUCUAAAGGAGACGACCUCCAACUAUCAUUCUAACAUCCAAGGUAUGCAGAUGGCAUAUAAAUCAAUCACCAGCAGGAUGCAAAUUUCUAAAGUAUCAUUAUCAAUACCGAUGCAGAACCAUAACGAUAAGACCAUAUCAUAGGCUGAUAGAGAGAUGAAAGAAGAUAUGUACCUGAAACAUCGGGCUGCUCACACCUCAUCUGAAACCAACUAUUAUGCGCUGCUCCUUGCUGCAGGUGUCUCUGCCCGACCCUAACGGUCGUUGGUGAUCCUCAUGGUUGCAAGGGCAGGUGCUAUCACCUGUCCUGCUGAAUGCAAACUCGGACAUUGGGCCUUCUUGUGGCCCCUCUGACUACAAUGGAAACAUAGCAGGUCUGAUCCCUGGGUGGUGGUAGCAGUACAAUCUCUGCUGAAAUGACCUAUCUGACCGCACUUGAAGCAACCGGAAUCACCACCGCUGCCACUCCUACACGCACCCUCGUGCGUCCUGCCGCAUUUGCUACAGCGGCCUCGAUCCUUAGGACCUCUCGAUCUUGAGUAUGAUGUCUUAGGCGUCUUUCUCGAUCCCGUAGCUACCUGAACCUCCUCCGGCUUCCUCUUCCCAGGUGCUCCAAAUCGAUCUCCCUUUCCUUGGCCUGAGCAAUCAUAUCCUCCAGCGUCUUGCAGCUGGACCGACUCACAAACUCUCUGAUGUCAUCUCUCAGCAUAUCGUGAUAUCGAGCCUUCUUCAUCUCCUCAUCCGCGACUUACUGCAGAACAAGAAGAGCCCUUUCCCUGAACUUGGUGGUGAUCUCCGCCACCGUCUCGAUCGUUUGCUGCAGAUCCUGGAACUCCCGGGCUAACUGUUGCACCUCAAUAAUCGGUGCAAACUCGGUCUUGAAACUGGCCGAGAAAUCACUCCAUGUCAUCGCAUCAAAUGCGACAUCAUCUCCGAUAGCAUGACCAACCUCCUCCCACCAAUCCUGUGCUUUGUCCUUCAGAAGACACCGGCUAGAACGAAAAGCAUUGGCGACAUCAGCCAACCAUCUGCCACUAGCAAUGGGGUCCCUAGCCCCAUGAUAAUCUGGAGCUCCACAAGCCCUGAACUCCCAGAAAGUCAAAGUACGCGCUCCCAACAUAGCCAUCAGCUUUGUGCGAAAGACUCCAAGCCUCUCAGCCAAAAUCUCUAGGUUGCGCUCCUUGACCGUGCCAAAGAUCACAGGAGUCUGGUCAAGAAUACCACACAUAAUCUCAGCUGAUACAAACUCUCUCAUCCACUCCUCGAGCUGCUCGAUCCUUGAACCCGAGCCUGACCCAUCUCUAACACCUGAUCCAUCCACUGGUCCAUCUUGCGAUGUCGUCAUACUGAAAGCAUGCCAUAACAAUCAUCAAAAUACACAUCACUGCCGAAGCACCUCACAUGCACUGCAAGUUCCUUGGUUUGUCUCGGCCCCUCUUGUAUCGAGUACGGAUCCUCUGCUUUCAGUAGUACGGGCCCAUACUACCUUCCACAUCUAUCCGUACUUUCCUCAAGAAUUGCCUCAACUCCCCAAGUCCCUUGUACUACUACUAUCACUGCUCCCAACACUAACCUCAUCCAAGGCUUACCCUAGGGAAAUCUCUGACUCAAACCAGUCCUCACUUGCUGAAGGUCUCUUUGUAAUGCCAAUUAGCCAUCACCUGAAUACCAUCACAUGCAACGAGGCUUAGAUAAUCCUUCGAGUAAAGGACUUUUCCCUACAGCGGUUGGACUCAAACGAGAGCUGCGCAGUAGGGUCAAAUCCAGAACUCUGAGAUUAUUCAACCCUGAUCACAUGUGACUUAACGUAUUCAUCUAAUAGCUAACUCCCAUCACUCAUAAUCCCACAAAGCACAAAGCAAGCAACAUUCAGACCAAAGGGAAAUCUAACCAGAACAUAAUUAAUCAGUUCUAUCAAAAUACAAGGAUCCGUACUAGCAUACAAUAUAAGCUCACUUAAUCAGGAUAACCUAAACAUGCUAUCCUACCACUGUCUAACCAAUGCCAGCAUAUAGCUCAAUAAGCGCAUAUAACAGGCACAUAAGGCAACCUCCUAGAUCCUCAUCCCUAAAUCUAGCAUGCUGAUCACAUAAUCAUAUCAUAACAUAAACUUUUAUGGGUAACUUGGGAGAACUUACUUGAGCUCGGCUGAUUGCAUGCACCACACCCUUUUCUAUUUUCAAAGCUCCUUUUGCUUUUUCUAAAACCCUUUUCUUUCCUCCAAAUCCUUUUAUAAAUAUGGUUUUUCUUUUGGAAAAUUUUAUACCACUUCCUCAGUUUGAGUUCAGACACACCCGAGCGUGUGCCCAAAUUCCUCAAACCAAGGCUCUGAUACCAACUUAUAACAUCCUAAAUUUCGAGUCCGAAAUUUUCUUUUAAAAAAAUUACUAAUUCAUAGCGUUAAGUCAUUCAAUCAUACAAAAAGGGUUUAUAUGACAAAUCAUAGUUUCAUUUCCAAAACACUUGUCUAAUUAUCAGAGUAAACAUCCCAGGCUAACUUGCCAUGGUGUGUGCACUACAACCCUCCCGAGCUCCUCUUCUGAAAACUGAAUACCUGAAACCAAAACUGAAAACCGUAAGCACGAAGCUUUGUGAGUUCCCUAACCUACCGCAUACCAUACAUAUCUACGGAUCCAUACAUGCCAUAAAUAACACUGAGCACAUACCCACAUACUGGGCUCCCACCGGCUGCAUUGGGCCUCGCCCGCUAUCGGACCCCGUCCGUCACCAGGCCCCGCCUGGCUUCGAGCCCCGCUUGGCGUACAAAUCUGUUAUCCUCAGGCCCUGCCUGUCUCCAGGCCCCGCCCGCUAACAUAUACUAGCAUACAAUCAUAUCACAACGCAUAACUUGUUGGAUUAAUGUCUAAGUCCAUAACUAUUUUGGUAUGUACUUGACCUGAUUAUGAGCAUGGUCCUUUUGGGUUGCCUUCACCAUAGCAAUAUGUAGGAUGAAUUAAGGAGAGAAAAAUUUAAUUAUGAUUUAUUAAUAUAUUAUGAGAAUAAUAUAUUAAAGGAGAAAUUAUAUUGUUUAAUUAAUAUUAGUCAAGAAUUAACAAAGAAUUAAUUUUGUGGCUAAAAGAGAUUAAUUAAACUUAAGGGACGGUGAUUGUAAUUAUAAGAUAAUUGCAAUUGGGCUAUGGAUCACCUUGGGAUAAUAGGUUGGAGGAAUUCUAUGGGGAAGCCCAUUAGAAAUCGUCCAAGGCAUGUUCCAGAAGGGGUCCAUGGACUGCUUAGGGCUUAAGCAGUCAAGUUAGGGUUUCCUUGUUAGAUAACCCUAAUUGCCUACCUAUUUAAGGAGCCCCUAAGCCUCAAAAACGUGGUGAAUGAUUUCUUAGGGUUUCUAGAUGAAUUUUAGUGCCUCCUCUCUCCUCCUUCUUCAUCAUUAUUGCUUAUGGUGUUUGUGACCCCAUUAGAGGUGCAACACUUGAGGCACUAAGCUUUCUGAAGCUAAUUACAAGAAGGAAUAGAUUGUUAUUGCUACAUAAGAAUCAAAGGUAAGAUUUAAAACCUAUAAUUAUGUUAAUUUGAUUACAUGUAUGCUAGAUCUAGGCUUUAUACGCUUUGGAUGAUUAUUGCAUGUACAUUUAGAUAAACCUAGAUCCAAAGUUUAGGGUUUUACAUGUGCACCAUAGGAUUGAUGUAUAGCAUAAAUCCCAUCAGUGGUAUCAGAGCAAAGGAUGGUUUAUUCUAAUGUAUUUGACGCAAACUUUUUUUGUUCAUAGCUGAAAUUUUUUGUUUUUUCGAAUUUAACCAGUUCCACGUCGUGGACAUGCUGUUCAUGUCGUGGACCCAGUCUGACAGCAUGAUUUCGAAACUUUUGCCUUAAUUUGCUUUGGAUAAUUAGCAUAAAUUGCUUUAUUCAAAUAAAAAUUAGAUUUUUGUUAUGGUAAUUAAUAUCCUAAUCAAAUUAAUGGAUAAUUGUCGAAAUUAUGAUAAUUAUUUGAUUUCUAAGAUAAAUGUUAAUUAUUUGUAAAAUUGAUUUGAAUUAUCUUGUGAAAAAGUUUCUAUUUUCCCUUUAGGUUUUAUAGUUUAAAUUUGAACUUAAAAGUUUUGUUUUUGAAAUUUAAAUAGUUAAACACUAAUGUUUUGAAAUGUUUCAAAACUUGCCCUCAACUUUUGGAAUUUAAAAUUUUGAUUAAUAGUUUAAUUAUGUAAUGUUUAAAUUCUAAAACCCUAGUAUUUUGAAAGUUCAAAUUAGACCCACAUGGUUUUGUUAAAUUAAUUAAAAGAGAAAGUAAAUAAAAUCACCUUGUAUUUUAAAUGUGUAAAAUACAUCAUAUACUAUAUAUAUAUAUAUANNNNNNNNNNNNNNNNNNNNNNNNNNNNNNNNNNNNNNNNNNNNNNNNNNNNNNNNNNNNNNNNNNNNNNNNNNNNNNNNNNNNNNNNNNNNNNNNNNNNNNNNNNNNNNNNNNNGUCUAACAUUAUAUAUAUGUAUGAGUAAAAGUCAGUCUUACCGUUAGUAGGCCUCAUUCACGAAGCUGGUCUAUAAGGGGUGUUUAAGGAAAUUGCCUAUAAAAUGCCGAUUAAAUAGGUAUCCACUCUUACCCACCGCACUCUUGACUAGUGGAGGGUCGUUAGCCGAACUGGUAGGAUAAGACAGAAACCUUCCAUUAUAAGUAUAAUGAAGUACAAAGUAACUAAAUGUUUUUAAAAUUCCCAUAUCAUAGUUACUUUAGGCAAAAUUUGAAAUUUUAUGCUAAUUCAUGGAAUGACACUUUAUACCCUUGCCGAGAUGUUAGUGGAGCGUGUGUGGUUAACCGGCACACUAAUUUGGGUUUAACGUUGGUAGCAAAGGGUGACUCGAUGUUUAUCAUAGAUCAAAGGAGUGUAUGUGGCUAACCGACAUAUUGAUUAGGUGAUAGUAGCGUUGAGUGCACCACGUGAUUCACAUGGUUAUUCACACCUUGUUUGUGAUCAUCGACAUCCCAGUCGCAAAUAGUAGGGCAUAAUUGAGAUUAAAAAUGCCAUUGAAAAGUUAAAUGAAUCUCAAAAGAUCUAGGAGUUUCAACUCAUUUAAAACUUAAAUUUUCUUUUUUGUUUUUCAUGGUGGAAACUGGUAAAUCGUCAUUUACCUACCUUCAAAUAUUCUGCAACUAGAUUACGACAUCCCUCUUCUAGGUUGUAGAGUAUUGUGUAGGAUCCUAGCCUUGAUGUCUCAUUUGGGUGUUACAUCAAGGAUCCUAAUCAGCUUGACUUGAAUUUCUCCCGUUUUGUAGAUGUCUGAAUCUAACAAUGGUCUUCCUAAAUCCCAUGGAACAAGCUUUCCAAAUGAAGAUGAUUUUUCACGAUAUGAUCGAGAAACCAGAGAUCAUGCUUCAAUUCCUCCACCUCCUCCAAUUAUUCUCCCUAGCCCACAAGUUCAAAGGCUUGAAAAUUUCAAGCUUACUCAAGCCCUUUUGACAAGUAAACACGAAGAUGGGAAACCUGUGUGUGCACACAUCUUAGGGAUGAAGUCACACAUUCAUAGGUUACAGAUGAUGGGUGUCGAUAUCUCAUAGAUGUUGACUGAUGAUUGGGUUCUUCAGUCGCUUCCUGAAUCAUAUAGUGAGUUUGUUAGAGAGUACUAUUUGAUGGACCACAACGUGACCCUCAUUGUUCUCACCUAUUUGCUUAUAGCCGCUGAAUCAACAAUGAUUUGGCGUGCUGGUCAAGCAAAUUUGUCUGGUGAAUCAAACUCCCAAACUUCAAUGGACACUGGCAACAUUGGAAGUCCAGAAAGGACUAAGUAUGAGAUUGUCCCAUGUGCUGUACCAUAGGACUCCAUUUUCUUUUAUUGCCAAGAGAAGGGGCAUUAGAGACGAAGCUACCCAAACUACCUGAGAGAUCUAAUAGAUGGGAGAGUCAAGAUGUAUGCCUAUACUUCAGGUAAAAUCCAAUAACUAACUCUAUAAGUUCCUACUCUUUGAUUUUCAAUACAUGAUGUGAUAAGAUUACAUUUUGAUGUUUUGGAGGAUCGAAGAAAAUAGAGGAAGCUUAAGGGAAGAAGUAAGCUGAAUCUGAUCGUGAAGAAAUGGAUUUCAAUCGCAUUGAUUGAAGAUCGGAUUUUUGAGCUACUACUUUAGAGUUAGAAUAGAUUGCUUAGAAAUUGAAAUAACAUAGUUUUCAUUUGAAUUGCAUUGUAAGGACAAGUUUUUCCGCAAUAAAAUGAAUUUUGAUUUCGUCUUAUUUAUUUAUCCUUUGAAAGGCAUAUGUGAAAAUGGAUGUUUAUGUAUUUCUAAUUUUAGCAAUGUUGAAUUGGAUGUGAUUCUUGAUUAUGUUAUUUGUGAAAUGUCGAGAAUUUACCAAAUAGGGUGGUUUUCUCAUCGCCCAAGUUUCAAUUCGACAGAAAACUUGGAGUCAUGCAACAUGCAUUGCGUGAUGACUGAGAAAUUUGAUAUUUGGAAAUUAGACUAAAUCUUUGGCAAAGUGUCAAGUGAAGGACUAAGAGAUCGAGUACACUAGGUUGUACGCUGAUCAAGUCCACUACAAGAGUGAUAAAGAUUUACCAUGAUUUAUUAAAGUUUAGUAAAUAUGAUUAUACUUAUAAGAUUAAGUGUGAUUCUCAUUUGGUUGAAAGAGUUUCAAUGAAUAGCAGAACGAAUAAAGAAGAAACAAGUAGGCAAAAAGAUAAAAUUUUCUCCAUUCUAAGAAGAAGGGAGACUAACUUUUUAUUGUGUUUUAUGAUAAGCCUUAAUGAUUAAGAACCAUAUCUCAAUUGGUCCUCUAGACGAGUCUUAGUGCAUUUGUUUGUCUAAUAAAAGGAAUCGAGAAUUGUGGGAAUGGUUAAAUCAAGAAGUCAAUCAUACUUCAUUCAAAUAUCAAGUCUUAGAGUUAUACUCCAAGAUUGUGAAUUGAGUGACACAUCUUUAGUAGGUUUAUAAAACUCAACAAUUGUGGAAUUGGAAAAAUUCUUCUUAUUACUGCACAUUUGAGAUUGCUAAGUUGUGAUGUCUUGGAUAAGACAAUGACCAACUAAAACCAAUUAUGUGAAGUAAUAGUCUUGAUAAAAACUACACUAACUCUUGAAUAUUUGUUUUAUCAAGGAACGUUUCUUGACAAGAGAAUCUUAUAUGUCAAGGAGUCAUUGGGAUUCUUAAUGGUCUUGAAAGGUUUCAAGAACAAAUAAAGAGUUAAACCUAGUUGAUCAUCACUAGUACACGACUUGAGGUUUAAAGCCUAUUGUGGAUGACAUACUCUCUUUCUGUGCCAUUCCAAUUGAGUUAAUUAUGCAUGUGAGUUCUAUGAGUUCUCAUUUGAAUGCAUAAAGGCAAAGCACCUUGAUCGAUGGAAAGUACAUUGAUAUGAAAGGGUGAGUUGCUUGGAUGACAUGGUGGGAAUUCAUGUCACCAUGAGGCAAGAAAUCAAGAUUUAGCACGUUCGGUCCAUAUGAGUUUGGAUUUGUCGCUAACUUUGGUUUUGACAAAAUCACAUGGAUAUGAACACAUACACUUUAGAAUCUUAGUGUCAUAAGGUUUCUAUCCAUCAUGAAAAUGAUUAUGAGGAAAUGCUUUCACUAAGAGAGAUUUUAAGAAGAUUGCAAUUGUGAAAAUUGUAUUCUCAAAUUUGCUUAUGAUUACAACAUCCCUUUUCAUAGUUCGAAUUGUGAGAUUUGGCAAUUAGUCUAAACAUUUUGGGACUUAGUAACUUGAGUUCUAGAAUUGUUUAGAUGCACAUAUAAGCUAUCUAAGAAAAGGUGUAUGAGUUUAAGCAGCUUAGAUAAAGGAUUAUCGAAGCAUCUUGUAUUAGAAAUAUGGACUUUGGAAUUCAAUAAGUAUUGUUUUCUAGAAGUUCAAGUGUUUUCUGAAUACAUGUCAAAGCUAGUGGGAGCAUAAGUGUUAUGCUUGUAUGGAAAUAAUCAUUGUGUUAGUAGGAGCAUGAUUAUUAUUAUUUUAAGUAUUGCAAGUUAGCAAUAUUAAUUAUAGAAAACAAAGAUUCACUUUGCAAAGUUGCAGGGGUUGAAAAUUGUUUUGCUAUAAUUAAGGGAGAGAAAAUGACACUUCAUUUCAAAUCUAAAGGCUUAGAUUGUGGAAUUUUAAUCAAAUUUAGUCAAAUAUAUAUGAAUGUUGUGUUGGAAUGGUUCAACAUGAGGAAAUUCUAUAUAUGGAAAGGAUAAUUGCAUUCUCAAAAUUUGGUUAUGAUUACGACAUCCCUUUUUAUAAUCAAAAUUGUGAAAACAUGGCAAUUAGAAAUAUUAUAGCAGAAGACUGGUAAAGUAUCACAUCUUCAUGUGAGACAUUAUGAAUCGUGUUCCAUGUGCUUCGGGUAUAGGAUCGAUUGCAUAUGCUAUAAUGUUUGAUCAUUCUAAAAUAUUCCAAAUGCUUAGCGCAUUAAGAUGGAAAAAGGACUAGAACGGUUUGGGCUAAAAUAAUUAAACAACUAUCAAAGGACGAUCUAAGGUUCACCAAGGAUUUGUUUCUUGUGUGUAGUUGGAAGUAUAGUAUUGGAUGGACCAUGUUGACAUUAUUUUGAAUAAAUAGGAUUCUAUUUAGAAGGUGUUGUCAUAUGGCAAAUACGGAAAUGUUUCCAUAUUGGGAGUUGGAUAUUGAAAGUCUAUGUCUAGAUUAGAAACUUUUAUGCAAGAAGGACGUUCAAAUGAAUGUACUUUUUGAAUGUGAGACUUCGUGGCUAUGGAAUUGUCUUGUAACAAUUUCCGAUAGAAUACCUUGGAAUUUCAUAAGCCAAGUCUUGUUGACUUUUGCGCUAUGACAUUACGAAAGGAUCGUUGCAUAAAAUGCUAGAAUCUGAUAUAUUCCAAAAGUGGCAAGAAUUUGGUAUUCUUACACUAAUGAUGAGGAUUGGGAAUUGUGAAAUGAGUUUCAUUGGAAAGGUUUUCAAUUGAUCUAUUUCACAAAGUAAGGAUCAUAGGUAAGAUAGUGUGCAUGCUCGGAGCACGAGAAAGCUAUUGUUGUAAUUCAAGUAAUAAGUUGAUUAUCCGAAACAUUAAACAAUGAAUAAUGAGUAGUGAAUAUUGUGUUUAAAUAAAAAUGUUUUAUUUACGCUCAAAAGUUUUGGGGCCAUAUAGGAUUAAGUAUUAUCGUUGUGUUUCAUUUUGCAUGUUUUGACUUCCGGAAUAACUGGGUUAUUCGAACCUCCACAGUCGGUCAUACGUUGGAAGUACGUAUGAAGGAAGACUGUCAUGAAUCUGUCUGUAGAUUGUCUAAAGUAUUUACACAUAGCACAAGUUUGAUGCAAAGUUCAUGAGUGCUUUGAUAAUAUUAAAGUAUUGGAUUAAACCCACGCUCACUUGAAUCUCUUCAUGGAUUUAUCACGGGUGAUUAGUGUGACGAUUACAUUCUAUAUUCUUGAAACCGAGACGUGUGAGUUGUUAUUUGCUGGUCGGUUGAAAAUUGAUGAUAAGUAAACGCACUAGUAAUUUGGUGUUAUAAAACUUAUUGUUGUGUGUGAUUCGAUCAGUAGGUGAAAGCGAGCAUUUGAGUCAAAGUUUAUUCAUUCCUUUUACCCAAAGUGGGAUAAAAGCGAUAUAUGUGGGCCCCUCGAUGAUUUAGUGAUGACACCCUAAGCGCUUGGCCAAGCCGGGACUAAGUUGAUGUGUUCAAUUGUAGUCUGUUGUCAGUCGUCAUAAAUCAGAUGUCGGGAAACAAUACAUAGACAGAGAGAAUGAUUUAAAUCCAUGUCUCGUGUCUAUACGAUAUCUUGAGAAUGGAGGAAUAUACAAUCCCUUAUCUAAAGGACACACUAUCUGAUAAGAUCAGAGUUGAUAACGGCUUUUGAAAGCUAUGAUUGCUGAUCAAGUUCUGAAGUUAUGCAAAAUAGUUAUUAGACUUAUCCAAGUAGGAGACUGUUGGAUUAGUGUCUAAGUCCAUAACUAUUUUGGUAUGUACUUGAACCGAUUAAGAGCAUGGUCCUUUUGGGUUGCCUUCACCAUAGCAAUAUGUAGAAUGAAUUAAGGAGAGAAAGAUUUUAUUAUGAUUUAUUAAUAUAUUAUGAGAAUAAUAUAUUAAAGGAGAAAUCAUAUUGUUUAAUUAAUAUUAGUCAAGAAUUAAUAAAGAAUUAAUUUUGUGGCUAAAAGAGAUUAAUUAAACUUAAGGGACUGGAAUUGUAAUUAUAAGAUAAUUGCAAUUGGGCUAUGGAUCACCUUGGGAUAAUAGGUUGGACGAAUUCUAUGGGGAAGCCCAUUAGAAAUCGUCCAAAGCAUGUUCCAGAAGGAGUCCAUGGACUGCUUAGGGCUUAAGCAGUCAAAUUAGGGUUUCCUUGUUAGAUAACCCUAAUUGCCUACCUAUUUAAGGAGCCCCUAAGCCCCAAAAACGUGGUGAAUGAUUCCUUAUGGUUUCUAGAUAAAUUUUGGUGCCUCUUAUCUCCUCCUUCUUCAUCCUUAUUGCUUAUGGUGUUUGUGACUCCAUUAAUGGUGCAACACUUGAGGCACUAAGCUUUCUGAAGCCAAUUAGAAGAAGGAAUAGAUUGUUAUUGCUACAUAACAAUCAAAGGUAAGAUCUAAACCCUAUUAUUAUGUUAAUUCAAUUACAUGUAUGCUAGAUCUAGGGUUUAUGAGCUUUGGAUGAUUAUUGCAUGUACAUUUAGAUAAACUUAGAAUCAAAAGUUUAGGGUUUUGCAUGUGCACCAUAGGAUUGAUAUAUAGCAUAAAACCCAUCAUAAGUAACAUACUCUACUGGAUUACUAUACUAAGGCCUCACCUAUCUUGGGCCUCGCCCCUGUCCUACUAUUGAUGAAUCAUGGAACCCCGUCCACGCUCUUACUGACAAUGAGAUACGGUUCUAACCCACACUCACUCUUUUCCUUACUUUGGCCUCGCCCCUGCUCUAUUGCUAAUGAGGUAUGGAACACCAUCCACACUCUCCUAUUGGUGAGAUACGGGACCUCGCCCAUACUCACCUCCCUACCAGGCAAAUACAUGUAUCACAUAGACAACAAGUAUAACUAUCAUACAAACCAUUCCUUGGGUACCCGCCCGCUAACAUUGGACCUUAGUCCCGAAUAUCAUACUAGCAUAUUGUGCCUAGGGCUAACCCCCGGGUCUUCCUACUCAUAACUACAUGGGCCGACAUUGUGGCCGUAGACCCAUUCACACAAAGGGAAACUCACCUGCAUUGUUGAACUUUGCUAAUAACUUUCUGGUUGAUGUCUGACAACUCUCUGAACCGUUGCUCCACUAGCUCCCCGAGCUACUAAUAUCAAUAUAGCAUUCAGUUCCAAACUGAACUCUAGAAGUCAACUCUGGUCAAAGUCCAAGUCCAGGUCAAAUUCAACCUUCCAGUUGACUCGACUUGCUGAGUCAACUCAUAGACUCGCCGAGUUCCUAAACCCAGAAACUCUCCAAAUAUGACUCAACUCGCCGAGUCACCCAAAGACUCGUCGAGUUCAACGAUCUCUGAGUCCCAUCUUGUCCAACUCACUGACUCACCACUCAACUCACUAAUAUUUGUCUUAACCAGAAAAGGUUGAGGUUCUGCAACCAGACUCGCCAAGUCCAAGAACAGACUCACCGAUUCCCAGGCAAUCUUUAACAAACUCGCCAAGUGAGUUGUUCUUCCAACUUGUUGAUUCUGUGCUCAUGUUCAUAAAACUCACCGAGUACACCCAUGUGACUCGCUGAGUCUCUUCAGAUCUCAAUCCAUACAAUGGGUUUUCGAGCCAUGUAGGGGCUCCAAUUCAUAGAUCCACUCUUCUACAGUCUAUCCCCCACGUAAAGUUGCAAACUUUAUGUGAAACCAAGGAGCUAAAGGCCCAAAACACUCUAGGGCUAGGGUUUAAUACAGAGGGGAUUCACCAAUAACUCAUUGACUGCUGCUUUAAGAUUUCUAGACCAUCACAACCUUAGAUCUAAAGUAGCCACCUCAAAUCUAAGUCCCAAACCCGAAAUAGAUCUCAAUCUUACAAAAAUAGCCCCAAAAUCUCAUUCAAGAAUAGAUGUAAUUGCAAUAAAUCCAAAGCAAUAGCUUACGUGACAACCCAAAAUUCUAUUCUGUAUAAACAAUAUCACUUCAAUAGAAGUCAGAAAAGUUGCAGUAAGUUUUCAGGCUUUUUAGUAUAAGUUUGAGAAAAUCAGGAUUUACACUUAAAGAGAUAUCAGGAGAGAGGAUGCAGUAGGGUUUUGUGCAACUCUGUUAUUUCAGAACUCUAUGAUAUUAGAGUUCAUUUCUUGAAUACAAAUAUUUUCUGCCAAAAAUCCCAGGACUAUAUAUAUGAUUCUUAACCAAAUUAUUUCAUUAGUUACAUUUCCAACUAGAGAAAAACCAUUUUCUCUCUCACGGAUCUUCGGGUUUUCAUCCCAAAUUGUGAGUACCUCUCUCUAGUUGUAUUAUAUAGCUUGUUAAGUGCUUAAUAACAUAGAAAUCAUAACAAAACUGCAAGAUUUGAGAGUUUACCGCCCAAGAACACCUUGGGGAGUAAACUCUUUUAUAAAGGUAAAAUGAGGCCUAGUCCUUCCCCCGUGAUAUGUAACUACCUUAAGCUUGUAUGUUAGUGUUUAUAAGACUAGAAAUCACCCAUGAACACCAAGAGUAAGGUGUUGACGGCCCAAGAAGUUCUUGGACCGUGAGCUCCAAACUCAAGGGCCAAAGAGUGCGUUAAUCACUCCUAAAGCCUUGGAACAAUAGCCUUGAUUUACUCCUAGUUAUUAAGGGUCAUCAAAUUAUCAAAUUCCCAUCCUAAAGAGAGAUUAUGGCCGUAAUCUCUUAUGGUUUUGGUCUUUGGGCCGUGAACAUCAAAAGGGGGUACCAAAGUGUGCCUAAGGCCUUCAUUAGCCUUAGAUAAUUGUCUAAAACCUAUCCUAGAUGAGUAUGGGACUUGAAAACAUAAAAAAACCCCUUUCCAUAUGAGUUUACGGGAGUAAACUCAAAAGGAAAUGGCCUUGGGGCCGUAAACUCCUUAAUGGAGUGUAUUAGUGCCCUAAACCCUUCCAAGAAUUAAUCCAACAAAUAGGAAUGCUUCUAGGGAUAAUUUAGAACUUCAAAACACCAAAUGACAUUAAGCUUAGGAGUUCACUACCGUAAACUCCUUGUGUGGGGUUUAUUGGAGAGUAAACUCAUAUAUGGGGUCCUUUGGAACCCUAAACUCACUAGCCGGGUCCUACAACAACUUAGAUGUAAUCCUAAGGGCUAAUAACACUUAUUAUAAGUGUUUAACAUCUUCUACGAGGUCUAAACAAUUUCAAUUAGUAGUUUAAAUCUAAUUGGGUACACAUAUGUGUGUUUAUAUGUUAACUAGGAUCAUAGCGUGUGUUCAAGACUUCACUUGACACCUAGCAAUCCUACAUCUUCAAUACAUCCGUACCAUUCACUACAUGUGACUUCAAUUCAUACCCCUUAAUCAAUCGUUUAAAUGUUUUUAAAUGCUUUUAUGGGGUGGGGGUGGGGGGGAAUACAAGUCAAAUGCUUAUAGUAAUUACAUCAAUCACAUGUGAUUAAUAACUACAAAACCAGUGAUUUCCUUAUUGCUCAAAUUGUUUAUCAAACUGUUUUGCUUCUAACUGUUUUACAAGUUCUUAUACUUAUUAAAUACAUUUGCUUAAACUACUGUUUUACUUAUUAUCAAUUGCAUGUCUAUGUAUGUAUAGUUAUAUAAGAAAUGUUUAAAGGACUUAGGAAGGCUAUCCACCCUAUUUCCUUUUCGCGCUUGAGAUGUGGUCUGGUGGGAUAUCGGGUACCCGUCCGAAGGUCAUUUAAAUGAUAAUUAUAUAUCAUGUGUACAUAUAUACUCAUAAAAGGUCCUUCCAGUUCAUUCAGUACGCUUGGGUAACAAGGGUAUACUUCCAUGUUCAUACAUACCAGUACAUCGCUAGUAAGUUACGAUAGGGGUAGCACAGGAGGAUACUAUUAUUAUUACUAGAACAAUGAAACAUACAAUGAGUCAGUUCAUUCAGGAGUCAAUACUUGCUAAAUAGAGAGAGAACACUCAUUGCAGCUAGUACACACAGUACAUUUAUAUACAUUCUAGAUAGAGAGAGAACACACAUUACAACUAGCACACACAGAACAUUAUAGUACAUUACCAUACUAUUACAUAGAUAUGUUUAGAUGAUUACGCUUACAUGAGUAUGUUUACAUAGAUACGUUUUCAUGAGUGCCUUUACAUAUAUGAUAAUAGGACAUACAUCAUUAGGUGCUAUAGCAUAGAACGAGUUCAGGAUCUAACAAUACCGAUGAAUCACAACGCAAUGUAAUAGUUAUAUAAGGUAUACAUGAUCAUUUAAUGUGGAUGUUCACGCAUGCAAAUAUGUAGGAGUCGUGUAAAGGUCCCAAAAUCCCUUUGAUGGGGGGGGCAUCUAGCCUGGGAUCUAGCCAUCACAUUAUGCCUUAUCCCUCAAAUAAGGCAAUAGGAGUACAUAGGUAGUCACUUAUUACAAAUACUACAAUACUUAUAAGAAUUACCCUAGACUUAAGGUAAUUAGUACGGUUAUAGUACAACACUACACCAUAGUACUAUCUCAUUUUUCCCAUUAACAUUCACUUCGUGAAUAUUCACACGAUGCACGGUAAUGUAGAAUCUAUAUUUUUGGUUAAUGAUAGUCUGAAUUGGGGAAAACACACACUCUACCAAGAGACAUACACAGAGACACUAGAUGCCUUGGUAGAAGGCUACAGUUAGUAGUAAACAUAGGGUUUUCUAGGAGAGUUCAAACAUUAUGCAAAACAUUGUACAAAACAUCUUACAAAAACAUUUUACAAACGUUUUCAUACAAACUCAGACAUUAAUAUACUUAUGAUCUCACCAGCAUUAAGCUGAUACUCGCUUUCAAAAUAACUUGUAUUCUCAGGUCACCACUAGACAGGUACAGGUGCCAGGCUUUUGAGAAGAUGGAGUUCAUUCAAGACUCAUCUUUUAUUUUGAUAUGUAUAUUUUUGGUGUCUAUAACUUUAACAGAACACACAUGUAUGAAAUUAUAUUAUUAAUGCAAUGGAUGAUGUUGUUGCUUGUUUACUAGUAUUCAUUGUUUGUGAUACUAUACAUGACGUCCUCCGCCCCAGAAUGUUUCCGCCAUUCAUGGUUUUGGGGUGUGACAGAUUGGUAUCAGAACAUUGUUUAUAGUGAAUUGAGUAUAUCAAACCAUAAAAGAUAUACUAACUAUAAAUACAUUGGGAUUAAAAUACUCUGACCAAGAGUUUAUACUUUAAAUAUUUAAAAUAUUUAAUUAAGUACACGUGCCUGCAUUCAUACUAAAAUCAAUGUCACUAAGACUGUUCAAAAGUAUUAUGAUUGUUGGGCAACACAAUUUGACUUAGAGACAUAUGGUCAAAACUGGGAAGAUAUAGCCUGAUCAACUAUAUUAUCCGAGGGUUGACUAGCAUGUGCCUAAGUGUGGUUGUGAGGUUGCAACAAGUUUAAAAAAUUACCUACAAUACCACAAUUAGAAUGACAGAACAUAAACUUUAAAUACUCUAGGGGUAUUUUACAUUACUAUGAGUUACUUAUGUGCUAGAUUCUUAUACCUCCUUUCUCGCGUAGAUUUAAUGGCUGGAUUCCACCUUCCCGGAGACCCGUACUAUCCCAACCACGGCAAUGCAGGAUGGCUAGAAGAUGAACCAGAAGAUGAUCACCCAAUUCCUUUGGACACUCAUGAAGCUGAAGGCUUUUUUGAUGGUUCUGACUUAGAGCCAUAAGUCAACAACCUACCACCAGUAGGUCAAGCCCCUAACAAAAACCCUCGCCCAACAUUUCUAGGACCCACACCCUUGUGGGCAACCAACCUGGACCGCUGGAGUGACGAGCAGGGACAACCCUUACCUUACUUUGGGGACCGAAGCUUUUACAACCUCAACGAAGGUGGCUCUGCUGAUCGGGCUCUACCUGUCAUGAUUCGCAGAAUAGCUCGUAAUGGUGAACAGGGUCGAGCAGCCAUCGAUCGAAUCAUGGAAAUUGAUGCCAACUCUGGUUUCAACACUGUUCGCAUUCGCUAACUAGAGUUGCCCAAGAAAGGACUCUAGUUUGUAAUGCAGCUCUUCAGAGGGAACUCACCGAAACCUGAGCUGAAGUCAGAGAACUUCGAGCUCAGCAAGCAAGAGCUGAUAGGCGCAUGAGGGACAUGGAACGUCUUCUGUCAGAAUCAAGAACUCACUCUGGUAGUUCUCGUCGCCGAUAGAUUUUCUUUAACAUCUAUCUUUUGGAUAUAACCUAGUUAUGUAAAACUUUGGUCUAAUUUCCCUAUCUAUGUAAAUCAUAGGCCUGUUAGGUCUUGGUUAGGUUGUAAUGUUGUCAAAAUUUUCCCAUUUUGGUUGAUGUAAGGACUCUUCAGUUGGCUAUUUUUCCCGAACUUAUUGCAUCUGUAAUCCCAGUAAUAUUAACAAGUACCUAAUCUUAUGAGAAUUAUUAUCCAAAUGUGCUCAUUUAUUUGUUCUAGAUUCCCAUUCAAUCUUAUCCUUUGGGCUAUAGGGAGUUAGUCCAUGAGUCAUUCUCAUCACUCCUUCCAUUGAAAUCUUAUAUACGUUUCAUCUUCGUAAACUAUAGAUCAAAGAUGCCGCCUCGCAUAAAUCCAAGGAGAAACCGCAAUAACGAAACACCACCUCCUGCACCUCCUCAACCACCUACUCCUCAGUUCGAUAUGACAGCUCUAAAUGCUGUCGUAGCUGCGGCUGUGGCUACAGCCAUGGCUCAAUAUCAUUCACCGGGUUCCACUAGAGGAGGAACCCCUGUUCAGUCUGUUCAGAUGGAAGCUGAUGUGCACUCGAGAGAGUGCUCCUAUAAGGACUUCACGAACUGCAAGCCAUUGUCCUUCAAGGGGACUGGCGGAGUCAUUGCCCUCUCGAAAUUGUUCGAGAAAACCGAAUCAGUUUUCGAAAUCUGCUCUUGUUCCGAGGAGAGCAAGGUGAAGUAUGCUGCUUGCACCUUUGAAACCAAAGCCCUAACGUGGUGGAAUGGCCAUGUGAAGUCACUAUCUCUUGUAGUGGCUAAUGCUAUGUGCUGGGAAACUUUGAGAGACCUCAUGAUUGAGGAAUACUACCCGAGGGGCGAGAUCCAAAAGCUGGAGGAAGAACUGUGGGGCCUAACCAUGAAGGGCUCCAAUGUAGUCACCUACACCGCCAGAUUCUGUGAACUGGUGGCCCUCUGUCCAAACAUGAUUCCUUCAGAGGGAAAGAAGAUCGAAAGAUACAUAUGGGGACUGGUGCCCCCAUACCAUGGAAAUGUUUUGGCAUCACACCCCACUACAUUUGAUAGUGCCAAACGAUUGGUACAGCGGCUCAUAGACCAUGGGGUUCGUACCCCAGCCGCAACAACUACCAUGGCCAUCUCAGAACCUGCAAAGACUGCUGAUUCCAAGCGGAAGGUCUGGGAUGACAAGAAGAAGGCUAAGGCUGCCAAAAAAAGGCAGGUCGUGGCAGUACAUGCUGCGAUAGCCCCUGCCGCUACUGCUCCGGUAAAGCAGUACUCUGGAAGUUUGCCUAAGUGCAACAAGUGCAACUUCCAUCACGUCGGCGCAUGCCGGGAGAUGUAGUGUCUGAACUACAACGGAAAGGGCACAUAGCCCAUUUCUGUAAAUCCCCGGCGAAGCCACUCAACAAAGCCCCCAGUGCUGGAGCGGGCCAAACUUGUUACGGAUGUGGCGAAGUAGGCCACUUCAAAAGAAACUGCCCGAAGGCAGGGUUUGCCGGUGGAGCGGCAAGAGUUCUGGCCAUAGGUCAUGCGGAAGCGGUUGCCGACCCUAUAGUGGUCACUAGUACGUUCCUCCUCGAUAACUCUUAUGCAUGCAUUCUAUUUGAUAGUUGAGCGGAGAGGAGUUUCAUGAACCAAAAAUUUGCUCAUUUACUAAGGCAAAAAUCACGAGCACUUAAUGAACCGUUCAUUGUAGAAAUGGCUAAUGGGAAGGCAGAGAGAACUAGCAGUAUAUUCGUAGGGUGUACCAUAACUUUAGAUAACCAUUCAUUUUUUAACUAUCUUAUGCCGGUCUCAAUUAAAAGUUUCGACGUCAUUAUCAGCAUGGAUUGGUUGAGUCUCCAUCGUGCCGAUAUCAUGUGUUACGAAAAGGCUGUUCACCUUAAUCUGCUGUCUGGCGAAACCUUAGUAGUCUAUGGCGACAAAUCCGGCACGAACCUUCAUAUCAUCUCGAGCAUCCAGGCUCAAAAGUUCUUGCGAAAGGAAUGUCAUGCAUUCCUUGCUCAUGUGGUCGAUGUGAGCCAAGAAACGAAGGACAUUCAGAACAUUCCAAUAGUACGCGAGUUUCCCGACAUAUUUCCAGAAGAAAUCCUAGGAUUACCUCGGCAACGUCAAGUCGAGUUCCGAAUCGACUUAGUUCCAGGGGCUACCUUAGUAGCCAAAUCGCCCUAUCGUCUAGCACCUACAGAGAUGCAAGAACUAUCCGGUUAACUUAACGAACUGCUCAGCAAGGGCUUUAUAAGACCAAGCUUCUCACUCUGGGGAGCUCCAGUCUUGUUCGUCAAGAAGAAAGACGGAUCGUUUCGUAUGUGCAUCGACUACAGGGAGCUCAACAAGCUGACGGUCAAAAAUCAUUAUCCUUUACCUCGGAUCGACGAUUUGUUUGACCAACUACAAGGGGCGAACUUCUUUUCAAAAAUCGACUUGAGAUCCGGAUAUCACCAACUACGAGUGCUAGGGGAGGAUGUUCCAAAGACAACCUUCCGAACUCGUUAUGGGCACUACGAAUUCGUAGUGAUGCCGUUCGGAUUGAUGAACGCACCCGCGGUAUUCAUGGACUUAAUGAAUAGGGUGUGUUGUCCUUACUUGGAUCAGUUCGUCAUCUUCUUCAUCGAUGACAUACUUAUCUACUCUCGAAGUAAGGAGGAGCAUAGUCAACAUCUGCGACAAGUCCUCUAAACAUACGUUCGGAGAAGCUCUAUGCGACGUUCUCGAAAUGCAAAUUUUGGAUACGGCGAGUCGAAUUCUUAGGUCACGUGGUAAGCGAAGAGGGUAUACACGUGGACCCUUCCAAAAUCAAGGCCAUUAAGAACUGGUCAGCACCGAAGACGCCUACGGAAAUUCGUCAAUUUCUAGGCCUCGCUGGCUACUAUCGUAGGCUCAUUCAUAACUUCUACCGCAUAGCGAAACCUCUUACAACACUGACCGAGAAGGGCGUGGCCUUUGACUGGGAAGAGAAGCAGGAAAAAGUGGUCCAAACGCUCAAGCGAGCCUUGUGCACCGCACCAAUACUAUCCCUCCCCGAAGGGAUAGAAGAAUUUGUUGUCUAUUGCGAUGUGUGUCAAAUCAAGGACUCGGAUGUGUCUGAUGCAACGAGGUAAAGUCAUCGCCUAUGCCUCGAGACAACUGAAGACGCAUGAGGUGAACUACACGACCCACGACCUUGAAUUAGGAGCAGUUGUGUUUGCCCUGAAGAUCUGGAGACAUUACUUGUACGGAACGAAGAGCACUAUCUUUAUAGACCACAAGAGCUUACUGUUGGAUAUAGUGUCUAAUUCCAUAACUUUAUUUGGUAUGUACUUGACCCAACCCGGCAUGGUCCAUUUGGGUUGCAUGGCAUUGCAAUACUUGGAUAGACUAAAUGAGAGAAUAUGGCACUUAUGAUUAUUAAUAUAUUAUAAGUUCUAAUAUAUUAAUAAUAGUAUUAUUUAAUUAGUAUUUGAUCAAGUAUUAAUCUAGUAUUAAUUUGGUGAUCAAAGUGAGACUAAUUAAAUAUAUAGGGUUGAUUAUGACAAUCAUCAAUUCUUUUAUGGUGGAUUAAUGAUCCAUGGUUUAUGGGUUAUGGAUGUAACCAUUUGGAGCUCCAUGGAUAGUCCAUGGGAGUUACAAACCCAUGGGUCAUGAGAAAUGAAGAGUCAUGACAAUUAAGAGUAUUCAUGUGAAAACCCUAAUUGUGACAGCACUAUAAAAGGGACCCUUUGGCUAGUGAAAUCAGACCUAGUAAGGUUACUAGAGAGGGCAUAACCGAUUUUGAGUGCUAGAAGUAUUCUCUUAAGUUAUUCCCAGUUUUGUGGUGUUGUGUGAAGCAUUUGAGCCACAACAUUUUGGGUGCUAGGCUCACAAAGUCUUGAAGGAAUCCAAGCAACAACAAGGUAUGUAUUUCUACUAGUUUUUAUGUUUCAUACAUUCCCCAUGCCAUGCUAGUUAGGAAAUAACCUUGAAAAAGAAAUUUGCAUGUAUAUAGAGAAAACAUAGAUUCAAGGUUAUUAGGGUUGCAUGUACACUUAGGAAGUGUUAGAAUGCUCAAAACCCAUCAGUGGUAUCAGAGCCUAGGAUUGUUUUCUGUAUACUUGAUGCAAAACUGCUUGAAAAUCGAAAAUUCUGCAUUCUGACGACUGUACUCGCCGAGUCCAUGGGGAGGACUCGCCGAGUCCAUGAACAAAUUCAUCCUACUCGCCGAGUAGGAUAAUGCACUCGCCGAGUAGGAUCGAGCUGGGCAGAUUUUUCGAGUUUUUGUUGCUGGAAAUGGAUUAGAAUCAUUAUCCCAAUCUGUUUUGGACUUGUAAAAUCUGUUUUUCAAAAUGAUAAUGAUUAUGUUAAUCCAUUUUACAUGACUUUUAACAAUUUCAAAGUAUUAUAUAUGUUCAUAUGAUUUCUUGAAAUUGCUUGACAUGAAUUUGUGUUCUUAUGAGUUUUUAGAAGAUCAUAGGAAUUAUGUGUAACCACCAUGUGUCUUUAAUUCUUGAUCUUAAUUGUAUUGAUGAUGUCCAUAACUUGUCCUCAAGUUAUGGAUAACCAAAAGUCACUUCUUUAAAUUGUGAUUAAAGAACUAAAGAGGUUUCAUAAAAUGAAGAGUCUUCAUUUUUAUGAACCAUUAAAACUCAUAAGUUACAAAUUGAAGAGACUUGGAAUAGUUUCAAUUCUUGCCCUCAAGUUUUGGAAUUUGAAAAGUCUUACACUCUAAUACUUUAAUUCCAAAUUAAACCUUAGAUUUUUAAAAAGUUUAAAAAUCAACACUUAUACUAUUAUUAUAAUUUUAUUAUAUAGAUAUGUAUAAGAAUAUGUCAUUCUUACCGUUAGUAGGCCUCAUUCACGAAGCCGGUCUAAAAGGGGGGUAUAAGGUUGUUGCCUAUAAAAUGGUGACUUAAUGGGUGUCCACUCUCACCCACCGCUUCCUUGAUCGGUGGAGGGUCGUUAGCCGAACGGGUAGGAUACGACUUUAAAUACUCAUUAAAAGUAUAAUGAAUUAUAAAGUAACUAUACAUUAUAAAUUCCCAAUCUUAGUUACUUUAGGAAAAUGUGAAAUUGGUGCUAGCCCAUAAAAUUACACUUUGUACCUUACCAAGUCGUUAGUGGAGCGUGUGUGGUUAACCGACACACUAACAUGGACUAGUAAGAGUGGCAAAGGGUAACUUGACUUUAUUAUAGAUCGGUGGAGCGUGUGUGGUUAACCGGCACAUCGAUUAGGUAAUAUUGUUAAGGGUACCAAGUCAAUUUGUAUGGUUAUUCACACCUUGUUUGUGAUCCUCGGCAUCCCAGUCACAAACUUGAGAGGGCACAAUCGAGAUUCAAACAUGCCAUUGAAAGUUCAAUGUAUCUCAAAAGAUCUAGGAGUUUCAAAUCCAAUUAAAACUUAAUUAUAUUUCGUUUUUCAUGGUGGAAAUUGGUAAAUCGUCAUUUACCUACCUUUAACUAUUUUAUAAUUUGGAUUACGGCAUCCCUCCUCCAGUUAUAAAUAGGUUAUUGGGUCCUAGCGUUAAUAUUUCAUAUUGGGUGUUAUAUUAAGGACUUUAAAUCAACUAACUUGAAUUUCUCCCUUAUAGAUGUCUAGUUUAGACAACUAUGGUCUUCCCAAAUUUUUAGGAACUAGCUUCCUAAUGAAGAUGAUAUCCCAAAAGGCAAUCAAGGUGAAAGACUAAUCGCUUUAUUGAGCACUAAUGGAACUGGAAAUCAUACUUCAUUUCCUCCACCUCCUUCAAUAAAUCUCCCUAUCCCACAAGUUUCACGACCUGAUAAGUUCUAAGUCACUGAAUCCCUAUUGGCAAACAAAGUCUAUAUGUGCUUAGGUCUUGGAGAUUAAGUCACAUAUUGACAAGCCGGGAGAGUUGGGUGUUGAAGUCUCAAGGUAGCUGGCUGUUGGCUUGUUCACUCGCUGAUGACAGAUCACGACAUGAUCGUUAAUGAUCUUACCUAUUUGUUGGAUGAUGUUGAAUCAACAAUGAUUUGGAGCAUUGGUAAAGCAAAAUUUGAUUGGAGGAUCAACCUCCCAAACUUCCAUGGACAUUGACAAUGGGAACAUUGGAAGUCCGGAAAAACCUUUCUCUUCCCAAUUGAAAGGGAUUGGUCAAAUUCAACUCGUUUGACCAAAUGGUAAAGAGAAAGGCUAAGUCUGUGAUAGUCCCGAGUACCGUUUCUAAAGAGUCCAUAUGUUCAUGUUGCCAAAGGAAGGGCAUUGGUUGCGAAGCUGCCAAAUUUACCUAAAAGUCCAUAAGGAUAGUAAAGUCAAAUGUUUGACUCUGUUUUAGGUAAAAUCCAUUAUCUAACUUUAUUAAGUUUCUAUUCUGAGAUUCUUAUUACAUGAUGUGACUGAGUCACAUAUUGAUGUUUUAAGAAUCAAAGAAGAGUGAAGAAACUUAAAGAAAGUAUAUGUUGAUUCUGAUCGUGAAGAUGGAUUUCGAUCGCAUGGUUCGGUGAUCAGAAUUUUGAGUUGUUACUUAAGAGUUAUGAUAUAUUGCUUAGGAAUAGAUAACAACAAGUUUUUCAUAUGGAUUGUAAGGAUAAGUUUUCCGCAAAGUUUUAAAAUAAAAGAAAAAUGGUUUUGAUUUUAUUUAUUUUAAGUAUUCUUACAAUGACAUUUGUGAAAAAAGGUUGUUGCUUAUAUGUUUCCAUUGAUAAGCAAUAUGGGUAAAUGGAUUUGAUUCUUUCAUUAGUGGUAGUGUCAUAAUUUACCAAAUAAGGAAAGAUUCUCAUCACCCAAGUUUUAGUUGGAUAGAAACUUGGAAUCAUGCAAGUUGUAUUGUGUGAUGAAUGAGAAUUUUCAUCUUUGGUAAAUUGAGACUAAUUACUUGUUCACAUUCGCAUGUGAGUCAAGCGAAGGACUAAAGGAUCAGGUACAUUAAGUUGUGCACUAGUCAGGUCCACCACAAAGGUAGAUAACAUUAUUCAUUAUGAUUUACUAAAGUUUAGUAAAUAUGGUUAUGCUUACAAGUUUAAGUGUAAUUCUGAAACAUUGGAAAAGUUUCAAUGUAUGGCAGAAUGAAUAAGAAGAAUCAAAUAAGGCAGAAAGAUAAAAGUUUCUCCAGUCUGAAGAGAUGGGAGAGUACUUGUGUAUUUUGUUUUUUGAUUAUCUUAGUGAUUAUGGAACCAUAUCACAAUUGAUCCUCUACGGACACCUUAGUGUGUUUGUUGCCUGAGGAGAGGAAUCGUGAAUUAUUGAAAUAGUUAAAUCAAAAGAUAAUUCAUACUUCAUGCCAAAAACAAAUCCUGGAGUUAUACUCCCAGAUUGUAACUUGAGUGACAUAGUCUUUAGAAAGUUUAUAACACUUAUCAAAUGUAGAGUAAGAUGUGUUCUACUCUUGUAUAUUUGAGGUUGGUUAGUUGUGAUGUUUUGGAUAAAACAAAGACCAACUAAGUCAAAUUAUGGGAAGUGUUUAACUUGAAAAGAUUCCGCACUAUCUCUUGAAUAUUUGGCAAGAGAGUCUUAUAUGUCAAGAGGACAGUGGGAGUCUAAAAGAUUCUGAAAUAGUUUCAAGAACUAAUCAAGAGUUUUGUUAAUCACUAGCCCACGACUUAAGGUUUGUAACCUAUCGUGUUGACAUAUUCUGUGCUCAUCCCAGUUAAGGUUGGCUUUGCAUUGGAGUUCUGAGAGUUCUCGACUGUUUGCAUAACAACCUGGAAGCAAUGGUAGGCCCUUGUGCUGCCGGGUGGGAAGAAAUUAAGAUUGCACAAGUUCAGUCCAUAUGAAUUUGGAAGUGUCACUAACCUAGUCCUGUGAUUAUGGUUUUGACAAAAUUCACAUGAAAAAGAACACAUACACCAUAAAAUCUAAGUGUCAUAAGGUUUCUCUUCGAUUCAUGAAAAUGAUGGUAAGGAAACACUUCCACUAAGAAGAUUUUUAGUAGAUAGCGGUUGUGAUAUUUGCAUUCUCAUAGAGUUAGUGGAGCGUGUGUGGUUAACCGGCACACUAACUAGUGAGAAUUGCAAAGGUCUAGACAAACAUGUGAGCUAUCUAAGGAAAGGUGUAUGUUCUUGAUAAAGUCUUAUCAAAGCAAUCUAGUAUCAGAAAUAUGAACUUUGGUAAGAAAGUCAAUAAAGUAUUGAUUUCUAGAAGUCCAGUUGAUUUCUGAGUACAUGUCAAAGCUAGUGGGAGCAUAAAGUGUUAUGCUGGUAAUCAUUAUGCUAGUGGGAGCAUGAUGAUUAUGUUAAGUAUUGCAAGUUAGCAAUGUUAAUUAUAGAAAACAAAAGUUUCAAUUUGCUCUGAAAAGUUGUUUGCUAUAAUUAAGGGAGAGGAUUUUAUACUUCAUUCCAAUUCUACCAGCUUAGAUUGAGUUUUAUCAACUUUAGUCAAGGAUAUAUAUGAAUGUUAUGUUGGAAUUGUUCAACAUAAGGAAUUUCUAUAUAUGUUGCGUUCUCAAAAUUCGAUUAUGAUUACGGCAUACCUCUUCAUAGUUCGAAUUGUGAGAACAUGGCAAAUAAAAAUUUUAUAGCAUGAAUCGUGUCCCAUAUGCUUCGGAUAUAGGAUCGAUUGCAUGUACUAUAAUAUUCAUCCAUUCUAAAUUUUCCUAAUGCUUAGGGCAUUAAGAAGGGAAAAGGGAUUAGAACUGGAUAUGACUAAAAUGAUUAAGCAAUUGUCGAGGACAGUUUGAGGUUUACCAAAGAUUGGUUACUCAUGGACAAUUGGAAGUAUAGAGUUAGGACCAUAUUGACAUAUUUUGAAAAGAGGCAACUCUUGUUCAAAAGUGAUGGUCAAAAUGGGAAUAUGGAAUUGUUUCCAUAGGUGGAAGUUACUCUUUGAAUCUGUGUAAGAUUAGAGAACUUAAUGCAAGAAGGANNNNNNNNNNNNNNNNNNNNNNNNNNNNNNNNNNNNNNNNNNNNNNNNNNNNNNNNNNNNNNNNNNNNNNNNNNNNNNNNNNNNNNNNNNNNNNNNNNNNNNNNNNNNNNNNNNNNNNNNNNNNNNNNNNNNNNNNNNNNNNNNNNNNNNNNNNNNNNNNNNNNNNNNNNNNNNNNNNNNNNNNNNNNNNNNNNNNNNNNNNNNNNNNNNNNNNNNNNNNNNNNNNNNNNNNNNNNNNNNNNNNNNNNNNNNNNNNNNNNNNNNNNNNNNNNNNNNNNNNNNNNNNNNNNNNNNNNNNNNNNNNNNNNNNNNNNNNNNNNNNNNNNNNNNNNNNNNNNNNNNNNNNNNNNNNNNNNNNNNNNNNNNNNNNNNNNNNNNNNNNNNNNNNNNNNNNNNNNNNNNNNNNNNNNNNNNNNNAAAAGUAAAGCUGUGAUGGAGGACGAAGACCUCAACUUGGAGGAUUAUGACCUCACGUCUGAGGAUUAUGCUAUGAUGGUGUCUAACCCCAAGAGGUUCAUCAAGAAGAGAUUCCCCUCCAACAAAAACCGAAACUGGCAGGGGAGUUAUAGCUCAGAAAAGGUUAAAGAUGAACCGAAGGUUGAAGAGUCUAAGAAGGAACCGAAGGCAGAAGGUGAUUCUGGAGUAAGCUGCUACUAUUGUGGAGGAAAGAACCACUAUGCAAAGGAUUGUGUCCUCAAAAAGAUGGCUGAAAAGGAUGAGGAAGCUUUGCUGCAGAAAAAGCUUGAUGAGAUCAGGAAGAAGAAAUCUACCGCUAACCCUUCUAUGAAUGCUCUAAUUGUGCAGGGUUCGGUUGCUGAUGACGAGUUCGGUGGCGUGGAGGUUUGGUCAACCGACUCUGAAGAUGAUGAAGUGAGGAAGCCUUCUCAUGGAAAGGCUUGUGUGGCAAAAGAGGAAAGCAGUGGAGGAAGGUGCUUGAUGGUGUCUGACGUAUCUCAGAUGAGGGGAUACAACACUGAUGGUGGGAGUAAUGAACCGAAGGAGCAACAGGAUAUGUGCUUUACAGCCAAACCGCUCAGCGUGCAGUUCAACGAGCUCGAUGAACUGAUUAAGAAGGUACAAUCGGUUUUUGUCUCAUUUAAAGUCCCACAAUGCUCAUAUGAAAAAGAACUAAAAAGUGUUAAUUCAAGAAUCUCUCAUCUAGAUAGUAGUUUAACUCAAACUCGAGUCACCAAUUCUAACCUAACUGAUCAAUUAAGCAGGGUGUCUUCGAAGAGUGAGGAACGGCGCAUGUGGAUCGAACUGAAGGAGUCGGAAUUAGUCAAAAUAAAAGAUGAAAACAUUUAUUUACAAAGAGACAAUUUAAAGCUUUUGAAACAGCGAAAUGUUUUUUGUUUGAUUGCUAAACGUCUUUACACUAAUAUUACUCAGCUUCAUUUGGAUUGUGAAAUAGGACAAAAGAUUCAUCGCAUGAUUUUGCCCUUCCUUGAGUUUAAGGAGGAUGAAAUUGAUGCUGAAGCGUAUAAUUGUGAGAGUGUGAUAUCAUCUGAGGACGUUAAUCCGACCUAUAUGUAUGGACUGGACAAAAUAGAAUCUUUCAUUAAAUCCAAGGACCAUAAGGACAUGCUUAAAAACCUUUUGGAUGAAAAUGAUAGACUGAAACUGAGAACCGAAACCAUAAAAAAUUUGACUCCUUAAAUGCCAACUUGAGCUCAGAAAACAAAAUUGAAGUUGAAAAUGCAUCUGAGCUUAAUGAGGAUGACAAUAUGAGUGAAAUUUAUGUGGAGGACACGGUUGACUGUUCAGAAUUUGUAAAAAGCGAACCUGAAAACCACAAGAAUCUAAUUUCAGAAAAUUCAGUGGACUUUGCUCGUAUGUCCCAACAAAAGUCCCCGAUCCUUGCAGAGAAGGCCGUUGUAUAUCAAAAGGUUAGGACCAAUCCAAAUCAAGUGUACAAGGACACAGGAGUAACCGAACAUCAGACUGCUGAACUCACAGCAAUUGUAAACGAAGACAAUGCUGAUCGAUGCGAUGAGUUCUACUGGUCAGCUCCAAUCGAUAAUGUUGAUGAAACGGUAGGCUUAGCAGAAAGGACCUCAUGGAAAAGUAAAGGUAGAUACGUGCCAGAACCCUUGAACAAACCUGAUAACUUUGAUGUGCCAAGUACUAGUGGUACGAAAGACAUUCCUCAAGAAAAUGGAAGUCCGGCAAAGGAAGACACUCCCUCUAGUGAAACUUCCUCAGUUCAGAGUGAACCAGCCAAAGAAAAACCGAAACCUAAAGCCAACAUCCAUCAUCAACCGAAGCAGAUGAGAUAUCAGAAACGUCAAAGGAAUCAGAGAUACAUGAAGAAUCUCUCUGAAAGAAAACAGUUUUGGCAAUCCCAGAAUGCUUAUUUCUCACAUCAAGACAAGAACCUAAAGUCUGAGAAAAAUCCUAUUGAAACGAAAGAAAGUCACAACAACCGAAAGCAAAGGUUCGGUUCGGAGAAAAAUAUCAACCGAAAGCAAAGGUUCGGUUCUGAGAAUGACUCAAACCGAAAGCAGAAGUUCGGUUUAGAUAACGAAACCAACCGAAAGCUAAGGUUCGGUUCAGAAAAUAAUACCAACCGAAAGCAAGGGUUCGGUUCUGAGAAUGACUCUAACCGAAAGCAGAAGUUCGGUUUAGAUAACGAAACCAACCGAAAGCUAAGGUUCGGUUCUGAAAUCAAAAGAAAUCAAAACUCUAAGGUUGGUCCCACCAAUGAUCAAAAGCAAAAGGGUCACCUAGAGUCUCCAGCCAAGAAGUUAUCUGAUUCUUCUAAAUCUUCCAAUUCUUCAAACUCUUCUAACUCUUCUCCAUCCCGUCCUAAAUUCCAAUCUGUUCCUUCUCAAAAAACUCAAUCAUCAGCUGAACAAAAAGGAAAACAGAAGGUUUCAGUGGUUGAACCAGAGUCAAAACCGAAAGCUGGUUGUGGCACCGAAGGCUCUCUCAUCUCAACUUUAAAGACAUCAACAAACUUGUCACUGGAAGUCAUGUUCGAGGUCUUCCACUGCUCAAGUUCGAUAGAGAUCAUUUGUGUGCUGCAUGUGAAAUGGGGAAGCAAAGUCGUCAAAGUNCCCAUCUGUAAUUAACACAAAAGUUGUUGAACCACUCGAAUUACUUCAUAUCGAUUUGUGUGGUCCUUCAUCUAUCGAAAGCAUCGGUGGUAGCAAGUAUAUUCUUGUUAUUGUUAAUGACUUUUCGCGUUUCACAUGGGUGUUCUUUUUGAAGCUUAAAUCUGAAGCGACUCAUAAGCUAAAGGUGUUCAUCAAGCACAUUGAUGUACAGCUAAAGAAGGUCGUUCGCAACAUCAGGAGCGACAAUGGUCUGGAAUUCAAAAAUAGAGAAUUCGAAGAAUUCCUGGCAGAAAAGGGAAUAAGUCACAACUUCUCAGCUCCUUACACACCUCAACAGAACGGAAUUGUCGAAAGACGAAACCGAUCUUUGUGUGAAGCUGCCUGAACCAUGUUAAGUUUCGCAUCCUUACCUCUUUAUUUUUGGGCUGAUGCUAUUUCUGCUGCUUGUUUUACACAGAACAGGUCUUAUCUCAACAAGCGAUUCACGCUCACACCUUAUGAGAUACUAAACAACAGAAAGCCCAAUGUGAAAUUUUUCCAUGUGUUCGGCUCACGGUGUUUCAUCUUUAACUCUAAAGAACACCGCAACAAGUUCGAUGUCAAAGCCGACGAGGGAAUCUUUCUGGGCUACUCUCUCACUUCCAAAGCAUACAGAGUAUUAAACAAGCGUUCGAGGAAAAUCGAAGAGACUUAUUACGUGACUUUCGAUGAUAGCUAUGUCAAAAAGCUACAGGCCAAAGAAGACACAGCUGGGGAAAUCUUUCCUCAAACUGGCCAAGUCACAGUCUCGAUCGCUAAUCUAUNNNNNNNNNNNNNNNNNNNNNNNNNNNNNNNNNNNNNNNNNNNNNNNNNNNNNNNNNNNNNNNNNNNNNNNNNNNNNNNNNNNNNNNNNNNNNNNNNNNNNNNNNNNNNNNNNNNNNNNNNNNNNNNNNNNNNNNNNNNNNNNNNNNNNNNNNNNNNNNNNNNNNNNNNNNNNNNNNNNNNNNNNNNNNNNNNNNNNNNNNNNNNNNNNNNNNNNNNNNNNNNNNNNNNNNNNNNNNNNNNNNNNNNNNNNNNNNNNNNNNNNNNNNNNNNNNNNNNNNNNNNNNNNNNNNNNNNNNNNNNNNNNNNNNNNNNNNNNNNNNNNNNNNNNNNNNNNNNNNNNNNNNNNNNNNNNNNNNNNNNNNNNNNNNNNNNNNNNNNNNNNNNNNNNNNNNNNNNNNNNNNNNNNNNNNNNNNNNNNNNNNNNNNNNNNNNNNNNNNNNNNNNNNNNNNNNNNNNNNNNNNNNNNNNNNNNNNNNNNNNNNNNNNNNNNNNNNNNNNNNNNNNNNNNNNNNNNNNNNNNNNNNNNNNNNNNNNNNNNNNNNNNNNNNNNNNNNNNNNNNNNNNNNNNNNNNNNNNNNNNNNNNNNNNNNNNNNNNNNNNNNNNNNNNNNNNNNNNNNNNNNNNNNNNNNNNNNNNNNNNNNNNNNNNNNNNNNNNNNNNNNNNNNNNNNNNNNNNNNNNNNNNNNNNNNNNNNNNNNNNNNNNNNNNNNNNNNNNNNNNNNNNNNNNNNNNNNNNNNNNNNNNNNNNNNNNNNNNNNNNNNNNNNNNNNNNNNNNNNNNNNNNNNNNNNNNNNNNNNNNNNNNNNNNNNNNNNNNNNNNNNNNNNNNNNNNNNNNNNNNNNNNNNNNNNNNNNNNNNNNNNNNNNNNNNNNNNNNNNNNNNNNNNNNNNNNNNNNNNNNNNNNNNNNNNNNNNNNNNNNNNNNNNNNNNNNNNNNNNNNNNNNNNNNNNNNNNNNNNNNNNNNNNNNNNNNNNNNNNNNNNNNNNNNNNNNNNNNNNNNNNNNNNNNNNNNNNNNNNNNNNNNNNNNNNNNNNNNNNNNNNNNNNNNNNNNNNNNNNNNNNNNNNNNNNNNNNNNNNNNNNNNNNNNNNNNNNNNNNNNNNNNNNNNNNNNNNNNNNNNNNNNNNNNNNNNNNNNNNNNNNNNNNNNNNNNNNNNNNNNNNNNNNNNNNNNNNNNNNNNNNNNNNNNNNNNNNNNNNNNNNNNNNNNNNNNNNNNNNNNNNNNNNNNNNNNNNNNNNNNNNNNNNNNNNNNNNNNNNNNNNNNNNNNNNNNNNNNNNNNNNNNNNNNNNNNNNNNNNNNNNNNNNNNNNNNNNNNNNNNNNNNNNNNNNNNNNNNNNNNNNNNNNNNNNNNNNNNNNNNNNNNNNNNNNNNNNNNNNNNNNNNNNNNNNNNNNNNNNNNNNNNNNNNNNNNNNNNNNNNNNNNNNNNNNNNNNNNNNNNNNNNNNNNNNNNNNNNNNNNNNNNNNNNNNNNNNNNNNNNNNNNNNNNNNNNNNNNNNNNNNNNNNNNNNNNNNNNNNNNNNNNNNNNNNNNNNNNNNNNNNNNNNNNNNNNNNNNNNNNNNNNNNNNNNNNNNNNNNNNNNNNNNNNNNNNNNNNNNNNNNNNNNNNNNNNNNNNNNNNNNNNNNNNNNNNNNNNNNNNNNNNNNNNNNNNNNNNNNNNNNNNNNNNNNNNNNNNNNNNNNNNNNNNNNNNNNNNNNNNNNNNNNNNNNNNNNNNNNNNNNNNNNNNNNNNNNNNNNNNNNNNNNNNNNNNNNNNNNNNNNNNNNNNNNNNNNNNNNNNNNNNNNNNNNNNNNNNNNNNNNNNNNNNNNNNNNNNNNNNNNNNNNNNNNNNNNNNNNNNNNNNNNNNNNNNNNNNNNNNNNNNNNNNNNNNNNNNNNNNNNNNNNNNNNNNNNNNNNNNNNNNNNNNNNNNNNNNNNNNNNNNNNNNNNNNNNNNNNNNNNNNNNNNNNNNNNNNNNNNNNNNNNNNNNNNNNNNNNNNNNNNNNNNNNNNNNNNNNNNNNNNNNNNNNNNNNNNNNNNNNNNNNNNNNNNNNNNNNNNNNNNNNNNNNNNNNNNNNNNNNNNNNNNNNNNNNNNNNNNNNNNNNNNNNNNNNNNNNNNNNNNNNNNNNNNNNNNNNNNNNNNNNNNNNNNNNNNNNNNNNNNNNNNNNNNNNNNNNNNNNNNNNNNNNNNNNNNNNNNNNNNNNNNNNNNNNNNNNNNNNNNNNNNNNNNNNNNNNNNNNNNNNNNNNNNNNNNNNNNNNNNNNNNNNNNNNNNNNNNNNNNNNNNNNNNNNNNNNNNNNNNNNNNNNNNNNNNNNNNNNNNNNNNNNNNNNNNNNNNNNNNNNNNNNNNNNNNNNNNNNNNNNNNNNNNNNNNNNNNNNNNNNNNNNNNNNNNNNNNNNNNNNNNNNNNNNNNNNNNNNNNNNNNNNNNNNNNNNNNNNNNNNNNNNNNNNNNNNNNNNNNNNNNNNNNNNNNNNNNNNNNNNNNNNNNNNNNNNNNNNNNNNNNNNNNNNNNNNNNNNNNNNNNNNNNNNNNNNNNNNNNNNNNNNNNNNNNNNNNNNNNNNNNNNNNNNNNNNNNNNNNNNNNNNNNNNNNNNNNNNNNNNNNNNNNNNNNNNNNNNNNNNNNNNNNNNNNNNNNNNNNNNNNNNNNNNNNNNNNNNNNNNNNNNNNNNNNNNNNNNNNNNNNNNNNNNNNNNNNNNNNNNNNNNNNNNNNNNNNNNNNNNNNNNNNNNNNNNNNNNNNNNNNNNNNNNNNNNNNNNNNNNNNNNNNNNNNNNNNNNNNNNNNNNNNNNNNNNNNNNNNNNNNNNNNNNNNNNNNNNNNNNNNNNNNNNNNNNNNNNNNNNNNNNNNNNNNNNNNNNNNNNNNNNNNNNNNNNNNNNNNNNNNNNNNNNNNNNNNNNNNNNNNNNNNNNNNNNNNNNNNNNNNNNNNNNNNNNNNNNNNNNNNNNNNNNNNNNNNNNNNNNNNNNNNNNNNNNNNNNNNNNNNNNNNNNNNNNNNNNNNNNNNNNNNNNNNNNNNNNNNNNNNNNNNNNNNNNNNNNNNNNNNNNNNNNNNNNNNNNNNNNNNNNNNNNNNNNNNNNNNNNNNNNNNNNNNNNNNNNNNNNNNNNNNNNNNNNNNNNNNNNNNNNNNNNNNNNNNNNNNNNNNNNNNNNNNNNNNNNNNNNNNNNNNNNNNNNNNNNNNNNNNNNNNNNNNNNNNNNNNNNNNNNNNNNNNNNNNNNNNNNNNNNNNNNNNNNNNNNNNNNNNNNNNNNNNNNNNNNNNNNNNNNNNNNNNNNNNNNNNNNNNNNNNNNNNNNNNNNNNNNNNNNNNNNNNNNNNNNNNNNNNNNNNNNNNNNNNNNNNNNNNNNNNNNNNNNNNNNNNNNNNNNNNNNNNNNNNNNNNNNNNNNNNNNNNNNNNNNNNNNNNNNNNNNNNNNNNNNNNNNNNNNNNNNNNNNNNNNNNNNNNNNNNNNNNNNNNNNNNNNNNNNNNNNNNNNNNNNNNNNNNNNNNNNNNNNNNNNNNNNNNNNNNNNNNNNNNNNNNNNNNNNNNNNNNNNNNNNNNNNNNNNNNNNNNNNNNNNNNNNNNNNNNNNNNNNNNNNNNNNNNNNNNNNNNNNNNNNNNNNNNNNNNNNNNNNNNNNNNNNNNNNNNNNNNNNNNNNNNNNNNNNNNNNNNNNNNNNNNNNNNNNNNNNNNNNNNNNNNNNNNNNNNNNNNNNNNNNNNNNNNNNNNNNNNNNNNNNNNNNNNNNNNNNNNNNNNNNNNNNNNNNNNNNNNNNNNNNNNNNNNNNNNNNNNNNNNNNNNNNNNNNNNNNNNNNNNNNNNNNNNNNNNNNNNNNNNNNNNNNNNNNNNNNNNNNNCUAACACUUUAAGGUCUCUCUUGACUUUGAAGGAAGAGAUUCGUGCCCAGGAUCAUUUGUUUCGUGUCUUUAUUGACAUCACAUUUAUUCCUAAAAAGAUUUGCUUUAUUUCUUUUCUUUUUACACUCUUAGCACGAAAAUCUUUGAUUUUCCAAAAUUCUGGUACUAAGAAUUACAGGCUGUUUUACUGGAUUGGUGGUUACUUAAAAGAUGUGGUCAAAAUUCAUCCACGUGGGAGGUUUAUUCAAAAGAUGCCGUUACAGGGAUAAGAUGAAGGGUUGCUGACUCAGGUGGGAGUCUAAUGGAUUGAAAUUCAAACGGCGGUAAAAAAGGGAUGCAUGCGAAUUUGAAACGUCCACUCUUUAACUGACGUCGUGGACGCGUGUGCGAAUAUGAAGCGGUUCCUCUCUGGCACAGAAAGGCGCGUGGGGAUUUGUAACGGUUUCUUCAGAAACGGCACUUGUUGGCCGGCCUGUUUCAAGGAAUCUGACACUCUCUCUCAUGCGUGAUCAUCGCUUACCUUAACUGUCAUGCAUCAAUCAAAUUCCGGGAAAACCUUUGGUAUUUCGAUAGAAGAUUUGUGCAGAUUUUUCUCUCUCCUAAAACCCACUAUAAACGGAGACAUCUUCUCCCAUUUACCUCUUUACUGCAUCAGAAUUCCCAAGCGAGCAAAAAUUCCCUGAAACUCUUACUGUUCAUCUUCUUCUUCCCAAUUUCAACAAUGGCAGAUUCAUCAUCCGUUCAUGCAACCUCACACAUCCUUCCCAUUCGGCCUCAACAGUGUUUGGUGAUUGAUUUAACCCCUUAGGCGUACGAUUCCUACAUGUUUCCGAUCAUCGAGUGCCUGAAAUACUCGCCCAUCGCUCCUGCACUUUCUAGGGUUGAAUCUGUGCCCAUGGAGCUCCUAUCGCAGGUUUAUGCGACUGCACAUUACGAUAAAGCAAUCGAUAGGGUUUUCUUCGAGGUUUCUGAUCACAAAACCUCGAUUUCUAAGAAACGAUUUGGCACAUUGCUAGGGUUUGCAGCUGACCCUUCACGGAUUCAUCCAGUGACGAUUCCGAUUGGGCAUCUCUACAGCAUGUUCUACAAUAUGGGGUACACGGAGGUGCUCUCCUCCGUCGCGAAGUUUAAGAAAUCUUGUUUGCCGCCACAAUGGAACGACAUGUUCACAGUCCUCUUCAAGGGUCUUUCUGAGAGGAGCUCAGGUUCAGACGGCUCCAGUCGACUCUUCUUGUCGAUCAUGUACAGCGUUUACAAUGGUAUCAACGUCGACUAUGGGGUGGUUCUCUGGCAACAACUCCUCCAAAGCCUCUCUUCUUCUUCACGACACUCUGAGGUGUCUUAUGCAAGGUUUUGGACUCUCAUCACCAAGUGGGCGAUGGAUAAGUUCGAUGUCCCCACUGUUGCCGGUGCAUCGAUGUCUUCGAUCGGUACUUUUCAUACCACGAAGAUUGUCGUCUCAGAUGCCUUAAAAUUUCCCUUUAUUGGUUCCAUUCCGGAGACCAUGUAUGCUGAUGUCCCCGCUGACAGCAGAAUAAUCCGGACUAUCAAGGAGUUUAAGCAAUCUGGACCGAGGGAACUCACGCAGGAGAUGCUCAAGUCCAUACAUGAUGCCGAUAAGCCUAUUUCGAGAGGCAAAAGGGCAGACAAAGGCAAGCAGGUGGCCAAAGGGGCUAAAGGUCCUUCUCCCAAAAAGAGGAAAUCCUCGAAAGCUGCUCAGUCCCCGCAGCCGAAGAGGCGAAAGACUCAACCGAAGCGAAAGCUCAUUAUCGCUUCCUCUUCGAGUGAAUCAGACGGUGAGAGUUCGGAUUCGGACGGCUCUCAAAGAGGCGAAACCCCUCCGAGAGGCAACACCCCACCCCGAUCACCUACCCCAGAUAUGGAAAUCCAUAUCUCACCAAUUCCCUCUCCUACUCAAACAAUUCCUACUUCCAUUCCCACCAUAAACCCCUCUACCACAAUUCNUCCCACCAUAAACCCCUCUACCACCAUUCCUAAAACAUAUUUCCCUAUACCACCACCCAUUUUCACCGAUACAACAACAACAACAACUGCAAAGGUUACAACCAACGUAUCUAAUACGGGGGUUCAUACCGAUGCAACCGAACCACCACCUGUAACCGAACCCCUACAUACAACCGAAACCCAACCACCACCCGAAACCACUCACACUCAACCCGAACCUACCCAUACCCUUACACCUCCAGCCUCACCAACACCACAAUCUCCAGAUCAUGCCUCUGAUGGAGAUAACCCUUUCCUUGGAGGGGAAAAUAUGACCUUCGAUUCGGUCUACUUUAGUCCGUUUCAGGUCCAAAGCGACGACGAUGAGGAAGCUCCUGUAACAAAGAAGCAUCUUAAGGAGCUGCAUGAGAAGGUUGACCUGCUUAUUGCCUCAUAUUCCAAUUCUCAAUCCUCUCUCUCUCUGAAGCCGCUCUUCAGAAGAUUGUUGAUGCCUUCUCAAGGGCUCUACCUGAUUCCGUCGCUUCCGCCACUGCAGCUAUUGAUGCCUCUACGAAAGCUUGUGAGGCAGCGACCGAAAAAGUCGAUAAACUAUUUUCCGACGCCUCUGCCCUGUUACACUCUUUACAGGAGAGUGCUGCUGCAACCAAGACAACGCUGGAACCGAUUGUUCAACAAUUGGUGACGUUCGUCUCUAUAGAGUUGACGUCAUUCGCCACCCUUCGUCAAACUUUAUCAGAUGACAACUUUUCCCUUCGGACAUCUAUCGAUGAGCGCCUCUCUAAACUACUAGAGGAUCUUGCUUAUGAUAACUCGUUGAUGGAUGCUCUCGCAAGGAAGACCACCGCCCUCAAGGUCAAGAGUGCUCAACUUUCAAGUACUCAACAACAGCUUGAAGCUCUUCGAUCUGAACGGGAGGUCAUAAGGACGUGUGUUUCGGAUGUACACUCUGCAAUAUCCAACAUCCUGGAAGCGCACGAUCCCAUUCUGAACCACUCUGUGCGGCGAACCAUUGCAUAAAAACUCGCCCCUGCCCUGGAUCUACUCAGCAAAAUAGAAGGGCUACCCGGUUUCGUGUUCACUCCAAAACAAGGGGGAAAAAAGGAGUUCGGAUCUCAACCACCACCUUCCUCAAAAGCUGCUCACACAACCGAACCUCCUCCUACAGGCCACGCCUCGGGUUCGGGUGUGAAGGAUAAAGGAAAGAAGAUAGCUGAGGAAGAAUAUGAAGAUGAUGAAGAAACCAUUACCGACUUGCUGAAACGCAAAAAUAGUCGCAAUGUUGAUAAUGAUAACAUUCGUGUGGCGCGAGAAGCUGAAGAAGCCGAACACAAACAAAAAGAAGCCCACGACUUACUCGAGAGCAGGAAGACUCUUUUCCCUGCAUGGACUCUCGAGAGGAUGAUCAAGGAGGCAAUCGAUACUCCGAGCAUCCUAUGGCUCGAACCGGUGAUCUCCUUCGACUGCUACAACUCUGUCGACUCGCAAUUCGACAUGCCCUUAAUCCGAAAGGCGUUUAUCUUCCACGCCUUCGCCAACGUUGCCGAAGUUCCUCAUCCUCAUCCUGAGGUUGAUCGUGAACUGAUCGAUUUCUAUCUAAAGGCCGCUCAACCCCAGUAUCAAACCUAGAGCGCUCAGAAGAUUGUUAACGUUCGGGUGCUAAAGCCUUACACUGAAGGGAGAUUUAUCAACGUUCGGUUCAGGAUGAUCAGAGGGUCUGCAAAAACCGAACAUCUUAUAUCCUUACCAGAUCUACCGAACUUCAACCCCCAUGACUGGAUCGUUCUGCACAACAUCCUCUUGACAAAUGAAGCUGAAUAUGGUCCGAUCAUUGACCAUCUCAAAAGGAUGUUGGUAUGUUAUAUCAUGGAGGUCGCCUUGAUGGAUCAGGAGAUUGCCAGUGUCUUCAAGAAGAAACCGAAGAUCUCUCCUGUUGGCUCGGCCAGUGAUCUCAAUCAGAUGAAGAUGGGAAAGAUUGACCCAAGGCGAAACUCGGUCAUGUUCACUAGGGCUGAAGGACAGAAAUGUCUCUUUGCCUUAGUGGAUAAACAUCUUUAUACCAAUGCUUGUCUUGAGCACGUGCUGGGGAUCAUCCAUCGGUGUAAAGAGAAUACAGCGGAUGAUAUCAAAUACUUCGAUGAUAUGAUAAUGUGGUACAUCCGGUUCAGACAGACAAUCUUGGCGCUUGUUUCGUGUCUGUUUGAUACUGUAAAGAAGAAAGCUCCUGCUGCUGGCCCAAGUAAGAAGACGAAGUAAUCUCUCUCCAAUUGACGCAAAGGGGGAGAUUGUUGGGUAGCGUAGCUUUAUUUUGUAUUGCGUCUUUGGGCUCGGUUAAUAGUCCAAUAUUUUGUACUCCGGUUUGGGCCUGUCCAACCGUUGAGCUGUAGGGCUUAGUAUAUAAUAAUAUGCUUGCAUGCAUAUUAGGUUAAAGAUAGAGAAAAAUAGAAUACGAUUGAUAGAAGGCGAUAGCAUUACAAAUUUCUUUAUCGUUCUUGUAAACCCUUUUAAUCCUCUACAGUUGAUGUUCUUUAUCGAGCUCUUCUGAGGGUUGUUUUAUAAUCAUUCGACACGUUUGAUUCAUUCUUGAGGUGUUUGCUGUUUUCGUGUUCUUGCUGUUUACUCUUUAUUUUACCUGUUUAAGAUCUAAUCGAUCUUGAAGUUUACAUUCAAACUUAUCAAUAUUCAUCCAUUCUAAAUUUUCCUAAUGCUUAGGGCAUUAAGAAGGGAAAAGGGAUUAGAACUGGAUAUGACUAAAAUGAUUAAGCAAUUGUCGAGGACAGUUUGAGGUUUACCAAAGAUUGGUUACUCAUGGACAAUUGGAAGUAUACAGUUAGGACUAUAUUGACAUAUUUUGAAAAGUGGCAACUCUUGUUCAAAAGUGAUGGUCAAAAUGGGAAUAUGGAAUUGUUUCCAUAGGUGGAAGUUACUCUUUGAAUCUGUGUAAGAUUAGAGAACUUAAUGCAAGAAGGAUGUUCAAAGGAAUGUACUUUGAAUUUGAGACUUCAUGGAAUUGCUUUCCAUUGAAAUAUCUUGUAAUGUCUAUUGUCAAGUCUUUAUGACUUCUGUGCAUAGUCAUUACAAGGGGAUCAUUGCAUAUAAGUUUAGAAUCUAACAGAUUACAGUAAAUGGCAAGAGUUUGGUAUUCUUGCAUUUACAACAAGGAUUGGAAUUGUGAAAUGAGCAUCAUUGGAAUAUUGUCAAUUGAUCUAUUUCACAAAGAGAGGACCAUAUGUAAACAUAGUAUCCAUACUUGGAAUAUGGCAUAACUGUUGUUUGGAAAAACAUAGUGUGCAUGCUUGGAGCAUGACAUGACUAUUGCUUUAAUUCAAGCAUGAAGUUGAUAAAUCGAAACAUAAAUAAUGAGUAAUCCAUAUGGUUCUUAGAUAAAAGUUGUUUUAUUUACACCCAAGUGUUGGGGCCAUAUAGGAUUAAGUAUUAUUCUUGUGUUUCACUUUGCAUGUUUUGACUUCCAGAAUAAUUAUGUUAUGGUAUAUAUCAUAUUAUUCAAACCAUCCAUAGUCAGUCAUAUGUUGGAAGUAGAUAUGAAUCAAGACUGUCAUGAAUUUGGCUUGUAUGAUUUGUCUAAAGUGCUUUAGACAAUGCAAUGGUUGCUACAACAUUCAUGAGUACUCAUAAGGGCUGAGUAUUGGAUUCAACCCACGCUCACUUGCAUCACUUCAUGGAAUUUAUCUCGAGUGAUCGUGAGACGGUAAUAUCAUAUAAAUCUUCAAACCUAGAGAUAUGAGUUGUUGACUAUGAGUUGGUUAUUCAUUGAUUGUACGAAAACGCAUUGGUAACUCGAUGUUAUAAAACGUGCCUUUGUGAAUAAUUCAACAAGUAGUUAGUACAAGCAUAUCAGUCGAAGUUUAUCUGUUCCUUCUAGAAAUAGAAGCGAUAUCUGGGCCCCUCGAUGAUUUGGUUUUGACCUAUGUACCGGGCCCGGUCAGAACCUAAUUGAUGUGUUCAAUUUAGUUCUAUGUCGAAACAAAUCNNNNNNNNNNNNNNNNNNNNNNNNNNNNNNNNNNNNNNNNNNNNNNNNNNNNNNNNNNNNNNNNNNNNNNNNNNNNNNNNNNNNNNNNNNNNNNNNNNNNNNNNNNNNNNNNNNNNNNNNNNNNNNNNNNNNNNNNNNNNNNNNNNNNNNNNNNNNNNNNNNNNNNNNNNNNNNNNNNNNNNNNNNNNNNNNNNNNNNNNNNNNNNNNNNNNNNNNNNNNNNNNNNNNNNNNNNNNNNNNNNNNNNNNNNNNNNNNNNNNNNNNNNNNNNNNNNNNNNNNNNNNNNNNNNNNNNNNNNNNNNNNNNNNNNNNNNNNNNNNNNNNNNNNNNNNNNNNNNNNNNNNNNNNNNNNNNNNNNNNNNNNNNNNNNNNNNNNNNNNNNNNNNNNNNNNNNNNNNNNNNNNNNNNNNNNNNNNNNNNNNNNNNNNNNNNNNNNNNNNNNNNNNNNNNNNNNNNNNNNNNNCCCAUCCGACCCGCCCCAUCCGAAGUACGUAAGCGAUGACGUCUAGUACGCGCUGCGUACCCUCGUACGCCCAGCGUACCGAGGCGGUUCUGCACCCCUAUAAAACGGAUGCGAGGCUUUCCGAAAAACUUGCUCAUUUCUCUCCUUUCUCUCACGACCUUGCCUCGUUUUCCGUGCCCGUUCAAACCCGAAGCUCUUGUCUUUUUGCUCAAGUCCCGAGGGUCGAUUUUACUCCCGAGAUUCCCGAGAAUCCCUAGAAGUCUAAAGUACCGUAACUAUGUUGAUGGUUGCACGGUUGUGUUUUGUCUGUAAACAUCUUUUGUUCAAAUCUAAUGUCUUUAAGUUUCCUUAUGAUUACGACAUUAUCAUACUACUUGAUUCAACUCUAUCCUCACAAAAGCAGCUUCAUACGUACAUCUAUUCCUCCGAAAUCGUCUUUCUAGCAAAACCAUCAUUCCAUAACAACAAAGUACUCGGACAUAGAGCACCUCAUGUUUCUCAUCCUUUCCGAAGAAAAAACUUAGCAAACCGCCCGAAGUACCACUCGUGCAGUACGUCAAGUUCAAUCCAAAGACCCACAGUUUCAAGCUUAUUUAUAUAGGACUUGUAUAUCCGAGACUAUGAUUGGUGAACCUGGUAUGGGUUCCUCUAUGAACUUCAGGACGGAGACUGCCCAAGACUACGAGUGAUCAUGCUACCAUGCGAAUAAACUUAGAAACCCAACACAUGCUCUUCCCGCCGAUCGGGACAAGAGAGACAGAUGGAACAAAAGUACCUAUUCUUUUUUCUAAAUUCAUGAGUAAUCAUACUUACUUUUAGAUCUUCACGACAUCUAAUCGAUCACAAGGUUUUGACUUCAUAAUCAGUACGACUAGGUUGUAUUCUUAUGCAAGAGGAAAGGUCACUACCUAUACCUCAAGACAGCUUAAGACACAGGAAGUUAACUAUACAACACAUGAUCUUGAGUCAAGAGCAGUGAUAAUUGUUCUAAAGAUCUGGACACACUACUAGUAGGGUACAAGGUUUACUAAUUUCACAGUCCACAAAAACAUUCAACAUACAUUCGACCAAGAAGAGUUGUCAUGCCAGUGAAGUUAAACGAAAGAAGCAAAAAUCGUGUCUCAAUAGUGAAAGGUUCGCUGGAAUGCCAAGCGAGGGACCGAGUUCACUUAAAAACACGAGAAGCAAAUAAAACAUCUAUCCGUAGCAUGUUUACCAGUUCAGUUUAAACUCUAAUUUCGGGACGAAAUUCCCUCUAACGGGGGGAUGAUGUGACAACCCGAUAUUUCGAGGCAAUAUGAUGAAACGCAAGUCAAAUUUAGGUCAAAAUUUAACUUUCCUAAAAUCUUAUUUGGGUUAAAUAAAGUAGUAGGAAUCGUAUCAAGGUUUUCGUACAUAUAAAGAACGUCCAAAUCUGACUUCGUAUGAGGAANCGAAGUUAUGAUUUUUCCAAGUUCGGCUUAGCAACAGACAGCUAAAAACUCGAAUCGGAGAUCGAGCGACUUUUGGCCGUAAUAACCUAAACGAGAAUCGAAGGUCUCGUCAAGGGUAUUUCAGCGGUAAAAAGUCUGGCAAAAACCGACGUCAGAUAAAGAAGUUAUUAAUUUUUAAAGAAAUUCCUUAAUCGCGUCAUUUUAAUAAAUAUAUAAAAAAAUUAUUUCAUAAUUUGCCAACGGAAUCUAAACGAAAGUUAUAGAUCGCAGUCUCACCUACACGUGGAUAUAGAGAACGUCGAAAACGGAGUUCGUAUGAAGGAGAUAUGAAUUUUAGAAGUUUAUUUAAAAUAAAUAUAAAUUUAAAUAUAAAUUCUUGGUAAUAUCCGAAGGGGACUCUGCAGAUAGGACCGGAGUACGCCCUGCGUACCCUCGUACGCCCCGCGUACUCGAAUCAAGGGCCUCGGAUCAUCCACGUCACCCCUAUGCGAAGCUAUCUGACCCAUCCGACCCGCCGUCCCAUCUGACCCGCCCCAUCCGAAGUACGUAAGCGAUGAUGUCUAGUACGCGCUGCGUACCCUCGUACGCCCAGCGUACCGAGGCGGUUCUGCACCCCUAUAAAACGGAUGCGAGGCUUUCCGAAAAACUUGCUCAUUUCUCUCCUUUCUCUCACGACCUUGCCUCGUUUUCCGUGCNCGUGCCCGUUCAAACCCGAAGCCCUGGUCUUUUUGCUCAAGUCCCGAGGGUCGAUUUUACUCCCGAGAUUCCCGAGAAUCCCGAGAAAAAUCCGUUUCCCGAGACGAAACUCUGCCCGGUUUUCCAUCUCGCUAUCUUCAAACUUCCAAGUGAGUUCAUACCCCUAAUCAAUAUUUUAAAUGCUUUUUAAAUGCUUUAGGGGGGGGGAAUACAAGUAGAAACAAACAUGUUAUAUUCUUAUAUAUGUAUUUUAUAACUAUGUUUGUCAUUUAACGGAUUUCACAUGCUACAAAAUGUGAUGCAUGAAAGGGUUUUAAAUCUUAAAAACACAUUGUUAUCAAAUGUUUUACCUUUGAAGUGUAUAUUAAAAUGACAUCAAGUCAUUGUUAAUUAUUGUUCAAAACACAUAAGAUGUCUUACUAAACCAUUUUACAUUCUUGAACUAAUGCAUGUACACUGAUAUUCUUAAAUAAGUAUUGAUGUUAUAGUUUACAACUUUCAUUUAAUUUCUCACACCCUUGAGUAGUAAGAGUGUAUAAACCUACAUGAUCAUCCAGUUAUAUUACAGUAGAUUAUCAUAGGGAUAAUUUGAAGAUAUCAAACAUUACUUCUAUUACAAGGAAUCACACAAGAGUCAGUUCAUUCAUGAGUCUAUACUAGUACAUUACCUGAUACAUGAGUACUUACAGAUGUUUACCUGAUACAUGAAUAUGUUUACAUAUACUUACCUGUUACAUGGACACACAUACAUGAAUGCCAUACAGGAACACUUUUACAUAGGUGCAUUAUCCUGUAUUCACUUACCUGGAUACUUGUACUUAGAACUAAGAGGAUAAUUUAUUAGUACUUUCUAAGUAAAUUAUCUUUCCUAUCCCGGUUCAAUGGGAUAUCUAGGCGGGACUUACCAUUCCGAACCCCACUGAUUAGCACUAGUGGUCGAUGACCAUCUUCGGAGGUCUAAGGUUACUACUUAUAUUAGGAAGAUCGAUUUGGGACUAACCCUUCCGUCCACCUGCUGCUGCUACAGAGGACAAUUGGACAAUCUUCGGAUGUUCAUUAUGUUAUACAUUUCGCUUAAUGCGAUGUUGUGUUGGUCCUAGUACCCAGUGACAACACAUACAAUAUUACAUUUUUCUUGUAUACUUUAUUUUGUGAUGCAAUUCACAUAAACGAUGAGUUAGACUAAGCACUUUUAGUACUAGUCAAAACAAAGGAAAAACUAUCAUUUUACAAACAAAACAUUUGGGUCUUGGUAGAAGACUACACUUCAUACUUACAAAACAUUCGGGUCUUGGUAGAAGACUACACUUCAUACUUACAAAACAUUCGGGUCUUGGUAGAAGACUACACUUCUUACUUACAAAACAUUCGGGUCUUGGUAGAAGACUACACUUCAUACUUACAAAACAUUUGGGUCUUGGUAGAAGACUACACUUCAUACGUACAGAACAUUCGGGUCUUGGUAGAAGACUACAUUUCAUAUUUAAUAGAAAAUAAGGGUUUUUCUAGGGAUUUCAUACUUACCUCAACAUUUUCAUUUAAAGAUUUACAUGGUCUUCAUAACAGAUUCUCACAACAAGGCAACAACACUUAUAUACUUAUGAAUUCACCAGCUUAAAUGCUGAUAAACUCUUUAAAAAUAACUUGUAUUCUCAGGUUACAAAUACACAGGUGCCGAUACAAGGUUUAAAGAAGACGGAGCAGUCAAGACUCGUCUUUUAUUUUGAUAAGUUAUCAUCAUGUCUUGUACUAUGAAAGAAAACUCUUGUAACUAAAAUUAUACUAUUAAUGCAAUGGAUGAUGUUGUUUUUUGUUUACUACUUUACAUUUGUUGUGAUGCAUACAUGACGUCCUCCGCCCCAGAACGUUUCCGCCGUUCUCGGUUUUGGGGUGUGACAAUAAUUCAACAAGUAGUUAGUAUAAGCAUAUUAGUCGAAGUUUAUCUGUUCCUUCUAGAAAUAGAAGCGAUAUCUGGGCCCCUCGAUGAUUUGGUUUUGACCUAUGUACCGGACCCAUUCAGAACCUAAUUGAUGUGUUCAAUUUAGUUCUAGGUCGAAACAAAUCAGAGAUCGAGAAACAAAUGAUGGACAAUAAGUAAGACCAUGUUCCAUGUGUUUGUCUGGCUGAUAUCAUGAGAACAGAGGAUUAUAUGAUCACUUAUCUUAAAUGGCGUAUCAUCAUCAUCUCAGUUCCAAGAGACUUUGAAAGAGCUACGAUUGCUAGUCGGAUUUUGAAGUCAUAUUUGCAAAUAUAGUUAUUAGACUUAUCCAAGUGGGAGACUGUUGGAUAUAGUGUCUAAGUCCAUAACUUUAUUUGGUAUGUACUUGAUCCGACCCGGCAUGGUCCAUUUGGGUUGCAUGGCAUUGCAAUACUUGGAUAGACUAAAUGAGAGAAUAAGGCACUUAUGAUUAUUAAUAUAUUAUAAGUUCUAAUAUAUUAAUAAUAGUAUUAUUUAAUUAGUAUUUGAUCAAGUAUUAAUCUAGUAUUAAUUUGGUGAUCAAAGUGAGACUAAUUAAAUAUAUAGGGUUGAUUAUGACAAUCAUCAAUUCUUUUAUGGUGGAUUAAUGAUCCAUGGUUUAUGGGUUAUGGAUGUAACCAUUUGGAGCUCCAUGGAUAGUCCAUGGGAGUUACAAACCCAUGGGUCAUGAGAAAUGAAGAGUCAUGACAAUUAAGAGUAUUCAUGUGAAAACCCUAAUUGUGACACCACUAUAAAAGGGACCCUUUGGCUAGUGAAAUCGGAGCUAGUAAGGUUACUAGAGAGGGCAUAACCGAUUUUGAGUGCUAGAAGUAUUCUCUCAAGUUAUUCCAAGUUUUGUGGUGUUGUGUGAAGCAUUUGAGGCACAACAUUUGGGGUGCUAGGCUCACAAAGUCUUGAAGGAAUCCAAGCAACAACAAGGUAUGUAUUUCUACUAGUUUUUAUGUUUCAUACAUUCCCCAUGCCAUGCUAGUUAGGAAAUAACCUUGAAAAAGAAAUUUGCAUGUAUAUAGAGAAAACAUAGAUUCAAUGUUAUUAGGGUUGCAUGUACACUUAGGAAGUGUUAGAAUGCUCAAAAUCCAUCACUUACAACACAUAUUCGACCAGAAGGAGCUCAACUUGAGGCAACAAUGGUGGGUCGAGCUACUCAGUGAUUACGAAUGCGAAAUUCGUUAUCAUCCGGGUAAAGCCAACGUAGUAGAUGACGCCUGAGUCGGAAGGAAUAUUCUGGUCUUAGAGCCAAAUCAUUGACUAUGACUAUCCAUUCACACUUGUCCACACAAAUUAAGGCAGCUCAACUUGAUGCUUUGAAGCCUGAAAAUGUGACGGGUGAAUCCCUAAGAGGGAUGGAUAAGAACUUGGAGGUUAAGGGUGGCGGAGCUUAUUAUUUCAUGGACCGGAUCUGGACCCCGAAACUAGGUGGUUUCAGAGACUUAGUCAUGAACGAGGCGCACAAAACUCGUUAUUCCGAUAAGAUGUAUCUGUACCUGAAAAAGUUAUAUUGGUGGCCUAACAUGAAAGCAGAGAUUGCUACCUUCGUGAGUAAAUGCCUUACUUGCACAAAGGUCAAGGUCGAAUACCAGAAACCCUCCGCUCUUCUACAACAGCCUGGGAUACCGGAAUGGAAGUGGGAGCGGAUAACUAUGGAUUUCAUAACCAAGUUGCCUAAGACGACGGGUGGACUUGAUUCCAUAUGGGUCAUCGUCGAUAGACUGACCAAGUUUGCACACUUCCUGCCGAUCAAAGAAACAGACAAGAUGGAGAAACUUACAAGAAUUUACAUUAGAGAGAUUGUAAGACUACAUGAUGUUCCUUUAUCCAUUUUCUCGGACAGAGAUAGUAGAUUCACUUCGAGGUUCUGGCAGUCAUUACAAAGUUCUCUAGGAACUAGGCUCGACAUGAGUACAACCUACCAUCCACAGACCGACGGGCAAAGUGAGAGAACUAUCCAAACCUUGGAAGAUAUGUUGCGAGCCUGUGUGAUAGACUUCGGGAAAGCAUAGGAUACUCAUUUACCCCUUGUUGAAUUUUCCUACAACAACAGUUAUCACACGAGCAUAAAGGCCGCUCCAUUCGAGGUCCUCUAUGGCCGCAAGUGCAGAUCCCCUCUGUGUUGGGCUGAGGUGGGUGAUACCCAGUUAGCUAAGGAACGAAUUCCCGAAAGCACUCUCACAGGUCUGGAAAUCAUACGGGAAACGACAGAGAAGAUCGUUCAGAUCCGUGAACGAUUGAAAGCCUCCAGAGAUUGUCAGAAAAGCUACGCUGAUAAACGUAGAAAACCGUUGGAAUUCCAGGUGGCGACUGGGUUCUAUUGAAGGUCUCACCCUGGAAGGGCUUGACACGCUUCGGAAAGCGUGGAAAGCUAAAUCCAAGGUACAUUGGGCCUUUCGAGAUUCUCGCAAGAAUCGGCCGAGUAGCUUACAAACUUAACUCACUGCGCGAACUCAGUAACGUACAUUCUACCUUCCACGUAUCGAACUUGAAAAAGUGUCUGUCCAACGAGACUCUUGUUAUUCCAUUCAAUGAGAUCGAGAUCAACGAGAGCCUCAACUUCGUGGAGGAACCACUAGAGAUCAUGGACCGAGAGGUCAAGAAAACAAAACAAAGCCGUAUCCCGAUAGUGAAGGUUUGGUGGAAUGCCAAGCGAGGACCGGAAUUCACUUGGGAGCAUGAGGAUCAGAUGAAACUGAAAUAUCCUCGUCUUUUUAUUCUUUGUAANUUUUCUUAAAUUCUAAUUUCGGGACGAAAUUCCUUCUAAAGAGGGGAUGAUGUGACAACCCGAAAUUCUAUUCUGUACAAACAAUAUCACUUCAAUAGAAGUCAGAACGGUUGUAGUAAGUUUUCAGACUUUUUAGUAUAAGUUUGAGUAAUUCAGGAUUUACACUUAAAGAGAUAUCAGGAGAGAGGAUGCACUAGGGUUUUGUGCAACUCUGUUAUUUCAGAACUCUAUGAUAUUAGAGUUCAUUUCUUAAAUAAAAAUAUUUUCUGCCAAAAAUCCCAAGACUAUAUAUAUGAUUCUUAACCAAAUUAUUUCAUUAGCUACAUUUCCAACUAGAGAAAAUCCAUUUUCUCUCUCACGGAUCUUCGGGUUUACAUCCCAAAUCGUGAGCAUCUCUCUCUAGUUGUAUUAUAUAGGUUGUUAAGUGCUUAAUAACAUAGAAAUCAUAACAAAACCGCAAGAUUUGAGAGUUUACCACCAAAGAACACCUUGGGGAGUAAACUCUUUUAUAAGGGUAAAAUGAUGCCUAGUCCUUCCCCUGUGAUAUGUAACUACCUUAGGCUUGUAUGUUAGUGUUUAUAAGACUAGAAAUCACCCAUGAACACCAAGAGUAAGGUGUUCACGGACCAAGAAGUUCUUCGACCGUGAACUCCAAACUCAAGGGCCAAAGAGUGCCUUAAUCACUCCUAAAGCCUUGGAACAAUAGCCUUGAUUUACUCCUAGUUAUUAAGGGUCAUUAAAUCAUCAAAUGCCCAUCCCAAAGAGAUAUUACGGCCGUGAUCUCUAAUGGUUUUGGUCUUUGGGCCGUGAACAUCAAAACGGGGUACCAAAGUGUGCCUAAGGCCUUCAUUAGCCUUAGAUAAUUGUCUAAAACCUAUCCUAGAUGAGUAUGGGACUUGAAAACAUAAAAACACCCCCUUCCAUAUGAGUUUACGGCAGUAAAAUCAAAAGUGUAUGGCCGUGGGGCCAUAAACUCCUCAAAGGAGUGUAUUAGUGCCCUAAACCCAUCCAAGAAUUAAUCCACCAAGUAGGAAUGCUUCUAGGGAUCAUUUAAAACUUCAAAACACCAAAUGACAUUAAGCUUAGGAGUUCACGACCGUAAAUCCAAGGUUUUACGACCGUAAACUCCUUCUGUGGGGAUUAUUGGAGAGUAAACUCAUAUAUGGGGUCCUUUGGAACCCUAAAUUCACUAGUCGGGUCCUACAACAACUUAGAUGUAAUUCUUAGGGUUAAUAACAAUUAUUAUAAGUGUUUAACAUGUUCUAGGAGGUCUAAAAAAUUCCAAUUAGUAGUUUAAAUCUAACUGGGUACACAUAUGUGUGAUUAUAUGUUAAGUAGGAUCAUAGCGUGUGUUCAAGACUUCACUUGACACCUAGCAAUCCUACAUCUUCGGUACAUACGUACCACUCACUACAGGUGAGUUCAUACCCCUUAAUCAAUGGUUUAAAUGUUUUUAAAUGCUUUUAUGGUGGGGGGGGGGGGGAAUACAAGUCAAAUUCUUAUAGUUAUUACAUCAAUCACAUUUUAUUAAUAACUACAAAACCAGUGAUUUCCUUAUUGUUCAAAUUGUUUAUCAAACUGUUUCGCAUCAAACUGUUUUACAAGUUCUUAUACGUAUUAAAUACAUUUGCUUAAGCUACUGUUUUACUUAUUAUCAAUUGUAUGUCUAUGUAUGUAUAGUUAUAUAAGAAAUGUUUAAAGGACUUAGGAAGGCUAUCCACCCUAUUUCCUUUUUCGCGCUUGAGAUGUGGUCUGGUGGGAUAUCGGGUACCCGUCCGAAGGUCGUUUAAAUGUUAGUUAUAUAUCAUGUGUACAUAUAUAGUCAUAAAAGGUCCUUCCAGUUCAUUCGGUACCCUUGGGUAGCAAGGGUAUACUUCCAUGUUCAUACAUACCAGUACAUCGCUAGUAAGUUACGAUAGGGUAGCAUAGGAGGAUACUAUUAUUAUUACUAGAACAAUGAAACAUACAAUGAGUCAGUUCAUUCAUGAGUCAAUACUUGCUAAAUAGAGAGAGAACACUCAUUACAGCUAGUACACACAAUACAUUUAUAUACAUGCUAGAUAGAGAGAGAGAACACACAUUACAGCUAGCACACACAGAACAUUACAGUACAUUACCAUACUAUUACAUAGAUAUGUUUAGAUGAUUACGCUUACAUGAGUACGUUUACAUAGAUACGUUUACAUGAGUGCAUUUACAUAUACGAUAAUAGGACAGACAUCAUUAGGUGCUAUAGCAUAGAACGAGUUCAGGAUCGAACAAUACCGAUGAAUCACAACACAAUGUGAUAGUUAUAUCAGGUAUACAUGAUCAUUGUAAUGUGGAUGUCCACGGCGUGCAAAUAUGCAGGAGUCGUGUAAAGGUCCCAAAAUCCCUUUGACCAGGGGGGUGUCUAGCCUGGGAUCUAGCCAUCACAUUAUGCCUUAUCCCUCAAAUAAGGCAGUAGGAGUACAGAGGUAGUCACUUAUUACAAAUACUACAGUACUUAUAAGAAUUACCCUAGACUUAAGGUAAUUAGUACGGUUGUAGUACGACACUACACCAUAGUACUAUCUCAUUUUUCCCAUUAACAUUCACUUCGUGAAUAUUCACACGAUGCACGGUAAUGUAGAAUCUAUAUUUUUGGUUAAUGAUAGUCUGAAUUGGGGAAAACACACACUCUACCAAGAGACAUACACACAGACACUAGAUGCCUUGGUAGAAGGCUACAGUUAGUAGGAAACAUAGGGUUUUCAAGGAGAGUUCAAACAUUAUACAAAACAUUGUACAAAACAUCUGACAGAAACAUUUUACAAACAUUUUCAUACAAACUCAGACAUUAAUAUACUUAUGAUCUCACCAGCAUUAAGUUGAUACUCGCUUUCAAAAUAACUUGUAUUCUCAGGUCACCACUAGACAUGUACAGGUGCCAGGCUUUUGAGAAGAUGGAGUUCGUUCAAGACUCAUCUUUUAUUUUGAUAUGUAUAUUUAUGGUGUCUAUAACUUUAACAGAACAAACAUGUAUGAAAUUAUUUAUUAAUGCAAUGGAUGAUGUUGUUGCUUGUUUACUAGUAUUCAUUGUUUGUGAUACUGUACAUAACGUCCUCCGCCCCAGAAUGUUUCCGCCAUUCAUGGUUUUGUGGUGUGACAGCUUAUUACCUCAAGGAUGACCUCCCACUAAAUAAUAAUCCAACUAUCUACAAAGCCCCUUGCUCCAAGCUUCUUGAUGUUCAAUAUCUUUUCACUCACGAUUUAAGGUUUAUGGAUCUCAAAACGGGAGUAAAGAGGCUAGGGAAGGGAUGUAAUGUUCUUUAAAUAGGGCACAACCCCCGAGCAUUAGGGUUUUUCAAAACAAUUUUUCAUUUUUAAAAAGUAAUUUCAUUCUAGAGAAAACCAUAAAAUCCAAUGUAACAUGGUCAUUAUACAAACAUAUCAAAUCCCAAGAUCAAAACAUAUCCAAAUUCGUCUAUGUGUGUACGAGUCAAGCCGGCACCUUCCCGUGAUCAUCACUGGUACCUGAAACACAUUACACAUAACACUGUAAGCAUAAAAGCUUAGUGAGUUCCCCCAAAAUACCACUUACACACAUACGACUUUCCAGGCCAUACUCCACACGACCUUCCGGUCCAUGUGCCUCACGGGAGUUCUGUCCCAAACCCGGUAGACCUUCCGGUUGUACCCGUAUCGACCUUCCGGUCCAUAACUCCCUGACCUUCCGGUCCACAUCGUAAUGCCUUCCGGCCCAUAUCAAGCAUAACAUACAUAUCACAUACAUAACGCAUACAAUGCAUAUAUCUUAUAGCAUACAAGACCUUCCGGUCACACAUAGGUACCCUUCCAGGUACAGUAUAGUGAGAAGACUCACCUCGGAUAUCUCGAUAAUCUCGAACUCAAGAAUCCUGCUCUAACCUCCACCUAAUCAUAUAAGGCGGUUUCUCCGAUUAGUACAACUCUCAGAAUCAGCAUAACACUCUCCCUAAGAUCUCCCGGAGGGUAAAAGACCAUUUUACCUACAUCCCUGUGAUGCAGUCCUAGUAUAGAGUAGAAGUAAGUUCGUAGAAUGGUCUCAAGACGCUUGACGUUCAAACCAGGGUACCAUCGGUUGGUAAAUAACAUGAUUCAACCUUUGAAAGAGAAUUGGGAAUGAUCCCUGAGCUAAAUUACCCUAGUUCAAUAACUUGACUAGAGUGGGUUUCAGAUAGAUCCCAACUAAAGUAUGAUGAAAGUAUUUGAACAAAGAGUGACACCAAAGUUAGCCGACUUUCAAUAUCGAUAUUCAUGACGUAAUAAGUUUGCGAAAAUUGAUCUUGAAGAAGGUCUUACAUCAUAUCCGGAGUAGAAAGGUUUUGGCCGCAUGAAGGCCUAACUUAUAAUACAAGAUAGUUACAUAGAAAAAUGCUACAUAGGACAUAUACAGGAAAACGAUUCCUUUACACAAGGAAGGAAAAUAAAGCAUUUCUUACUGGCGGCGGUCAUCCCUCUGGUGAACUCUCAGUUCAGCCAAUUGACGUUCCAUUAUCAAGCAGGUGUCUUUCGUACACUCUCUGGCGUACUCGUAGCUCUAUGACUUUGGCUCGUGUUUCAGCUAAUGCUUGCAGCAGGGUCUCAUGGUCUCUCUCAGAUCUCUCACGAGUGUUUUCAAGACGAUUGGUGCGGAUGGUAUGCAUUCUUGCAUUGGUAUUUAACCUCUUUGAUACAAUGGAGAGUCGUCGUGCCCUGAAUUUCGUUUCGGGCAACAUUACGGAUCAGGAUUGGUAGAACUCUGUCUGCGGAGCUCCCCUUAAGUUGUAGCAGUUUUGGUCUCCUUCAAACGGCAUAGGUUGAUCUUGCUCUUUGAUCCAUGUUUCUAGGAAUUCUACCCAAGGAGGCGUCGGGCCAUGAAGAGUUGGACGAGGGUUAGGAUUUGAAUUAGGAGCUACCGGGGGUAGGUUCUCAUCCUCGAGUUUGGAGUUAUCAUCAUCCGAAAGGUCUUUAGCAUCAUGAUCAUUCAAAAGGGGUUGGAUGAUCAUUCUCUGGUUCUUCGUUGAACCAUCCAACAUUGCCUUCGUUCGGGAAGUACGGGUCGUCGUGGGGAUGGGGUCCAGCUAUGUUAUCUAUGUGAUAAUUGGGGUAUAAGAAUCUAACACAUAAGUAGUUUAUAGUAAUACACAAAAUACUCCUAUAGUAUUUUAGGUUUAUGUUCUAUUGUUCUCAUUGUGGUAUUGUGGGUAAGUUUUUAGACUUGUUGCAAAUCACAGCCACACUUAGGCACAUGCUAGUCAACCCUCGGAUAAUAUAGUUGAUCAGGCUAUAUCAUCCCAGUUUUGACUAUAUGUCUCUAAGUCUACUUGUGCUGCCCAACAAUCGUAAUACUUUUGUUCUAUCCUAGUGACACUGAUUUUAGUAUAAAUGUAGGCAUGUAUACUCAAUUAAAUAUUUUAUUAUUUUAAAAGUAUAUACUCUUUAUCAGAGUAUUUUAAUCCCUAUUGUAUUUAUAGUCUGUAUAUCUUUUAUGGGUUGAUAUACUCAAUUCACUAUAAACAAUGCUCUGAUACCAAUCUGUUACACCCCAAAACAAAGAAUGGCAGAAAUGUUCUAGGGCGGAGGACGUAAUGUAAUGUAUCACAACAAUGCAAAGUAGUAAACAAGCAACAACAUCAUCCAUUGCAUUAAUAGUAUAAUUUUAAUUACAUGUGAGUUUUUUCAUAGUAUAAUUCUACAAAAGGAAUAUUCAAAAUAAAAGACGAGUCUUGACCGCUCCGUCUUCACAAAACCUGGUAGUCGUACAUGUCUAUUUGUGACCUGAGAAUACAAAUUAUUUUGAAAGCGAGUAUCAACAAUAAUGCUGCUGAGUUCAUAAGUAUUUAUGUGACUUUGAUUUGUAAAACUGGAAAGAAAGACCUGUAAAUGGUUGAAGGAAUGUUUGUACCAAUGAACAUGUUUGUAAGUAAUUGUAAACGUUGGAAAACCCUAGAAAAUCCCAUAUUUUCUAUUAGUAUAAAAAGUAGCCUUCUACCAAGACCCGACUGUUUUAAAUGUUUGCUUUUAGAAAUCCAAUACUUGCCCAUAAGUGGGUGGUAGUUUAAAAGUCACAAAAUGAACUUCAAUAUUGUUUUUCAUGCCUAAAAUAGUAGAUUUGUGUAUGUAUAAAAUUGCUAAGGUAUUUGACAACCCUGUAAAUCAACGUGUUUUUAAUACUCCAUGUGAGUUUUAUAACCAUGCUAAUGGCCCAGACUGCCUGUAACAAUGUUCUUCAGGCGUUGGAAUGUUAUGAUGUUUAUCACGCCAGGCCUGCCGGUCUAACUGUAGCUAACAAUUUAGGUGCGGGAUUGUCAAUCCCGUAUAGAUGUAUACACAAGUAUUACGCUCUCCCUCCAAGAGAUUACAGUUUAUAAUACAGGACUUGAAAUGCAUACUCAAAAGUACGUGAAGCUGAAAUGUCUCACAAUUCUUAGUAUUAGAUAGAUUUACAUAUGAAAGUCCACUUUGUUUUUGUAUAUGAAAGUAUUUCCUUGAUAUGGUACUUGUUGUAUGUAAAAUUUCACGAAUAUAUAGUACACUAUCUUAUGUAAUCGUAUCUCUUGUAAUUGUAUGUCUUGAAAUUGUAUGCCUUGUAAUUGUAUGUAAUCGUAUCUCUUCAUAUAGUAUGUAAUGUAUUAGUACAGACUCAUGAAUUGUCACACCCCCAAACCUGAACGGCGGAAACGUUCGGGGGNNNNNNNNNNNNNNNNNNNNNNNNNNNNNNNNNNNNNNNNNNNNNNNNNNNNNNNNNNNNNNNNNNNNNNNNNNNNNNNNNNNNNNNNNNNNNNNNNNNNAUAGGGGUAUGAACUCACCGAAGAAAGUGCGUGAUUUGAAGAAAAGAGCUUUUUCUUGGGCGGCGCCUUGACCGGAAAGUGACGAGUUUUUCGAGAAACUCGGGGCUUCGGACCUUCGUCGGGCCUUAGAUAUGAAACCGGGAAGUCGGGAUAUUGUCGGCACGAAAAACGAGGUGAAAAUGUGAGAGAAGUGAAGAAAAUGAGCAAGGAUAGCUGGCACCCUCGCAUUCUAUUUAUAGGGUGCUAAAAGAGGGAUUAAGCUGGGCGUAAAUUCGUAGUACGCUGGGCGUAAUUUCGGAGUACGCUGGGCGUACUCAUUACGCUGGACGUAAUUUCGGAGUACGUUGGGCAUACACAAUGUUAGUGCUUACCGCAUCCUAGGGCGGAGCAUUGGAUGGGACCCGGAGCAACGUAGACGAACCGAGGCCUAGCACCUGAGUACACUGAGCAUACGAGGGUACGCUGGGCGUAAAUCGUCUUGGUGUGUGUGCCUCGAACUUGUAAAAUCCAUAACUUUCGCAUACGGGCUCCGUUUUUGACGUUCUUUAUAUCUACGCGAAGGUGAGAAAAUACUCUACAACAUUCAUUUAGACUCCAUCGGCUAAUUUUGAUUUAUUUUUAAUUAUAUUUUAAUUAAUAGGCCGGGACACGAUAACUUCGUUAAAAAUCCAUAACUUCUUUAUCCGACGUUCGUUUUCGUUUUUCUUUUUACCAUCGAACUACUAUUGUCGAGACCUUCAACUCUCGUUUAAGUUGUGUCGGCUAAAAAUCGCUCGAUCUUUAUUUCGAGUUUUUAGCUGUCUACCGCUAUUACGAAACUUAGAAAAUUUGUAACUUCUUCAUAUGAAGUCCCUUUUGGGCGUUCUUUUUAUGCAUGAUCACGGUUUAACGUAAUCUACGACUUUCAUUUGGAUAGCUAAGGCUAAAAAUUAUUGUAUCGAAACUUUGCGUUUUACGUCUAUCAGCUUUGCCGGUUUUUGCUGCGAAUCUUAGAUUGGUCAUAACUUCUUCGUUAUAACUCAGAUUUUAGUGUUCUUUAUAUGUACGAAAAUCUUGAUACGAUUCCUACCACUUUAUUUAACCCAAAUAAGAUUUUAGGAAGGUUAAAUUUUGACCUAAAUUUGAAUGGUGUUACAUUAUAUUGUCUUGAAAUGUCUGGUUGUCACACGGCACGUACUAGAUCUGUACGUUGAGCGUACUCGGAGGCUUCACAGUAUCGGGGUACGCGGCCCCUUACACCGCGCGUACUGGAAUUACGCCCAGCGUAACUCCCAGCUUUCUCCUCCUUUUCAUUCAGGUCUUAAACGGUUAAGACUUGCGUCCAAAAUUCAGAUCUGACUUCUCUAAUACGACUUAAUUCAUAAAGUUGGUGAUUUUAAGCCUUUUCAUGGCUGUGGAAGUCACCAACACCCAAAACACUCCACUUCCAACCUUAAAAGGUCCAUAUCUCAUGCAUGAACAACCAUUAACAACCAAGACUGGAUUUUUAUCACAUAACAUCACUAAAUGAGCUAGUAUGGGACAGAUCUCAGCUUCUAUGAGCUCAACUAUUCACAAAGCUAUUAACUUGGGGACCAAAAACCCUAAAACUUCUCUCUACAAAGUAUGAACAGAAAAGGUGUAAAGCUUGAAGUUUUUUACCUCAAAAUGAAGCUUCUUUCACUGCUAAUCUCGGAUCCAAAAGCUUAAGCUCCAACUCUUCCUCUUCCAAGGCUAUCACUUUGCUCCAAGUGGCCAAGAACACAAUACAAAGCCCUCCUAGACACUCCCUUGCUAUAUGAACGAAAUUUAGGGUUUUGAAAUGGUAAUGUUCGGGAAAAGGUGGCCAGCAAAAGGACUUAAGGUUGCUUAAAUAAGGAGGCUCAAUAUAUUAGGGUUUAUCUUUAGGGCCGGGUAUGCCCCGCGUACACAUUGGUAUGCCUCGCGUACCUGGCGACCCUUCCCGAUCAAGACGUGGACGAGUACGUUGAGCGUACACCCUAGUACACCCCACGUACUCGCCAAACAUGCAUUUCCUUAAAAAGGGCCAAAUGUGCUAAUUGCUCAAAGAUGAAGGUUCAUAAGGUAUACCUGAUUUUUGGGAUGUUACAAUUCUCCCCUACUAGAACCAGACUUUACCCUCGAAGUCUCAUGCUGCGAACAACUCCGGAUGUUGCUCCCAUAUCUCCGACUCUGGCUCCCAGGUCAGCUCAGACCCUUUCCAAUGUUGCCACUGGACCUGCACCAGGGGCACUUCCUUGUUCCUCAGAACCUUGAUCUUCUGAUCCAAGAUUGUGAUCGGCUUCUCAUCAUAAUUCAGACUCGCGUCCACCUGAAUAUCCUCUAAUGAUACCACUGCCAAGUCGUCGCCUACACACUUCCUCAGCUGCGACACGUGGAAGGUAUCAUGAAUCUAGUCCAACUCUGCAGGUAGCUCCAAACGAAUCACUCCUUUCCAAGCAAACACUUUCAGGAGUACAAGAUCCCCGACCUGCAACUCGAGCUCGCAUCGUCGCCUAUCCGCAUAACUCUUCUCGUGACUCUGAGCGGUCAACAACCUUUGUCUGACCCGCUGUAUCUUCUCUGUCGUCUGAAGCACUAUCUCCGUACUACCCAUCACAUGUUGCCCUACCUCACCCCAGUAAAUGGAAGUCUGACACCUCCUCCCAUACAACAGCUCAAAGGGUGGCAUACCAAUGCUCGAAUGAUGCCUGUUGUUAUAGGAAAACUCAGCCAGGGGUAAAUACGUGUCCCAAAUCCCUCUUAAGUCCAAUACACAUGUCCGAAGCAUGUCCGAGAGCAUCUAGAUUGUUUGCUCGCUCUGCUCGUCCGUCUGUGGGUGGUAUGUGGUACUAAAAUGCAGCCUCGUACCCAAUUCCUCAUGAAAUUUCUUCCAGAAUCUGGAAGUAAAACGCACAUCUCGGUCUGAAACAAUCCGUAUCAAUACUCCAUGCCAUGAUACCACCUCCCUCACGUACAACUAUGCCAUCCUCUCAGUAGAAGAACACUCACUGAUAGCAAGAAAGUGAGCGCUCUUUGUCAGCCUGUUCAUAAUCACCCAAAUUGCAUCGACACCCCUAGCAGUCCUCGACAAUUUGGUGAUAAAAUCCAUGGAAAUCUGUUCCCACUUCCACUCGGGGAUCUCCAAUGGCUGCAGCCUACCAUGCGGACGCUGGUGCUCGGCCUUAACCUUGCGACAGGUCAAGCACCUCUCCACGAACCAUGCGACAUCUCUCUUCAUACAGGGCCACCAACAUUCCCUUUUUAGGUCCAGAUACAUCUUAGUGGCCCCGGGAUUGAUCGAGAACAUCAAUCUAUGUACCUCCUCCAUCAAGAUGGUAUGCGUUCUGCCCACAAACGGUACCCAAAUCCGACCUUGAAAGGUCAUAAGUCCUCGACUAUCAGUAAUGAGCUCCGAUACCUGCCCGAUCACCUGCUCCCUUUUGCUGUUCUCUGGUCUCACGGCCUCCGUCUGGGCCCCUCGAAUGGUGUCCACCACUGAAGUCAUCAUUGUCAAUCUCAUGCAAACGUCUCGUAUCGGGGCACUCUCCGCACUACGGCUCAAGGCAUCGGCUACAACAUUAGCCUUCCCGGGUAGUACAGGAUCUCACAAUCAUAAUCCUUUACCACAUCCAACCACCUCCUUUGGCGCAUAUCUAGGUUGGGCUGAUCCAUCAAGUACUUCAAGCUCUUGUGGUCCGUGUAUAUGGCACACCGAACCUCAUACAGAUAGUGACGCCAGAUCUUGAGGGCGAACACCGCAGCCCCAACUCCAGGUCAUGGGUGGGAUACCUCGUCUCAUGAGGCUUCAGCUGCCUCGAUUGUGAUAUCCCCAAUUUUCACGGCCAGAAAAGACCGAUUUUGUUUAUGCUUUAUAAAAAUCAGAGUACUUCAUUUCAUAAAAAGGUUGCGGAAUUUGUUCCCAGAAAAACAUGGUAAAUACGUUAUCAAAACAUUUUCGAAGAAAUGUAUUUAUUUCAUUUUAAAACGUUAGGGAUGUCAUCAUUAAUACAUAAACAUAAGCAUAAACAGAACUUACAAUUAUUUACACUAGUGAUCUACAUCUCUUUAAAUCUUUCAGUGUAAUGUCACGUCAUAUCGUCACCUGUGAUAUAAAUAAACUGAGUGGGUCAGGUUGGGAAACCUGGUGAGUACAUAGGGUUUUCAACUCACAAUAAUAUAAUUAUUAUGUUCAAUCAUCAAACAAUUAACCCAAUUACCCAUCCCCAUUAUCUUCUUUACUCUUAAGGAUUUAACCUAAGAGUCAUCUAUCCUGCAUUCGUUUAUUCCGAAAUCCCUUACUUCCAGGGUUAUAGGACUGGCNGCACUAAAUCCAUAGGUGCCGACGUUCGUUCGUAAAGCACUAAAUCCAUAGCUGCUAUAUCCUACUCAUCGGGUACUAAAUCCAUAGCUACCAGUGUUCAAUAGGUACUAAGUCCAUAGCUACCAAUUCCUAACAGGUACUAAAUCCAUAGCUACCAGCGUCUAACUAAUAGGUACUAAGUCCAUAGCUACCAAUUCCUAACAGGUACUAAAUCCAUAGCUACCAACGUCUAACAGGUACUAACUCCAUAGCUACCGGUGUUUGUCCCAUAGGCACUAAGUCUAUAGUUGCCAAUGUAUACUCACAUCAUCUUCUAUCUCUCAUCAUUCAUCUACCCAUCUCAUACCCAACAUAUUCGUAUGUAUAAAAUAUGUAUACAGUUUAAAUCCUUAAAAACAUGUAUAAAACGUUCAUCUAGCAUAGACAGCAAGUAUUCAGAUAAUAUGAACACAUAGCAUGUAGUUUAUAUAAAAUACUUCAUAUCUAUGUGUAAGAUGAAAGGGACUAUGCACUCACCUGAGUAGGUGGUGACUCGGCGCUUGGACAACACUUCGUUACUCUUAACACACUUUUCCUUCGGCAAAACCUAGUAUCAUUGCCAUUAGGGUUUAGUCUAACAUUCACCGCGACUAAUUAGUAGUCUGGCUAUUAUUACUACUAUAUAAGCGUUAAACGAUACUUAUAUAACCCAUAAUAAUAGCCCAAGUACUUAUUAUAAGGUCCUAAUAACAUUACUAUAUUAAAACAUAAGCUAAACUAAAGAUAGGAUAUGUACAACUCACUUACAUCGGGUUUUUCUCGAAAACCGGGCUUCGCUGGAGCAGCGCUCCUGAGCCGAAAGGCUCUUUUCUCGGGACUCCGGGAGCCCCGGGGCUUCCUUCGGGUGCUAGGGGGUUUACUUAGGCUUUUAGGGGGGUUAGGUGGCUAGAGAGAGAGUCUAGAGAGAGAAAGAAUAGUUUAGGAAGGUGUGAAGAAUGAGGGAACCCGGAACCUCUAUUUAUAGGGGUGCUGACUAAUCUACUCGCCGAGUAGGAGGGCCUACUCGCCGAGUUGGUGCAUGUGGCAAACUUCUGGUGGUGCCACGUGUCCAAUUCUGGUGGUGCCACGUCACCCCCUAUCGCGUAUCAGCCUUCAAACUUAGAAAAAUCAUAAAUCUCGCAUACAAGCUCCAUUUUCGACGUUCUUUAUAUCCACACGUAGGUAAAAUCAAGAUCUACAACUUUCGUUUAGACUCCGUCGGCUAAUUCUCGACCGAUCUUAAAUUUAAUAGUAGGAGGCGUUUAGACUGUUAAAUGACCGUGAAGAAUUCGUAACUCAUUCAUACGAACUCCGUUUUCGUCCAUCUUUUUACCAUUGAGUUCCUAUUAAUGAGAUCUUCAACUCUCAUUUAGGUUGCGUAAGCCAAAAACCGCUUGAACUAAAAUUCGAGUUUCGGGUCGUGCACUGCUAAGCCGAAUCUUAGAAAAAUCAUAACUUCCCCAUACGAAGUCAGAUUUGGGCGUUCUUUUUAUCGAGCUCUUAGUUUAACAUAUUCUACAACUUUUGUUUAGAUUGCUAAGGCUAAAUCUUUCUCUAUCGUAAAUUCACUAUUUAUGCUUCCCGGUGUCGUGCCGGUUUUGCCGUAAAACUUCGACGGGCCAUAACUUCUUCGUUAUAACUCGGAUUUCGGCGUUCUUUAUAUGCACGGAAACCUUGAGACAUAUUAUACAACUUGGUUAAGAUUAUUUUUUCUAAAAAAAUCUUUUGUCGAAAAGUCGUUUUCGACCCUUAUUGCCUCUAAUUUGACUAGCCCGGAUUUGCGGGCGUUACAUCGAUGCAUAUGCUAUCACAUGCCCCCUCUGCAUAAGCACUGCUCCCAACCCGGAUAUCGAUGCACCACAGUACACCACAAAUCCUCCAUCCCUUCCGAGAGUGCGAGUACCGGAGCUUUGCACAAUCUCUGGCAAAGUGCCUCAAAUGAGGUCUACUGCUUUGGACCCUAGGAAAAAGCGACACCCUUUUGGGUCAACCUGGUGAGUGGCACGGCGAUCUUGGUGAAAUCCAUGAUAAAUCUCCGAUAAUAGCCGGCAAAUCCUAGAAAGCUCCAGAUCUCGGUGGGCGAUCUUCGCACCUCCCACCUCAUGACCGCCUCAAUCUUGGCCGGAUCGACCAAAAUGCCAUUCUGGUUGACGAGAUGCCCCAAGAACUGGAGCUCUCAUAACCAGAACUCACACUUGGAGAAUUUGGCAUAGAACCUCUCCGAUCUUAGAACUCCAAGGAUCUCCCUCAAAUGCUCCUCAUGCUGUUCUCUAGUUCUCGAAUACACCAAAAUAUCAUCAAUGAACAUGAUCACCGACCGAUCCAACAUCAGCCUGCACACCCUGUUCAUGAGAUCAAUGAAUGUUGCUGGUGCAUUGGUGAGCCCAAAAGGCAUCACCACGAGCUCGUAAUGCCCAUAACGAGUUCUGAAUGUUGUCUUCUGGAUAUCUUCAUCCCGAACCCUCCUCUGAUGAUAACCCGACCUUAAGUCGAUCUUGGAGAACCAAGAUGCCCCCUACAACUGAUCGAACAGAUCAUCGAUCCUCGGCAACGGAUAACGGUUAUUGACCGUCAACUUGUUCAACUAUCGGUAAUCAAUGUACAUCCAGUGUGAACCAUCCUUUUUCUUGACAAAAAGGAUUGGCGCUCCCCAAGGCGAGCUACUCGGUCGAAUAAACCCCUUCCCCAGCAGCUCCUGAAGUUGCAAGGAUAACUCCUGCAUCUCUGGCGGCGUGAGGCGAUAGGUGCUGCUCCCGGAACCAAAUCGAUACAGAACUCCACUUGCCUCUCGGGAGGCACACCCGACAAUUCUUCGAAAAAAACAUCCGGGAACUCGCACACUAUCGGAACCUCAUCAAACAAAAUUGGCCUCCAAGUGGCCACUCGCGCAUCCAUCACAUAUGCUACGAACCCGUUGCAGCCCUGCUGCAAACUCUGUCUCGCCCUGGCAGCCAAACAAAAUGCUGACCCACAUCGGGUUCCCUCGUCGUACACCGUAAGUACUCCCCUACUAGGAUCUUGUAUCGUUACGAACUGACGCUCAUAGUCUAUAACCGCUCCGAAUCAGCUCAACCAAUCCAUGCCCACUAUAACACAUACGUCUCCCAUCGCAAUCAGGACUAGAUCUAUCGGGAACUCCAUACCGAAGAUCUCAAGAAUAAAUCCUCGAAUCACAUUCAUAGCAUACACCACCCGCUCAUCAGCAAUAGAAACUCGCAGAGGUCGACUCAACGCCUCUCGUUGGAUACUAAUGUGCUGACUAAAUGCCAAGGAAAGAAAUGAUCGACUCACACCCAAGUCAAAUAACACCAAAGCAGGUACAGAACUCACAAGAAACGUACCUACGCAUAUCAUCAUAUAAGCACAAUAUCUCAACUCAAAAAAAUAAAUACAUAAUACAUACCAGCCAUAACAUCGGGCGCUGCGAGGACCUCCUCCGCCGUCAACUGGAAAGCUCUCCCACGAGCCUUCGGUGCCUCAGCCUUCACUUGCCGAACCUCGGUAACCUGAGCAGCAGGCGUAGAUCCCUGUAUUGAUCCCUGAUGCAACUGCGGACACUCAGCCUUCCGAUGGCCAGUCUGGUUGUAAUGAAAGCAAACCNNNNNNNNNNNNNNNNNNNNNNNNNNNNNNNNNNNNNNNNNNNNNNNNNNNNNNNNNNNNNNNNNNNNNNNNNNNNNNNNNNNNNNNNNNNNNNNNNNNNNNNNNNNNNNNNNNNNNNNNNNNNNNNNNNNNNGACUCGGCCUCCUCCCUGGCCCGAGUCUCCAACUCAAUCUCCCUCUUCCGGGCAUUUCCAUGGAGCUCAGCAAAUGUCCGGUACGUCGAGUUCGACACGAACUCCCGAAUGUCUCUCCUCAGAACGCCCAAAUACCGGCUCAUACGGGCCUACUCCGUGGACACCUGCUCAGGGCAGAACAUCGCCCUCUCAUGAAACUUCCUCGUAAUCACUGUAACCGAAUCAGUACCCUGCUUGAGGGUCAAGAACUCCUGAACCAACCGUUCCUUCUCCACCGGGGGAACAUACUCGUCUCUGAACAUGGUGGUGAACCUCUCCCAGGUCACCUCUGAAAUCUUUUCAACUGUAAAGUUUGCUGUCACAAACUUCCACUAGUCCUUCACUCCCAAGCGAAGCUGGUUCAACGCGAAUCGAACCCUCAGAUGCUCCGGAUAUGAACACAUAUAGAAGCAUCCCUCAAUAUCAGCAAUCCAUCUCAUCGCAGUGAUCGGAUCCUGCGUCCCAUCAAACUCANCAUCGAACUCUGGUGGCUUCGUGUUGCUGAACUCCCGAAACAACAACGAGUCACCUCCCUGAGGUCUGGCAGCAGCCACAUCAGCAGUAGCUGCAGCAACUGCAGCCUCAGUCACCGCGGCGUACCGCUCAUCAAAAGUCUCAAUCAGUGUGGUCUUGAUAGACCCAAACAUCUCCGGAAUCUUGGCCCUACUUGUUCCUUAGUACCCAAAGGAUUCUUAUUAGAGUGCGCACUGCUCCGGUGUCUUCGGUAGUACGGUCCCUUAUACUACCGUCUACACUGCAUCAAUAUUCACCCUAAGUCCUCCUCUUUGGAUCCCAAAUCACAAGUACUCUAUAUCUCACUGGCAUAGGCUACCCUUCGGUAGACCUCUUAUUAGCCCCUCACUGCUACCUACUCGCUCUCAAGCAUCACAUAGCAGCACAGUCCUUCCUAGGCUAAGGCAUCACAAAAUCAGGCCACUCUAGUCCUAAUAUGAAUACCUAACCAACUCUAGCAUGCUUAACAUAACAUAUCAUGUCUAAUAACACAUAACGUAAGGGCAUUUUGGGGAUUCACCGUUCGCGUGCUGGCUGACCGUACACACAGCUCUGCUCUGGUUGUCUCAAAAUCUCUUGCUUUUUAGAAAAAUUAGUUUUAUCGUUCGAAUAUUUUCUCAAAUCCUCAGUUUGAGUUCAGAUACGCCCGAAGGUGCAUCCGAGUCCCUCAAACCAAGGCUCUGAUACCAAUUUGUAACGCCGUAAUUUUCAAAACAAAUUUUGUUUUUUAAAAAUUAAUUUCAUUCAAGACAAAACCAUAAAAUCCAAUGUAACAUGGUCAUUAUACAAACAUAUCAAAUCCCAAGAUCAAAACAUAUCCACAUCCGUCUGUGUGUGUACAAGUCAAGCCGACGCCUUCCCGCGAUCAUUACUGGUACCUGAAACACAUUACACAUAACACUGUAAGCAUAAAAGCUUAGUGAGUUCCCCCAAAAUACCACUUACACACAUACUCCUUUCCAGGCCAUACUCCACACGACCUUCCGGUCCAUGUGUCUCAGGGGACUUCCAUCCCAAACCCGGUAGACCUUCUGGUCCUACUCGUAUCGACCUUCCGGUCCAUAACUCCCUGACCUUCCGGUCCACAUCGUAAUGCCUUCCGGCCCACAUCAAGCAUAGCAUACACAUCACAUACAUAAUGCAUACAAUACAUGCAACUCAUAGCAUACAAUGCAUAUAUCUCAUAGCAUACAAGACCUUCCGGUCACACAUAGGUACCCUUCCAGGUACAUUAUAGUGAGAUGACUCACCUCGGAUAUCUUGGUAAUCUCAAACUCAGGAAUCCUGCUCUAACCUCCUCUUGAUCAUAUAAGGUGGUUUCUACGAUCAGUACUGUGACAACCCGAUAUUUCGAGUCAAUAUGAUGGAACGCAAGUCAAAUUUAGGUCAAAAUUUAACUUUCUUAAAAUCUUAUUUGGGUUAAAUAAAGUAGUAGGAAUCGUAUCAAGGUUUUCAUACAUAUAAAGAACCCAAAAAUCCGAGUUAUAACGAAGAAGUUAUGACCAACCGAAGAUUCUCGGCAAAAACCAGCAAUACUGAUAGAUGUAAAAUGCGAAGUUUCAAUACAAUAGUUUUUAGCCUUAGGUAUCUAAAUAAAAGUUUUAGAUAUCAUUAAACCGUAAACGUACAUAAUAAGAACAUCCAAAUUUGACUUCGUAUGAGGAAGUUGUGAUUUAUCUAAGUUACAGAUAUAACAGUAGACAGCUAAAAACUCGAACUAGAGAUCGAAAGACUUUUAGCCGACACAAUCUAAAUGCGAAUCGAAGGGCUCAACAAUACUAGCACAAUGGUAAAAAGUCUGAUGAGAACGGACGUCGGAUGAAGAAGUUAUGGAACUUUAACGGACUUUUCCUGUCCCGACCUAUUAAAAUAUUAUAUUAAAAUUUAAGUCAAGAUUUGCCGAUGGAGUCUAAACGAAAGUUGUAGAUCGUAGUGUCACCUACGCGUGGAUAUAAAGAACGUCGAAAACGGAGUUCAUAUGAGCAAGAUAUGAAUUUUUGAAAUUUACUAAUUAAUUAAAAUAUAAAUUUAACUAAAACCCAGUAUUAUCCGAAGAAGGUGUCAUCGGUCCGAUCCCUCGUACGCCCAACGUACCCUCGUACGCCCAUCGUACUCGGAUGCUAGGCUCCGGUUCGUCCACGUCGCUCUGAUGCUUUGACCGAGGAUGCGGUCAUCCAUGACAUCUCGUUCGCCUUGCGUACAAGCGUACGCCUCAUGUACGCGAGGCUUUCAGCCCCUAUAUAAAGGGUGCAAGGGUGCCGGCCAUAUUUGCUAAUUUCCUUCCCUUCUCGCGCCGAAGCUCUGCGUUUCAACCCUCGGAGCCAUCCCAAAGCCCCAGUUUUCAUAUCCAUGUUUGAAAGGAAGUUUUACGCUCCCGAGAUUCCCGAGAAUCUCGAGAGAUCCGCUUUCUCGAGUAGAAGUUCUGCUCGGUUUUCGUCUCGCUUUCUUCAAUCAAUCAACUGAGUUCAUACCCCUACAAUCCGCACUUUUAAAUGUUUUAUAAAUGCUUUUAUAUGCUUUUAAGGGGGGGAAUACAAGUAAAACACACGAUUAUUAUCGAGUGUCAUAUAAAGUUUCAUUAUACACUUUUUAUCAACGGAAUCAUAUGUGAUUUAUAACUGGUAUGGGGAAACUUUCGUAUGCAAAACAUAUCACGAUAACAUCUUAUCUUUUGAAACGAAAAAUGUUGUUAUAUAUGUAUUAGUCAAGCACUCUGUUUAUACUGUAUGUAUAUGUGUUCAUCUUAGGCACUACAAAAAUCAUACUUUUCAUAACAAGUGAGCAUUUCACUAGGGAUUACUAUACAAACGAGACACACUUUUAGAAAACUAUAAUAGGUAUAGUUUUACGAGAACAUCACGAACUUUUACAUACUAGAAAUACUAUUUCAAGGAGAUACAUUCAUAUACAAGAACAAACGAACAUUUUCAUAGGUACUUCAAAUAGUUUUCACAAAUGUUUUUACAUGUUGAAACACUUUUUAGAAACUUUCUUACAAACUGUAGGUUUCCUUUUGAAUCUAUAUAGUUGUGCUCUCAAACAAAGGUUUUCUCACACUUAAAUUGUUUUGUCCAACAGUCUUUCGAACCGAUUUAUAAACUGACAUCACGCCAUAAAUUCUUAUUUAUUAAACCAUUCAAAGGUUUUACAAAACUUCUUUUAUGCUUUUAUAUUAUAAAUUGCAUGCCUCUAUAUGUAUAUUUAUAUAAGAAAUCUUUAAAAGACUUAGGAAGGCUAUCCACCCUGUUUCCUUUUCCUCGAUUUGGAUGUGGUCUGGUGGGAUAUCGGGUACUCGUCCGAAGGUCGUUUAAGUAUUAGUUAUAUAUAUCAUGUGUACAUGUAUAGUCAUAAAUGUUCCAUCAGUUAUUUCAGUUCCGACACUCUUGAGUAGUAAGGGUGUACAAACUUACUUGGAUACUCAUCAAUUACAUACUAGUAAACUAUUAUAGGAAUAGUUUAGGGUAUACAAGACGUUAUCCCUAUUAAAAGAAUUACACUAGAGUCAGUUCAUUCAUGAGUCUAGACUACAUGCUAUAUGAAGGGAUACUCUUACAGAGAUUCCUCUUACAUGGAUAUAUUUUUAGGGAUACUCUUACAGAGCUUCCGCUUACAUGAAUACGUUUACAGAGAUUCCACUUACAUGAAUACGCUUACAUAGAUACACUUACAUGAAUACGUUUACAGAGAUUCCACUUACAUGAAUACGCUUACAUAGAUACACUUACAUGAAUACGUUUACAUAGAUUCCACUUACAUGAAUGCGCUUACAUAGAUACACUUACAUGAAUACGUUUACAGAGAUUCCACUUACAUGAAUACACUUAAAUAGAUACACUUACAUGAAUACGUUUACAUAGAUACGUUUACCUGAAUACUUUUACAUAGAUACGCUUAGAUGAGUACAUUUACGUAUAUAAUAUAUGAUGAGUUACUAUUGCAUAUUAUAUGGGUAGAUACUGUUAUAUAGAUCUCCUUCUUAUCUUUACCUUGUGAUACAAUCACAUCAUCGACGAGAUAGAUUGGACUUUAUAUCUUAGUACCAAAGGAUACUUUGUGGGACUAACCGUUCCUAGAAACACUGUUAGCUACAGAGGUAAAUGAACAUCUAAGGAUGUUUUCGGUUGAUACCAUUAUAGGUAUACUUAAGGGACUAACUUUUCCUAAACCCGGCUGUUAGCAACAGAGGUAAAUGCACAUCUACGGAUGUCUACGGUUGAACUAUUUAUGGCGAGUUUCCACGUCGUGUGUAUCUUAGUACCCAAGGAUACAACAUAAGUUAUUAUAUUAUUAUUAUUUUUAGUUUUAUAAUAAUAGUUAAACAAGGAAAAACAAUCACAUUUUCAAGUAAUGCGUAUUUUCAAAACAACCAGGUCUUGGUUAAAGACUACUUCUAAAGCAUUUUGGUCUUGGUAGAAGACUACUUUUUAUACUAGUAGGAAAUAUGGGAUUUUCUAGGGUUUUCAUACUUAUACUAAACGUUUCAUCAAACAUUCACCAGUCUUUCAUAACAACUUCUCAAAGCAAUAACAUUGAAAUACUUAUGAGCUCACCAGCUUAAAUGCUGAUCUACUCUUUCAAAAUAACUUGUAUUCUCAGGUCACCAGUAGACAGGUACGAUGACCAGGUUUUGCGAAGACGGAGCAGUCAAGACUCGUCUUUUAUUUUGAUUACUUGUUGUAAUGUCUUAACUCUAUGAAAGAACUCACAUGUAUUAAACUAUUACUAUUAAUGCAAGGGAUGAUGUUGUUGCUUGUUUACUACUUUACAUUGUUGCGAUACAUACAUGACGUCCUCCGCCCCAGAACGUUUACGCCGUUCUCGGUUUUGGGGUGUGACAGAUUGGUAUCAGAGCAUUGUUUAUAGUGAAUAUAGUAUAUCAACCCAUAAAAGAUAUACAAACUAUAAAUACAUUGGGAUUAAAAUACUCUGACUUAGAGUUUAUACUUCUAAAUAAUAAAAUAUUUAAGUAUGUAUACGUGCCUACAUUCAUACUAAAAUCGGUGACACAAUGACAAGAACAAAAGUAUUACGAUGGUUGAAUAUCACAAGUAAGAUUGGGGAUGUAUAGUCAGUCUUGGGAGUGGCAUAGCCUGAUCAACUAUGCUGGUCUGAGGAGUGAUUAGCAUAUGCCCAAGAAUGGUUGUGAUGUAGCAACAAUUCUAUAAACUUACCAACAUUACCACAAUGAGAACAUUAUGACAGAACCUAAGUCUAAAAUACCAUAGGGGUGUUUUGUGUUACCAUAAUUACUUACUUGAGAACUAAAAAGGAUCUUCAGUACUAAGUUGAUAGUUGCUAAGUGGAUACGCUAAGGCUAUAUGUAACUAGGAUGUUAUAGACUUAGAAUCGGUGAAGUUUUGUUUUACCCUUAUUCCUUGUGAAUUUGGAGUUAAGGUCACUUAUUUGAAAGCCUAUCCUAUGUUGAUUACAUAUGACUGGUAUGCACUUUACAAAUUGCGAUGUAACUAAUGAAGAUUCUCUAAUAAUUAUCUUGAUAGUUUGUCUAAUAAUUAUUUCCUUACCCUAAUUCUCACAUAGAUAACAUAAUUGGACUCCAUUCCCACGGCAACCCAUACCUUCCGAACAAAGACAAUGUUAGAUGGUUUGAAAAAGAACCGAAGGGUGAUCAUCCAAUCCCUUGAAUGAUCACCAUGCUGAAAACCUUUCGGAUGUUGAUAACUCCGAACCCGAGGUUGAGAACCUACCCCAGACAGCUCCCAUUCCAAUUCCUAACCCUCGUCCGGCUUUUUCAAAGCCUGACGCUCUUGGGUAGAAUGCGUGGAAACAGGGAGCGAAGAGGAAGAUCAACCCAUGCCAUUUAAUGGUGACCGAAACUUUUAUGACCUGAGCAAAGGGAGCUCAACAGACAGAUUCUACCAAUCCUAAUCCGUAGAGUUGCCCGAAACGAAAUUCAGGACAAGACGGCUCUCCAACGUAUCGAAGAGGUUAAUACCGAUGCGAGAAUGCAUACCCUCUGUACCAUUCGUCUAGAAGGUACAUGUAAGAGAUCUGAGAGGAACCAUGAGACCCUGCAGCAAGCACUGACUAAAUCACGGGCCGAAGUUAUAGAACUCCGCGUACGCCAGAGGGUGUACGAAAGAUACCUGAUUGAUAUGGAACGUAACCUAGCCAAACUAAAGGUUCACCAUUGGGGUGACCGUCACCAGUAGGAGAUACUUCACUUUACAUCCUUGUUUUAAAAAGAACCGUGUUCUUAUCUAAGUUUUGAGUAGCACUGUUUCCCCGUGACCACCUUGUACUAUAAGUACUUUUAUUUGGGACUUUAUGCGGUCAAAGACUUUUCUACUACGGAUAUUAUGUAAGACCUUUUAUAAGGUCAUUUUCCCGAAUUUUUACGUCAUGAAUAUCAAAGAUGUUGACAGUCGGCUAACUUUUGUGUCAUUCUUUAUUCAAGUACUCUUAUCAUACUUUCAUUGGAGUCUAUCUGAAGAACGCUUUAGUCAAGUCAGUGGACUAUAGUAAUUUAGCUCCGGAAACUUUUCCAUGUCUCUUUCAGUGGUUAAAUCAUGUUAUUCACCAACCAACGAUACCUCGGCUUGAACGACAAGCGUCUUGAGACCUUUCUACGAACACACUUCCACUCAUUACUAGGACUGCAUCAUAGGGAUGUAGGUCAACCCUUCAUAAACACACUUCUACUCAGAACUAGGACUGCAUCAUAGGGAUGUGGGUCAAACCAUCAUGAACAUACUUAUAAUCUGUACUAGGACUACAUCAUAGGGAUGUAGGUCAAACCUUCAAGAACAUGCUUCCACUCUUUACUUAAGCGAUCGAAGUACAUCUAGGUUCAACUAUACUUGCUCACAAAUUCAUUUUUCUUUCCAUAUAACAGAAUCAUGUCACCAAAGAAAAACGAUCAACCCAUCAACCAAACACCAACCCUUCAGAUUGAUGCAACUACCUUUCAAGCUGCAGUCUCGGCUGCCGUGUCAGCUGUUCUGACCCACCUUAACGCUAACAACGUGAAUGUUAGCGGGAUUGUUAACAAAAAUUCCAAUCCAAGUAACAAUCAAAUACCUCAACAAGCAACAAACUACCAUGACACCCCGAAUCCCAAGCCGAAGAAUAACAAACGAAAGUUCUGGGCUAAGGCUAAAGGCAAAUCACCCCAAGGGGCGAGCAAAAGACAACAACCAGUGGCAACCUUCGCAGCCACGACAUUUGUACCUCCUACUACCAUCCCUUCUGGUAUCCAAAUGGUCCCUACACCAGCUAGGCAGUAUGUCGGAAACCUACCGAAAUGCAAUAAGUGCAGCUUCCAUCAUCUGGGUAGUUAUCGUACGUUACAUUGCUUUAAGUGCAACAAGAACGGACAUACUACCAAUUUCUGCCGGACUCGGACCCAACACAUUACUUCAAACACCAAUGUCGAAUUCUCUCGAAUAUGCCAUCUAUGUGGCAUAAUGGGACACUUCAAGAGGGACUGUCCAAAAGAGAAGGACGACGGCGAAUCCGGAGGAGCUUGACCUCAGAAUGGAAAGAAGCAACGAAGGACCCUACUAUAUUAUAGGUUCACUUCCAAUCGUCAGUAUUAUGUAUGUCUUUUUAAAACAUGUUUAAAACUAGUGCAACUAUAGUCUUAUCUUUUGCGGGAUCCCGUCGGUAUAGGGAUGCUCGUACUAUGUAUACUUACCUUUUGUAGUAUACCUUAUUCGCAGCAAUAGUCUUAUAGUAGUCUAAAAGUACUUAUCCUUUUUCCUUAAUUCAUGAGUAACCAUACUUUAUUUUAGAUCUUCACGACAUCAAAUCAACCACAAGGUUCUGACUUCAUAAUCAGUAUGAAUUAGUUUUGUUCUUAUACAAGAGGAAAGGUCACUGCCUAUACCUCAAGACAGCUUAAGACGCUGAAAGUUAACUAUACAACACAUGAUCUUGUGUCAGGGGCAGUGGUAAUUGCUUUGAAGAUCUAGAGACACUACUUGUAGGGUACAAGAUGUACUAUUAUCACAGUCCACAAAAACAUUCAACAUACAUUCGACCAAGAAGAGUUACCAUGCCAGUAAAGUCAAACGAAAGAAGCAAAGUCGUGUACCGAUAGUGAAGGGUUCGCUGGAAUGCCAAGCGAGGAACCGAUUUCACUUAAGAACACGAGAAGAAAAUAAAACUUCUAUCCGUAGCAUGUUUAUAAAUUCUGUUUAAACUCUAAUUUCGGGACGAAAUUCCCUCUAACGGGGGGAUGAUGUGACAACCCAAUAUUUCGAGUCAAUAUGAUGGAACACAAGUCAAAUUUAGGUCAAAAUUUAACUUUCCUAAAAUCUUAUUUGGGUUAAAUAAAGUAGUAGGAAUCGUAUCAAGGUUUUCAUACAUAUAAAGAACCCAAAAAUCCGAGUUAUAACGAAGAAGUUAUGACCAACCGAAGAUUCUCGGCAAAAACCGGCAAUACUGAUAGACGUAAAAUACGAAGUUUCAAUACAAUAGUUUUUAGCCUUAGGUAUCUAAAUAAAAGUUUUAGAUAUCAUUAAACCGUAAACUUACAUAAUAAGAACAUCCAAAUCUUACUUCGUAUGAGGAAGUUGUGAUUUAUCUAAGUUACAGAUAUAACAGUAGACAGCUAAAAACUCGAAAUAGAGAUCGAGAGACUUUUAACCGACACAAUCUAAAUGAGAAUUGAAGGGCUCAACAAUACUAGAACAACGGUAAAAAGUAUGACGAGAACGGACGUCGGAUGAAGAAGUUAUGGAACUUUAACGGACUUUUCCUGUCCCGACCUAUUAAAAUAUUAUAUUAAAAUUUAAGUCAAUAUUUGCCAACGGAGUCUAAACGAAAGUUGUAGAUCGUAGUCUCACCUACGCCUGGAUAUAAAGAACGUCGAAAACGGAGUUCAUAUGAGGAAGAUAUGAAUUUUUGAAAUUUACUAAUUAAUUAAAAUAUAAAUUUAAUUAAAACCCAGUAUUAUCCGAAGAAGGAGUCAUCGGUCCGAUCCCUCGUACGCCCAACGUACCCUCGUACGCCCAUCGUACUCGGAUGCUAGGCUCUGGUUCGUCCAUGUCUCUCCGAUGCUUCGACCGAGGAUGCGGUCAUCCAUGACGUCUCGUACGCCCUGCGUACAAGCGUAUGCCCCACGUACGCGAGGCUUUCAGCCCCUAUAUAAAGGGUGCGAGGGUGCCGACGAUAUUUGGUAAUUCCCUUCCCUUCUCGUGCUGAAGCUCUGCGUUUCAACCCUCGGAGCCAUCCCAAAGCCCCGGUUUUCAUAUCCAUGUUUGAAAGGAAGUUUUACCCUCCUGAGAUUCCCGAGAAUCUCGAGAGAUCCGCUUUCUCGAGUAGAAGUUCUGCUCGGUUUUCGUCACGCUUUCUUCAAUCAAUCAAGUGAGUUCAUACCCCUACAAUCCGCACUUUUAAAUGUUUUAUAAAUGCUUUUAUAUGCUUUUAAGGGGGGAAUACAAGUAAAACACAUGAUUAUUAUCGAGUGUUAUAUAAAGUUUCAAUAUUCACUUUUUAUCAAUGGAAUCAUAUGUGAUUUAUAACUAGUAUGGGGAAACUUUCGUAUGCAAAACAUAUCACGAUAACAUCAUAUCUGUUGAAACGAAAAAUGUUGUUAUAUAUGUAUUAGUCAAGCACUAUGUUUAUACUGUAUGUAUAUGUGUUCAUCUUAGGCACUACAAAAAUCAUACUUUUCAUAACAAGUGAGCAUUUCAUUAGGAAUUACUAUACAAACGAGACACACUUUUAGAAAACUAUAAUAGGUAUAGUUUUACGAGAACAUCACGAACUUUUACAUACUAGAAAUACUAUUUCAAGGAGAUACAUUCAUAUACAAGAACAAACGAACAUUUUCAUAGGUACUUCAAAUAGUUUUCACAAACGUUUUUACAUGUUGAAACACUUUUAGAAACUGUCUUACAAACUGUAGGUUUCCUUUUUGAAUCUGUUAUAGUUGUGCUUCAAACAAAGGUUUUCUCACACUUAAACUGUCUUGUCAAACGGUUUUCGAAUCGAUUUAUAAACUGACAUCAAGUCAUAAAUUCUUAUUUAUUAAACUAUUCAAAGGUUUUACAAAACUUCUUUUAUGCUUUUAUAUUAUAAAUUGCAUGCCUCUAUAUGUAUAGUUAUAUAAGAAAUGUUUAAAAGACUUAGGAAGGCUAUCCACCCUAUUUCCUUUUCCUCGAUUUGGAUGUGGUCUGGUGGGAUAUCGGGUACUCGUCCGAAGGUCGUUUAAAUAUUAGUUAUAUAUAUCAUGUGUACAUGUAUAGUCAUAAAUGUUCCAUCAGUUAUUUCAGUUCCGACACUCUUGAGUAGCAAGGGUGUACAAACUUACUUGGAUACUCAUCAAUUACAUACUAGUAAACUAUUAUAGGAAUAGUUUAGGGUAUACAAGACGUUAUCCCUAUUAAAAGAAUUACACCAGAGUCAGUUCAUUCAUGAGUCUAGACUACAUGCUAUAUGAAGGGAUACUCUUACAGAGAUUCCUAUUACAUGGAUAUAUUUUUAGGGAUACUCUUACAUAGCUUCCGCUUACAUGAAUACGUUUACAGAGAUUCCACUCACAUGAAUACACUUACAUAGAUACACUUACAUGAAUACUUUUACAGAGAUUCCACUUACAUGAAUACGCUUACAUAGAUACACUUACAUGAAUACGUUUACAGAGAUUCGACUUACAUGAAUACGCUUACAUAGAUACACUUACAUGAAUACAUUUACAUAGAUACGUUUACCUGAAUACGUUUACAUAGAUACGCUUAGAUGAGUACAUUUACAUAGAUAAUAUAUGAUGAGUUACUAUUGCAUAUUAUAUGGGUAGAUACUGUUAUAUAGUUCUCCUUCUUAUCUUUACCUUGUGAUACAAUCACAUCAUCGACGAGAUAGAUUGUACUUUAUAUCCUAGUACCAAAGGAUACUUUGUGGGACUAACCGUUCCUAGAACCACUGUUAGCUACAGAGGUAAAUGAACAUCUACGGAUGUUUUCGGUUGAUACCAUUACAGGUAUACUUAACGGACUAACUAUUCCUAAACCCGACUGUUAGCAACAGAGGUAAAUGCAUAUCUACGGAUGUCUACGGUUGAACUAUUUACGGCGAGUUUCCACGUCGUGUGUAUCUUAGUACCCAAGGAUACAACAUAAGUUAUUAUAUUAUUAUUAUUUUUAGUUUUAUAAUAAUAGUUAAAUAGGGAAAAACAAUCACAUUUUCAAGUAAUGCGUAUUUUCAAAACAGCCAGGUCUUGGUUAAAGACUACUUCCAAAACAUUUGGGUCUCGGUAGAAGACUACUUUUUAUACUAGUAGGAAAUAUGGGAUUUUCUAGGGUUUUCUUACUUAUACUAAACGUUUCAUCAAACAUUCACCAGUCUUUCAUAACAACUUCUCAAAGCAAUAACAUUGAAAUACUUAUGAGCUCACCAGCUUAAAUGCUUAUCUACUCUUUCAAAAUAACUUGUAUUCUCAGGUCACCAGUAGACAGGUACGAUGACCAGGUUUUGCGAAGACGGAGCAGUCAAGACUCGUCUUUUAUUUUGAUUACUUGUUGUAAUGUCUUAACUCUAUGAAAGAACUCACAUGUAUUAAACUAUUACUAUUAAUGCAAGGGAUGAUGUUGUUGCUUGUUUACUACUUUACAUUGUUGCGAUACAUACAUGACGUCCACCGCCCCAGAACGUUUCCGCCGUUCUCGGUUUUGAGGUGUGACAAGUACAACUUUCAGAAUCAGCAUAACACUCUCCCUAAGAUCUCCCCGGAGGGUAAAAGACCAUUUUACCCCUCCAAUGGCCCAAAGGUCCAAACAUUGACUUAAACCCUAAAGUCAACAAAAGUCAAUGUUCUGGGGUACGUGGCGUGUACUAGAUCUGUACGCUGAGUGUACUCGGAGGCUUCACAUAAUCGGGGUACGCGGCCCCUUAUGCCGCACGUAUUGGAAUUACGCCCAACGUAACUCCCAACUUUCUCCUCCUUUUCAUUCAGGUCUUAAACGGUUAAGACUUGCGUCUAAAAUCCAGAUCUGACUUCCCUAAUACGACUUAAUUCAUAAAGCUGGUGAUUUUAAGCCUUUGCAUGGCUGUGGAAGUCACCAACACCCAAAACACUCCAUUUCCAACAUUAAACGGUCCAUAUCUCAUGCUAAAACAACCUUUAAAAACCAAGACUGGAUUUUUAUCACAUAACAUCGCUAAAUGAGCUAGUAUGGGACAGAUCUCGGCUUCUAUGAGCUCAACUACUCACAAAACUAUGAACUUGGGGACCAAAAACCCUAAAACUUCUCUCUACAAAGUAUGAACAGAAAAGGUGUAAAGCUUGAAGCUUUUUACCUCAAAAUGAAGCUUCUUUCACUACUAAUCUCGGAUCCAAAAGCUUGAGAUCAUGUAAAUAAAAAUCAAAGUUUCAAUUAUUGUUAUUUGAUAAGCCAAUGAUUUUUUAGUAAUAUGUUUGAUAAGCUAGUGAUAUUUUAGUAAUAUAUUUAAUAUGUAUACAAUAUGUUUUGAUCAUACAUUGCAUUCCAUAGCAAUCAUGUUGAUUUUUUGAAUAAUAAUCAGAUUAUGUGAAUAAUAAUCAAAGUUCUCAUCAUUAUUAUUAUUUGAUAAGCCAAUUAUUUCUAUACAAAAUACAUUAUAUAGCAUUACAUAGUCCUUUUUUAGGGAUUGACGAAAUUGCAAAUGAUUUUUUUAUGAUCAUACAUAUAACUAAAUAUAAAUGUAUUGUAUAUUAAAAAGUUUUAUUUAUAUGUAUAAAUAUGUAUGUAUUUUGUAUAAAAACAUAUUGUAUAUUUGUUAAAUGCAUAAAUAUAUUUUUAAAGAAAAAAAUAUGUUUAUAAAAGUAAAUAUAUUUUGAAAGUAUUUAUACGGUUUAUAUAUAGGUUUAUACAAUAUAACCCAUAUUAGAAGUUACUUUCAUAUUUAUUAAAUAUGUAUAUGUAUAUUAUAUAUUUUUACGUAAAAUAAAUAUAAAAUUAUACAUGUCAAAUAAAAUUAAAUAUAAAAUUUUAAUGCAUUAUUACGUUUUGUAAAUGUGUAAAUACAUCUUUAAAAAUAUAUAAAUACGCAUUUAAAUAUAUAAAUAUGUUUUUAAAUAUAUAAAUACCUUUAAAUUAUAUUUUUAUAUAUUUUAAUACCAUUGAUGAAGGCAAACGAUUUAGGUGAUGGUGUGAAGGUAACGUUUAGGCUCUGGUUAUCAUUCACAUAGAUGAUGAAUUCUUUGAAAAAGCUUGUGUGUCAGACAAUGGAGGCCGUUAACGAAGCGUUGAAGUUGGUCAAUAGUGAGUAACCGUUGGAUGUGAUGGAGAAGAACGAGUCAUUGGCGUUGAGGUCGGAGUAGUUGGUGGGGUAGAAAUAGAGUCGGAGGAAUUUGGGGCCUUGGGAGACUAGAAACUUGUAAGUGAAUGAAGAAGCGUUAAAGAUACGAGCAUUUAGAUAUUGGUAAUCAUCGACUGAUGGAGCUUGGAUUAAAGGUUCGAAUGAAAACAAGGUGAUAAGGGUGUCGGAGGGUUCGAAUUUGGAUUUUUCAUCGCGGUCCCAUCUCCAGCCGCCGUUGUUGGUGAUGGGGGAGGAUGAUCCGCAGUUGAUGAGGAUGUUAUCGGUGGCUUUGUAUGGUUGUGCGGCGGUGAUGGUAGCGGAGAAGAGGAUGUAGAAAGAAAAUAUUGGUAAAGUGAAGGUGAAAAUGUUGGAUAAAAAUUAGAAGAAUUAUUGCUGCUUUAAAAAUAAUUGUUAAUGGUGUUUUAUAAAUCCUCCCACUAGUCAUACAAAUAAUUUAGAGUGAACUAUACGUCUUGCAUUAGAAAUUGUACCAUAGAGAGCGACAUGGUAAUUUGAUAACUUUUUGUGGAAGAAAACAUCUGAGAUGCUUUGAAUUGGAAUA